GAGUCCGAUCGAGAAUUAAUAGUCCGAUCCUGCCAGGCAUAUGAACGUUCAGAGCAAAACAAACCUCCCAUAUUUCUUUCUUUUCUCUACAAAAAAAAAAUCACUCACAAGCACACAGCAGGUCACAAUCACAACACCAGGGGCGCAGCACAGGGGAGAAAGGAAAGAAAAAAAAAAGAACACUAGCAAGCAAGCAGAACGUAGCGCAGCAGGCAGGCAAUCGAUCUCAAAGCCGGCUCGUCAGUUCUUGACGAACUGGAGGCCGUUGGCCUGAGAGUACCGCUCCAUGAAGCGCAUGAAGCGGUCCCAGUCCCGGGGCGUGCGCAUGACGUACUUGGCCUCGAUCCGCGCCGGCUUGCCGUUGACGAACUUGGCGCUCACGUCCACGGACUGCAGCACGCCCUCGUCGUCGAUCAUGUAGAAGCCCGUGAUGUCCCCGAGCUCCGCCGACGAGUCGAACACCGACGGCUGCUCGAACGUGAAGAUGGCCACGCCGUUCGUGCCGUCCCGGGACUUGGUCAGCCGCACGUCCGGGAUCGUCUGCUCGUCCGUGCCCUGGAUGAACUGGAUCGCCGGCCGGACCGCCGCCGCCGCCACCACCACCUGCGGCCCCCGCCGGGGCGUCGCCCGCCGCGGUCGCCCAGGGCACUGCACCGAUUUUAGGCAUCAUGGGAAACCAGGUACGAUGAAGCAAAAAAAUCUAGAUUUUAGGCAUGUUACACAUCUUGUCCAAAAACAAGAUUUACAUAAGCUGGGGUCAACAUAAUAAAAACCGAAGGUUGAAAUUACCUUCCUUCACCAUCUCUCAUGCCCUCUAGCUAUUCUGCAAAAUCCCCAAGGACUGAAGAUGAGUUUUAGAAUAACAGUCAGGGAAGCAGAUGCACAAAUACACAUUUCCACCUGAACUUGAAACAAUUGGCCAUAUACUAACAGCCGAGUGCUAAAAUGUGAUGCAGUAAUAGCCAUGACUUGCUUACUGCUGGUCCUACUGAUGACACUGAAGAACAUGAUAUUUGAUUCAGUCCAAUCCAUGCCCAGGAAGCACCGGCUCAACGGUAUCGACCAGGUGGGCAACUACGUGCCUGGCCUGACAUUUGCUAAUCAACAAUGGCAUGGACAGCUAAAACCAGAAACGAUAGCUAGUUUUCCACUCCCAUACCAACACUAAUCGCCUUAACUUGUUAGCUAGUUUUGAAUGCAGCGGCAACAACAAGUAAGAAAACAUGACAAAACUUUUAUCCUAGUGAAAAUUGUAUAGAAAACUACUGCAAUAUAGAUAAGUGUAGAAAACAAAUAAGCCUUAGAAAGCUUAUCCCAAUAACAUAUAGAUACAUAUAUAUAAAAUGGUGAAUGAGUGUGUGCACCGUUUAAUAGAGAGCUGAUUUCAUAUGUAAUAGAAAGUAUGAAACUGAAGUACCACCAAGGAUCAAAAGAUAAAAAUUACUUGCCCCAAAAAUAAAAACAGAGAAUAAGGUGUUUUGCCCUCGGGACCUGAGGUGUAAGAUAGUUCCCAAAGAUAUGUGCACAUGCACAUGAUUAAGCACGAAAGGGGUCAUUAUAUGGAUCGAGUCAAAUUUUUAGUACUGACAUAUAUAAAGAAAUCAUCAUGAUGUGAGGCAUUUAUUGAUAAAAUCUUCAACAUGCAAGUCAUACUUAUUAACUACAUAACAUGAUUUCAACAAGAAAUAGUGAAAUGAAUAUGAAAUACACAUGUGCAAAUACAAUAUUCUAGAAAAACAAUGGAAAUCUUCGGAACUAAGUUACAAUUUCACAGAGAAAAUACAACAGAGUGGAGGGACAUUCAAUUAAAACUUUUUUAAUGUAGAUCAGACUUAGAAAUAAGUAGAAGAGUAUCAUUAGAUUUACAAACAUAAAACGAUGAUAAAGAUCUAUGGUCCCGCCUGCUUGCAUGGAAUCCCUUUAAGCGCUUCUACUCGCUUUGGUCAAAAUAUGGUUCUCCCCACUUCGCUAUGACCACAAGAUAUUGAUGAAUUAUCACCAUAGGUGAAAACCUAUUUAGACAAAAUCCUUCAGAACACCAAGGCAAGGAAAAUCAGUAAUACAGCGAUAGGCAUAACUGGCUUUAAUUAAGGAAUCAUAAAUUACUUCCCCAAACUAUGUAACAAAACCGACAUGGUUGCCAAAAGUAGAUAUGUUUAAAUUAUACGCUAGAUCGAUUCCAAUCAUCACACCUGCAACAGAUGUCAAUGGACAUAGCUAUACUUAAUGCAAAUCAAACAAAUAAAAGGAUAAGAAAUUGGCAGUUCAUACCGGUUGGCGAUGGGUAUAUGGACAUAUUGUCUGUUGUGUAAUCCAUGAACUUGGCUCUUGUAUAACGUUCUAUGUCAUGUGAAUCAUAAGUCUCCCCAAUGCAGUUGCACAUCGAUCCAAUACUUGUUACUUGCUUUCUGAUCCAAGACAUGCUUUGACUCAGAAUCCACUCACGUAUAACACCAUAUAUUUAUACAUCUUUUAGUUGAGUAAAACAUGCAAUCAUCAAUAUAGAUAAACCCCCUGCUUAUAAUGAAUCAGGCUUAUAACAACAAAUGAUAAUAUGAAGGAUUUAAUUAACUUUAGUUUUCUUCAAACUUGUAGCUGACCAUAUAUUUAUAUAUCUUUUAGUUGAGUAAAACAUGCAAUCAUCAAUGAAGAUAAACCCCUUGCUUUAUAAUGAAUCAGGCUUAUUUUUUAUAAUGGAAACAAAAAAUGUUCCAGCCUUUUAUAGUUUCCUACAUAGGACAUUACAGUUUGAAAACUAAUAAAACAUGCAUCAUUAAAAAAAGAACAUUCUUGAAAAUAACUUGUUCUCGAAUCAAGCGUCCUUUAAUCUGGCAUUAGACCUCCAACCAUGUUUUGCAAUGAUCUCCAUUGCCACCGUCUCUAAGGAUUGAUAUACCACACGAAUCUCUUGGUGAGCUUCUUGUUUCUGCAAUAAUCUUCAAAGUCUGAGCCAAUACGUCCCCCUGAAAGGAACCUGCAAAAUUGAUGGUAUUGGUUUAAAAUUAAAGGCCACAUCAUUGCGGCACAACCAAAUAGACCAAAACAUUGUCGUCACUCCAAUUAUGAUUUUUUUCCGAUGAGCUAUUCCCUUGUUAGUAGCCCAAUUCUCAACUAUAUGAUUACUAUUGAUGGGUCUCUCUGUAUUUAAAGCAAAGUAAAUAAUACUCCAAAUGUUUCUGAUAAGGUAACGAUAAAAAAAUAUGUUGAAUAGUCUCAUUCUCAUUAAAAAACAACAUUUCAUACUCCCUGUCCACCCACGUUUAGCUAAAUUGACUUUAGUGGGAGUAACUCCUCUCCCUAAGUACUACAAGAACAUUUUAAUUUUGAGAGGGAGUUUUAGUUUCCAAAGCAACAUAUUAUGGAUUAAAGUGGAAGUAUUCAUUAAAAGCGGUACAUUGACUAGACUGAGAAAACUCCAUUUCAAUGUGGUCCCCAUAAGAAUUUAUCCUUCGAAUGACCCAAAAGAAUAGAUGCGAGUAAAAUUGAUAAAUUAUGCCACUCAACCCUCGUCGUCCUUGCCGUUGACGAACUUGGCGCUCACGUCCACGGACUGCAGCACGCCCUCGUCGUUGAUCAUGUAGAAGCCCGUGAUGUCCCGAGCUCCGCCGAAGAGUCGAACACUGACGGCUGCUCGAACGUGAAGAUGGCCACACUGUUCGUGCCAUCCCAGGACUUGGUCAGUCGCACGUCCGGGAUCGUCUGCUCGUCCGUGCCCUGGAUGAACUGGAUUGCUGGCCAGACCGCUGCCACCUGUGUCCACCACCGCCACUUGUGUCCCCUGCCAGGGCGUCGCCCGUCGCGAUCGCCCAGGGCACUGCACCGACACGCCGUGGAACAGCGACUGCAGCCGCCGGCUAACGCCACCUGGAUGAACCAGCGAACACGUGCAGCUAGUCUGAAAAGCGAGCGCGGACCGGAGGACAUAGAUAUGCAGAGUGUGUGUGUGACGUACCUGCGACAUACCGACGGGGCUGCUGUGCUAUCUGUGCCGACACCGGCGAGGCGGCGACCGCGAGAGCCUUCAUCGCUGCGACUGCAGCCAUCCUCCAGCUUUGCCCUGCUGGUGGACUGGUGGUUGUGGCUCUCGAGCGAUCAAGGCAGCUGCGGCUUGGGCGUGGCGGGCGGGGAAGCUGCUGCCUGCGGGGAUUGGUGUGGUUUCUGGAAAGGAAGAAGAGAUAUCACAAUUGUUUAGGUUAGCAUCUAUAACCAAUUACCUGAUAUCUUCACCAAUCAUUUAGAUGAAAAGAUUUUUAUUUUAGCAAGCUUAGAAAUGAACUAAAUGUCUUAGAUUCUCAGAACUUUGAUUAAAAUUUUGCACACAUUGCUCAUUUUAUACCGUUGAUUAUGAUAUGUCUCUUUCAUUUGGUACAAAUAAAUAUUUCUUAUUUUUCUUGUGCCAAAGCUAAGACUAAUAUGCUUCCAUGUGUAUUUCUAUACUCAAUCUUAGAUUGAAAAGAAAAUGGAGUUAUAGGCAAAGGUAAGGCUUCCACUACAUCUUCGUCAGCAUUAUAUACCCAUUGCCCUACUUAUGUAUUUACAUUCAUAUCUUUCUUGUAAUAGGUCUCCAGAUUUCUUAUUUUUUGGCGCUUAAUACAAAGGGGGAGAAAUUAAUAGGCCAAAGCAAAAGGACCGCACUACCACCCUGUUUUCUGAAAACUUUUUCCAAAUUGAAACUAUUGCAUUUGUAAAAACCCUCUUGACAACUAAGUGAAGAACUUUUUCAGGGGAGCUUUUAUUUAGCCAAAGGAAAAGCAUUUGAAGAAGUGGAUAAUCUUUCAAAACUUGAAAAUGUCUUUAGAAAUUAUAUUCUUAUACCAUUGGCUAAUUGUAAAAGAAUUUGAAAAUAUUUUUCCAAAAGAUUUGCAAAAACAAGCUAAGUGGUGCAAAUGUGGUCCAAUUUUUUUGACUAUAUAUCUAAACCCUCUUAUACUUAGAACUGCUUUCAUUCUCAAAAAGUAAUUUAUGCACAUAUGUCAAAAUGCAAAAUAGCUAUAUUUAUAUACUUUGUAUUUGCUUUGGUUUGUGUUGACUUCAAUCACCAAAAGGGGGAGAUUGAAAAGGAAAUGGCCUCAACCAUUUCCUAUAAUCGAUUUUGGUCUUUGAUGUCCACCACAAAUCUCAUGGACUAACUAGUUUGCCUAGUUGAUCAUUUCUCAGGUGCAUAAAGUUCAUAUACAUCAUAUCUAAGUCGACUGUCUAGAGUACCGUAGAUUAUUCUGGACAUGGGAAGUGUUUUAGAAAUUCAUCUGUGCGUGGACCGUCCGGGCCCUCGCGGCGGACCGUCCGUGACAACAGGGUGAGCCUCGGACAGGAACACUGCAAAAACACGUGUUAACACUACUGACUGUCCGAAGGAGAAGCGAGCACCGUUUGGGACCAAGCUCGAACCGUCCGGCCUCAGGCGCAGACCGUUUGGUCGUUGAAAAACCAGAAAAACUCGAAGGUGACGGGUUCGAUAAAAUACAUUUUUAGCGUCCUCGCGGACCGUCCCGGGUGCAUGACCGGACCGUCCGUGAUUGCUCUGCUUGACAUCUAACGACGCAUUUAAUGCACUAUAGCCGUUGAUAUAGCCGUUACUGCUGACCGUUGCGAUUUGAGCCGUUGAUGUGCAGGGGCGGAUCAUCCGAACUAGGGGCGCGGCCCGUCUGCGGUCGGUAGAAAAGGAGCAACGACUAGGAAGUGGUUAGUGGUUAUAAAUACAGCCCCAACAGCUGUAACACCCUAGGUGUUAAGCGCCACUAAAAAAUGGAACAUGGCAUCAUCUUGAGCAUCAUUAUCACAUGAGAUCAUCCAAGCAUUUGAUACCUGUUGCAUUCACCUUAAAAUAGUAUAACUUAUUAUGCUUAUGCCUGGUUGGGAUGAAAGUAUGGGUCGAUUUGGUAAAAGCCCUAUUUAAGAAUCAAAUUUGGUAAUUUUAUUUUCUGCUCUCACGUAAAAUAAAAUUUGGGUAAAACUUUAUUUUAUUUCUUGGUAGAAAAAGUUUAUUUUGUUACGAAAUAGGUUAUUUGGUCGAGUAGCAAGGGGCUAGUCACUAAAUAAUUACCAACAUAGGGUAACAAUAAAUUUUAAGAAUUAGUAUUAGGUUUCUGUGACUCGUAUCACAUUAGUUCUAAUCGAUGUAAAUUUGGUUAAAACAGGGUUCAAAUUUUAGUCUGAUCUGGUAAUUCAAAGAUUUUGGAGACGUCAACUCCAAUAAAUUUUAAAGACGUCAACUCAUGUUGGAUUGAGCUCUAUGGGUAAUUAGAGGCAAUAGACUUUGAACGGUGAGAAAUAAUUAUAUUGUAUUAUGGUUUAAUAAAAAACAUGCAUGAAAAUCAUUUUUUCCUUCUCUAUCCGCUGCCACCUUAUGGCCUUAUCUGCUCCACGCAAACUCCAGCCAUCUCUAUUUUCUCCCUCCAUCGCACAAGCCGACAUCUAGUAUUCAUUGUUAUCAAGCGCUUAGCUCUAGAAUUUUCUUUACCGCCUCCUUAUCCUAUGCACUCGGCUCCCUAGGAUAUUCUUCACCUUGAUUCUCCCAACCUUCCUGUACGUAUUCUACUGCUCCACCGAUCGGCUCCCUCUGACCUCCGUGCUACUGGUCGCCAGCACUCGGCACUCAGGCCGUUGGACACCGGCGUCGUGAGUCGCGCUCGUCUCUACCUCUACAUAUACUAGCGCCCAGCGCCCAGCGCCCUACACCUGCUCACCCGCUCCCCAUCGCGCUCGACACCGCCCCAGCCUCAAGCUGCACUCGCCGGACAGCAUCCUCCUCAUCGCGCUCGAAAGCAGCCACUCUUAAAAUUAUAGGCAUUUUCCGUAUCAUUUUAAUUCCAUAAAUUAAUAUUAUGAUGAUGACAUAUAAAAGAUAAUUAAUCAUGACAUCAAAUAUAUCCAUAACAAUAUGGAUCAUGAGAACAUAAAGCAUAUGAGUUAUAUAAAUCAUAUAAAUACGAUAAACAUGUAAACUGACUGGACGAUUGAAAAUAAACAGAUAGAAACACAAACAGCAUGACUGUAAAAUUAAAACAGACAGAUUUAUCAUAUUACAAUAAGACAGAACAGAUAAGAUAAAAUCAUCCCUAAAUAUGAAACAGCAUAGAUGAAUAUAUGAAACAUAUAAAAUAUCCAGAACACAAAUCAGUAAGUAAAUAAAACGAUCAUACCCUCCGAUGCACUCUUAUGAUCCAGAUCCUUGGCCAGCUUCUUUUGUCAUGUUGGAGAUGUUUUGGGCAGUCGCGUAGACGCUCCCCAAAAACCUAAUUGCCGAUCCCCCGUGCAAGGUCUCGAACGGCACCGGCUUCGGAGGCACCUGCCCUCUCGCUUCUCUGUGCGCGCAGAGUCACGAGAUGGAAAUACCCUCACUCGGCGGCUGGACUGUGAUUCUGAAAGUGUUCUCUCGUGUACCGAGUGACAGGGGUACUCCUCUAUUUAACCUCUCGCAGAGGGAAGCUGAAGGAGAAAGGUCGCCGAGUCACGCCAAGAGUCGGCCAGCUCUAGCCGAGUUAUGCCAUGAGUCAGCCAGCUCUUGCCGAGUCACGCCAUAAGUCGGCAGCUGAAGGAGAAGGGUCACUCGGCUGGCUGACGAAGAGACAGGGUCACUCGGCAGACGAAGAGACAGGGUCACUCGGCUUACGUACGCGGUUAGUGAGUGCUAAAAAUUAACACAACCACACCACGCCCGCUCGCCUGCCUGCCUGCCUGCCUGCCUCGCCUCGCCUCGCCACGCCCGGCCCGGCCCGGCCCGGCCGGCGGCGGCGGCGGCGCGCGCGCGCGCGUGUGGCACGCCCUUGUCCAUUUCUUGACUUCUCAAGUUAAGUGGAAUAAAUCCCACCAUAUAAGUCAAGGCAAAAGACCCUUGGACUUCCAAUGUGGUACUAUUGGUAUUCUCCACCAUUACACACCAUAGAGUUUAUUCAAUAAAUGGGCCAAGCCCAUAAAAGAUCCAACAAUCCCCACCAAACUCUAGGGUUUGUAAUGAUGAAGUAUUAGAAUCACAAUCCUUUGAUAUACCAGUGUUUCGAUGGAGACUGUUAAGUUGAACAUCCAUCUAGAAUAAGAGUUUCACUCAUUCACAACUGAACAAUGGACUAUGCCUUGAAUUGACAGUUUUGUGCGAAAAAAGAUUCACUCAAAUCCUUUGCUGAUACUAGGCUGCAAAAGGGUAUUCCCGCUGUUUAGAAGCAUAUAAGUCACACUUCAGUGCCUUUCAUGAGUAUUUAGGGAUUACCCAAGUCCCAUAGACUGUGACUAGCAGUCUGACUCAUAUAGGUAUAUUCCUCAGAAGAUGUUCUGUAGGACAACAUCUCACCUUUAUAAGACUCUUGGAAUACAUUAAGGUAAAAACCAUCCUGCCUUACAGAUAGGAAAGAUGUGCAUCAGAAAUGAGUUAAAGAAGGGAUCUUUCCUCACAAUCUACUCCUAGCUUGUUUCUCCACUCUACUUCACGGGAUCUCCGAUCACAUAGAGCAGGUUACCACUAGAGUAGAUCUCACAUGGGUCUCAUACCCAUUUCCCUCGAUGCACUUUCUAUCACAUUGCGUGAUAGACCCUUAGUGAAUUGAUCUGCCAGAUUAUUUGAUGUGUGGACAUAAUCCACAGUUAUAACUCCGGAGUUUUUCAACUUUCUGACAGAUUUCAAUCUCCUCUUAACAUGCCUUGUAGACUUCAUGUUAUUCCUAGAACUGUUAACCUUUGUAAUCACCGUUUGGUUGUCACAGUUCAUGGAAAUAGCCGGUAUCGGUUUUUCAACUACCGGUAAGUCCAAUAGGAAAUCAUGAAGCCACUCGGCCUCAGCCCCAGCAGUGUCUAAUGCUGCGAGUUCUGCUUCCAUUGUAGACUUCGUUAAGAUAGUCUGCUUGCAAGACUUCCAGGAAACAGCACCACCUCCAAACAGAAACACAUAUCCGCUUGUGGCAUAAAGCUCAUCAGCAUCAGAAAUCCAGUUGGCAUCACAAUAGCCUUCCAGCACUUUUGGGUUUCCGGUAUAAUGAAUACCGUAUGUCAUGGUACCUUUCAAAUACCGCAACACUCUCUCAAGAGCACGCCAGUGAUCAUCUCCUGGUUUUGACACAAACCGACUUAGCUUACUCACAGCAUAAGAGAUGUCUGGCCUUGUUGCACUUGCAAGGUACAUGAGCGAGCCAAUGAUCUGGGAGUAUGUCAGUUGAUCCCUUGCUAUUCUCCGAUUCUUUCUUAAUAGCACACUGGGGUCAUAAGGUGUAAGAGCAGGAUCACAGUCACUAAAACCAAAGCGACUCAAUACCUUUUCCACAUAAUGGGAUUGUAACAAAGUUACCCCACCAUCAGCUUCUCUAACAAGCUUGAUGUUUAGAAUGACAUCAGCCUCUCCCAAAUCUUUCAUUUCGAAAUUGCUCGAUAGAAGACUUUUAACUUCCUCAAUCACAUUGAGAUUUGAUCCAAAGAUCAAAAUGUCAUUAACAUAAAGGCACAGCAUAACAGACUCACCCCCACCAUACCGAUAGUAUACACACGUGUCAGAUUCAUUUACAACAAAGCCAGCUGCUGUAAGAGUAUUAUCAAACUUUUCAUGCCAUUGCUUAGGUGCUUGUUUUAGGCCAUACAAUGAUUUUAUCAACCUGCACACCUUGUUCUCUUGACCAUCCGCAAUGAACCCUUCUGGCUGAUCCAUAUAGAUCUCCUCAUCCAACUCUCCAUUUAGGAAAGCUGUCUUAACAUCCAUCUGAUGAAUGAUGAGACCAUAAGAGGCUGCCACGGCUAUUAAUGUGCGAAUUGUAGUCAAUCGAGCCACUGGCGAGUAGGUGUCAAAGAAAUCUUCACCCUCCUUUUGGGUAUAUCCUUUGGCCACAAGCCUUGCCUUGUACCUCUCAAUUGUACCAUCAGGCCUAAGCUUUUUCUUGAAGAUCCAUUUGCAACCUAUAGGUUGACAACCAUAAGGACGGUCAACGACCUCCCAAGUUCCAUUAGACAUAAUAGAUUCCAUCUCACUCCUUACUGCUUCCUUCCAUAAGUCAGCAUCAGGAGAGGAAUAUGCCUCACUAAUGGUAGUUGGUGUGUCUUCCACAAGGUACACUAUAAAGACAUUACUAAAGGAUUUUGCAACCCUCUGUCUCUUGCUCUUUCGAGUGACCAUAGUGUCAUCCUCCUCAGGGAUGUGCACGUGAGAAUCCUCAGCAUGAUCUAUAGGAAUCGACAGUUCGUGCUCAUGGGAAAUUAUAGUCUCAUGACUUGUAUCACUAGGUGUAUUCUUCAUGGGAAACUCAUUCUCAAAAAAUGUUGCAUCUCUUGAUUCCAUGAUAGUAUCAACAUACAUAUCAGGCACAUCAGAUUUUAUAAUUAAGAACCUAUACCCAGUGCUGUGAAAAGAGUACCCAAGGAAUAUACAGUCAACAGUUUUAGGCCCAAGUUUACGCUUUUUGUUGAUUGGCACAUUCACUUUAGCCAAGCAACCCCAAGUGCGCAAAUACGAGAGAUUCACUCUUCUCUUUUCCCAUUCCUCAAAUGGAGUGAUCUCUUUGUUCUUUUUUGGAACUCUAUUCAGGACAUGACAUGUUGUCAAAAUCGCCUCACCCCACCAUACCUUGGAUAAUCCCGCUGUACUCAACAUGGCAUUCACCAAAUCUGUUAGAGUGCGGUUUUUCCUUUCAGCAAUCCCAUUGGAUUGUGGUGAGAAUGGCGGUGUCCUCUCAUGAAUAAUACCAUGUUCCACGCAGAACUCAUCAAACAUAUUAGAGAAAUAUUCUCCACCUCGGUCGGACCUUAAACGUUUUAUUUUCCUCUAAAGUUGGUUCUCAACUUCAGCUUUAUAGGCCUUAAAAUAAUUGAACGCUUCAUCUUUUGUUUUUAAGAGAUACACAUAACAAAAUCUAGUGGAGUCAUCUAUAAAAGUGAGAAAGUAUCUUUUACCACCUUUGGUCAAAAUUCCAUUCAUCUCGCACAGAUCAGAAUGAACAAGUUCUAGAGGUGCCAAACACCUCGCCUCAGCAGCCUUGUGAGGCUUGCGGGGUUGUUUUGAUUCAACACACACAUGGAACUUAGACUUUUUGACCAAGUUAAAUUUAGGAAUUAAAUUUAUAUUUGCUAACCGCAUAAGACAGCCAAAGCUUGCAUGACAAAAACGUGAAUGCCAUAAAUCUGACUCAUCAGAAAAAUGAACAGAAUUCACCAGUUUAUUACACACAUCAUGCAGAGAUAAGCGGAACAAGCCUCCGCAGUCAUAUCCUUUACCAACAAAAGUACCAUGUUUUGACACAACACAUUUAUUAGACCCAAGAACAACUUUGUAUCCAUCUCGACAUAGCAUAGAAGCGCUAACGAGAUUCUUCUUGAUAGAGGGCACAUGCUGCACGCUCUUCAAUGGCACCGUCUUUCCCGAAGUAAACUUCAGAAUGACCGUACCAACACCAAGAACAUGAGCACGCGACCCAUUUCCCAUCAACAAGGCGCCAGACCUCCCGACCUGAUAGGAAGUGAACAUAGAGGCAUCAGCACCCACAUGAAUGUUUGCACCACUGUCCAUCCACCACUCAGGUGAAUUACAGACUGAGAGAACAAAUGGUAAAGAAUUACCAUACCCAGAUGUUCCUUCUUCAGUUUCAGUGGUUACAACAUUAGCUGAUUUCUUGUCUUGAGUGAACUUGCGAUCAGGGCACUCUCUUGCCCAAUAUUGAUCACUGCCACAGACAAAGCAUCCUCCCUUUCCCUUGUUAUUGUUGUUCUUCUUUUUAAACUUUGCUGGUUGAACAGGUUUAUUCGCGUUCUCUGGUUUGUUCUGGUUUUUCUUCUUGUUAAACUUGCGGAAGUUUCUCUUCUGCACCACAUUAGCAGUAGAGGUCUCCACACCUUUUCCAUUGUCCUUUGAUCUAGCUCUUUCCUCAACAUCAAGAGUACCAAUGAGCUCCUCCACAUUGAACUCUUGUCUCUUAUGUUUGAGAGAGGUAGCAAAGUCCUUCCAAGAAGGUGGUAACUUGGCGAUUAUACCGCCAGCCACAAACUUGUCAGGCAAAGGACAAGGAAAAAGUUCGAGUUCCUUAGCUAGUGCCUGAAACUCAUGAGCCUGUUCCACUACAGAUCGGUUCUCAACCAUCUUGUAGUCAUACAGCUGCUCCAUGAGGUACAGCUCGCUACCAGCGUCAGUUACUCCAAACUUUCCGACAAGUGCAUCCCACAGCUCUUUCCCUGUGGGAAGGAUGAUAUAGCUUUUCUGGAAUUUUGUGUCCAGUGCACUAAUUAUUGCUCCUCGAAAGAGGUUGUCUUCAGCCUUAAACUUAGCCUCAUCCUCAAGAGGUAAGUUGGCAGGCUUGCCCUCAGCGGCAUGAAAACAAGACAUUGCAGUUAGCCACAAUUCCAUCUUAGCUUUCCAUAUCAAGAAGUUUUUACCAUCAAAAGGAUCAGGCUUUAGCACAGCAGCAAAACCUCUGACAGAAAAAUGCCUAACAUUAGGUUUUUGGAAUGUUAGAAUUAUAGGCAUUUUCCGUAUCAUUUUAAUUCCAUAAAUUAAUAUUAUGAUGAUGACAUAUAAAAGAUAAUUAAUCAUGACAUCAAAUAUAUCCAUAACAAUAUGGAUCAUGAGAACAUAAAGCAUAUGAGUUAUAUAAAUCAUAUAAAUACGAUAAACAUGUAAAUUGACUGGACGAUUGAAAAUAAACAGAUAGAAACACAAACAACAUGACUGUAAAAUUAAAACAGACAGAUCUAUCAUAUUACAAUAAGACAGAACAGAUAAGAUAAAAUCAUUCCUAAAUAUGAAACAACAUAGAUGAAUAUAUGAAACAUAUAAAAUAUCCAGAACACAAAUUAGUAAGUAAAUAAAACGAUCAUACCCUCCGAUGCGCUCUAAUGAUCCAGAUCCUUGGCCAGCUUCUUUUGUCAUGUUAGAGAUGUUUUGGACAGUCGCGUAGACGCUCCCCAAAAACCUAAUUGUCGAUCCCCCGUGCAAGGUCUCAAACGGCACCGGCUUCGAAGGCACCUGCCCUCUCGCUUCUCUGUGCGCGCAGAGUCACGAGAUGGAAAUACCCUCACUCGGUGGUUAGUGAGUGCUAAAAAUUAACACAACCACACCACGCCCGCUCGCCUGCCUGCCUGCCACGCCCGGCCCGGCCCGGCCCGGCCGGCGGCGGCGGCGGCGCGCGCGCGCGUGUGGCACGCCCUUGUCCAUUUCUUGACUUCUCAAGUUAAGUGGAAUAAAUCCCACCAUAUAAGUCAAGGCAAAAGACCCUUGGACUUCCAAUGUGGUACUAUUGGUAUUCUCCACCAUUACACACCAUAGAGUUUAUUCAAUAAAAUGGGCCAAGCCCAUAAAAGAUCCAACAGCCACUUGACUCAUUUUUCCUUGCUCUGAUACGUCAUCGCGUGGAGCUGCUGAACGCCGCUGUCUGCAGCUCCUGUAUCACCGUGCCGGCGCUCGGCUCCCCAACGCCUACUGCUCACUCUACAGCAGCUCGCUGGCUCCCUAAAAAUUCCCCAGUCAUCUUUUGACUUCCUACCUCGCCGGUUCGUCGUCGUUGUCGUUAUUUGUUUAAAAUUGCCGAUCGAAAUUCUUAGCUUUGUUCGGCAUCACCUCAUGCAGUUCGUCGUGUCGUCAUCCAUGCUGUCUCGCGACGUCGUACUCCUCACACUUUGUUUCCUCCAUGUUGGCGAUGCUUGCUGAAAGCCUGAGUAAGUGCUUCAAUGUCUGAAAUUAUGGUGGGUGCCAAAAGUUUGUCUGAUAUAUGACAUCGUUCGGUAGUUGUUGUCUGGUGGAUGGUGUAGCUGUAUGUGUCUCGACGCCCUAGCUGUUCGCUCAGUACGUCACUUCUUGCGACUAUGAUUUUAAUAUCGUAGAUUUAUGCUUGCGUCGGUGAGGAUGGUUGUGUGUUUUGAUUAUAGGAGAGCGUGGUCCGAGAAAAUUGUUUCAUAUGUGUUAUUGGUCGACUGGUGGUCUGCGCCAUCGGUCUAUAUCUUGUGCAGAUGAAUCGCAGUAGUGCGAUUAGUGGUCGGAAGGAAUUAGAUAGUGAAUAAAAGUGAAUUUCAGUACGUCGCUCGCUAGAUAUCCAAAAAAUGACUUGAGUUAGGUUCACCACCAUUUGGCGAAUCUCCACUUGACGUUGGUAUUGCGUAGGCUUAGAUUCUCUUGUAGUACAUUUUGAUUUAAUUGGGGUGUAUUCCGUUAGUCGCCAAUUAUCUAUGUUAUUAGAAAUACAUUUUCCGUCAGUUGUCAAUUAUUCGCUUAAUUAGAAGUAUCUUACUGUUGUGAAAUAAAUCACCAAUGGAAAUAAUAAAAAUAACUAAUUUAUACUUUGAAUUUUGCGAAUUGUAUGAAUAUUAUGCGUGAAGUGCAACUUUUCUGUGUGGGGAUAUUAUGCUCGGGGGUUUAUCUUUAAAUUUUUAUAUUGCAUCUGUGUCCAUUUCAUCAUCACAUCAUGAUCAUAGCAUACAUCUUUACUUUACGUGUAGAUCACGUUACUGGUGGAUCAAUCGCUUGGUGAAACAAUUUCCUAGAGACUGGUCAUCACCCUGAAGACUUAUGACAUUUUAUUUUCUUAGUCUUCUGCUCUUCUCGGCAGCAAAGAUAAGCCCCGGUGCAUUCACCACUUUCCUUGUUGUUUACAAAACUUUUAUCACUGUAUAUGAUGCAUUAGGUGCUAGGAGUUGCGUGAUCAAACAAUUGAUGCAUUACCAUCCUUGAGAAUUUGAAUAAUCAUUCUUUGAUACCUAUUUUAUGAAAAACUAGUGCUGCUUAGCCCUGCUUAAAGUGAUAAGAUUUUGAAAUUUAUUUUGAUUACUGGUUAUUGUUAUGUGUGAAUGAACUUGAGUUAGAUAAUUAAUAUGAGACCGGGUGGGUGGCUUGCAUCGUGAAAUGAGUCAGUGUAGUGCUCCGCCUGUGUCGAUUAAGGACCAUUCGAUGUAGGCUUGAUGAGGUGAGACUUUGCAACUAGCCACAUGCUCUGGUAAGUCUGAACCCGACUAUUUCAUACGUGAAAAGACAACCACGCACUGGGCGUGGGAGAUGGUGGGAGUAGCGUGUACCCUCCUGGCUAGAGGCUGGACGGAGGAGUACUGUGCUCCCGGGUAGCACAGACCGGUUCACGUUGUGGAGGAUCUGUGGGUACGAUUGACAUAUGCAAGGGUUAAGUGCUACAUAUGUCGUGUGGUUAGGAAUCCCCAGCUGGGUAUAAUCGGUUGGAAUCGUCGUUGCUCCUUGGUUAUAGAGACUCGACUCACUGACCACUCAUCGUAGUUAAUAAGUGAAACAUGAAUUGGCUAAAAGAAAGCUAGAUAUGACAAGUGAAUGCUCUCGAUCAGGAAAAUAUAGAAUCAGGUAAGAACUGAAAUUGAUAAUUAAAAGAUGGCUUAAGGAUCUACUAUUAGUAAGUUUUUCUGCAAAAUGAGUACUUGAUUAUUGCUUAGACUUACCUUGAUUCCUAAAAGCCAACAUAUCCUUGGAGGCUUUUUCUUUAGUCGGGUAAGACUUGCGAAAGUACACUUCGUACUCAGAGUUUUCGAACUCAUGUUGCUGCAGGUAAUAGAUUUGUGCUGCUGUUGAUGGUGCUAAGUGUCGGUGGGCUCGGCCUCCCUAUAUAAGUAAUCUUUACCUUCUUUUUGAGGAUUGUCAAUUAUGCUAGCAUGUAAUCCAAACUUACAAAUAUUUUAUAACAUUUCAAAGUAUAAUAUUUUAAUCACAUUUGUAAUCACUCCGAUAAUGUAAACUUAUUGUAAUUUGAAAGCUUUGUAAUAAAAAUUCCGCUGCAAAAACUUUGGUAUGUGAUUUGUGUUUACUUAAUCUUGCGAUCUAGGUGGUAAGUGGUUUAUCCGAGGUCCCCUAGGACACUCGGACAGAUCCUAUUAAGUUAUCGGGCACACAUGUAUAGCUGUUUGAGGUCUUUGAGACAAGGAGAUGUACAUGUGGGUCAUAUAAUUUGGGAGGAUCCGCCACACCAACCACCUCCAUUCAAGAUACCCAAGCCUCUCAUUCAAUACAAGAGCAUUCACUUCAACCAAAGACACAUUCAAGCUUGCAAAUCUCUCCAAGUUCCAUAAUUGUGACUAGUGAUCAUUAGUGAUUAGUGACUUGAGAGAGUGUGAUUUUGUGUCUUUUCUUGUUGCUCUUAUUGCUUGGCUUUUAAUCGUUCUUUCUUCAUCUCCUUCUAAACUCUCUAGUGGCUUGUAAAGCUAGCAAGAGACACCUAAAUGUGUGGUGAUCCUUGCAGGUCUUUGUGAUCCUUGAGAUUAAGAAGAAGCACUCAAUCGGUCUGAGUGAUCGAUUGAGAGAGGGAAAUGGUUGAAAAGACCCGGCCGUCGUGGCCUCCUCAUCGGGGAGUAGGUUCAUUGGAACCGAACCUCGAGAAACAAAUCAUCAUGUUCAUUUGUGAUUGAUCAUUACUCUACAAUUUGAUUCUUUCUCUCCCUGUCUCUAAGUUCUCUUGCUCACAAUCUUUUGAGUUAGCUCCCAAAGUUAUCUGUAUUGAUUGAGCAAUUCAUUAUAAUUUGUUUCUAAUCCUAACCCCGGGUGAAGUUCGUGUUCAAAGUCUAUAAUUUACAGGGUUCAGGGUUUAUAGGUUUCGCCUCUAUGCGACUUUCAAUGCAGCGCAAGAGGACGAUGAUGACGCUUAGCAGGAUGGCUUAGGUUCUAGCGCCUCAGGUUAGAGGAACGUCUACCUGCAAGGUCCCGCGAGUCUCACUCAGCGUCCCAUACUUCAAGACGGGCGACCGCUGAUUCGGCCGGAUGGAGAGAGGCAUGUAACUUUAUGUUCUCCCUGCUUGUUCAAAAUAUGUGUUCAAAUUCAUAAUAUAAACUUAUACUUUUUAUUUAUCACUUGGACAGGUCUUGGAAGGUUGUGGAGAAUACAGGGGGUCACGGCUGCAACCCCAAUGGCAUCCUCAGCCGUCUGUGUAGGGAAGACUUCCUUGACUGGUUGAGUACGCCGGAGUGACUAUAACGCCCUGAAUUCGGGCGUAUAAAUUUUCGUCUCCAAUAUUCACUAAAUUCAGACGUUAAUUUCUUUUCUCUUCCCGUUUCUCUCCUUCCUCCCAUUUUCAAAGCAAUAUAGAGACUAGUGUUUGUCUAAUGUUGUGCCUAGUCGUGCGUUCAUCUAGUUUCGGUUUUCCAUUCACGGAUUAAUCUCGAUUAGAAGUAGGAGAGAGUGAGUAGAGGGUAGUCGGCCCGGCCCGUGGCCCAGCCUGGCCCAUGGCACGACCUACCCUAGCCUAGGCACGCGCGCCCAGGCCCCUCCCCUAUGUGCCCCCUCAAUCUCUCUUUUCCGCACAGUAACCUCCUUCUCCCCCCUCUUCCACCUCUCCCCUUGCCCUAGGUUGGAUCCCGGUGAGUGGUUGCUACCGUCCGUCGAGCCUUGAGGUGAGCUUCCCCUCUCCUCUCUCUCCUCUCCCUCUUCUCCCCCUCUCCCUGCGCACAUGGCCCUCCCUAGUGAGCCCCUGCUCGGCGCGCAGUUGUCACACCUAGGUUCUAGGGGUCCAAAACCCGGGCACGAAAUAAUCACCAAGUGUGCUAGGAUCAAGUCUCACACAUAUGAUGACUCAUGGUACAGAAACGAAUGUCACAUCAUUAAUAUAUAACAAAAUUCUGUACAAAAUAGAUAAAUAAUUACAUCAUACAAAGACAACGAUCCAGCAACCAUAGUUGACUAGGAGAUGACGACCUAGACCACUCACAAACUCAUCACAACAUCCUUCAUGUGCCUCAUCUUGUGGUACCUAUUCUUGACCUGGGGGGAAUAUGAGCAGAACAAGGGUGAGCUCAGAUACAUUCAUCGCUCAACAAGUUGUGGGGAAUAAUGUGCAUGAACUCACCAAAGGUGGGAGCUCAUGUGAAGUGUAAGGCUUACCAAAGGAGAUGGUUGAAGCUGAGCAUUUCUUUUAAAGUUGAUCAAAAUUUUAUUAGUAGUUACUAAGUAUAAAUAGAUACUGACCCAAACUUUAUUAGCAGUUACUCUUGCCUACCGAGGCUUGACCCUGCUUCAUCGGAGCCGGAGUAGUAUAAGCAGCCCUAUUGGGACAAUAGUUGGCAUAGUGUCCAGUCUGUCCACACUUGAAGCAUGACCUGUUUGCAGAAGUAUUAGGAGCAACAGGUCCAGCUGGAGUGCUUGCUUGAGGAGUAGCUUGCGUCUACUGAGUUUGUUGCCCGGAACUGCCACAAGCAGGUGUACUUUGAGGAGUAGCAUAACGGGGAUGGGAACUACUUCCAGCUUGUCCCUGGUUAGUGGUCCUUCUCUUCUCUCCAAGUUCAACCCUCAUGUUUUCCAGAGCAAUAGCUUUGUCUAGUAGUCUCUAGAAGGAUGGGAAUGUGUGUGAUAUCAGCUGGUAUUGUAGUGGCCGGAUCAAACCUUCCAAAAAUAGCUCCUGCUUUUUCUCAUCAUCAUCGACUUCACCAGAAGCAUAUCAGGAUAACUUGAUGAACUUGUCCCUGUAUUCGCUUACUGACAUCCCUCCAUGUUUGAGGGAUUGGAACUCCUUUUUUAAUCUUCAUAAGGCCAGCAAAAAUAUGGUAAUUCCUGAAUUGAGUGGGGAAUUCUGCCCAGGUGAUGGUAUUGGCAGCAGCGUGAGCAGCGCAAUAUGCAUCCCACCAAUCCGCAGUGGGGCCAGUAAGUGACCUGAUGCAUAGAGUACUUUCUCCCGGUCGGAGCACUGAGCUACGUUGAGCAUGUUGUCCAUGGACUUUAACCAGUCAUCAGCUUGUAGUGGGUCCAAGGAGUUAGAGAAUGUCGGUGGCUUGUGACUCAUAAACUCCCAGUGCUUAUCCUUGGGUGGAGCUGGUGGUGGUGGAGGUGGUAGUUGCUACCGUUCCUGCCGUUCUUAGCGCAUUUCUUGGCGUUCUUGCCUCAUUUCCUAUCGUAUUUCCUACCGCUCCUGGCACAUCUCCUGUCGUUCUUGACGCAUUUGCUCUUGCAUUUCCGUCAUGGUGUUUGCUAAUUGUUGCAGCAGCUACAUCUGAGCGGCAGCAACGAGAUCUGUUCUAGCCGGUGAAGGAGGAUUCAUCUCUGGUUAUGGUUGGUUAACAAUCCACCUAGACGGCUGUUAGCAGGUAGAUCGAUACCGCUUCCCUUCCUGGUAUUGACCAUCUGGGUUAGAAAUAUAUGGUAAGAUAGUUUUGCAAGGGGAAUAAUUUAGUAGGCAGAAUAGAUAGCCUAGUAGUUGAUCAUAAACUGGAGGAUCUUAGGCAGAGCUUGAUUCUGUUGUUUUGUGCCUAUGUCGGGUUGACUAUGCUUAUAAGAUGAAUCUCCAAGGAUAAGAUAGAAUCUGCUAAGAUAAGAUAGAUAUGUGAUACUAGAUAUAUUUUAAUGGGAGAUAAUAUAGUUUGUCUAGUUAUUUUAUAAACAUUUUUUAUGCCUAGGUGUAUAUGCAGAUGCAAUUGUGGACAUUACUCCACAACUCAUCACACUCAAUCAAAGAACUGAAUCAAGCAGUUAUAAUAAGAAUAAACAGUCAAGCAUAUACAUACUUACAAAAAUAGUUUGUUUUUGUUCCUAAGAGUAGGUCUCUUAUUCCUAGAGGUCACUUUAGAUACAUGAUUUCAAAGUGUGAAAUCCACUUUUGUCUUUAGAAGUGAAAAGGUAAGAAUAAUCAGAGUAAAGCAGCAAUAGAUGAGAAAAGAUUAAGAGAAGUUUAGAAAGAAUCAGAGUAGCAAAGGUAAGUAGGUAAGGUUUGUCCAGUUCUAUCUAGGUUACGUCCUACAGUCAAUAUUCCUCUGAUACCCCUUCUAUCACACCCGGGUUCUAGGGGUCCAAAACCCGGGCGCAAAAUAUUCACCAAGUGUGCUAGGAUCAAGUCUCACACAUAUGAUGACUCAUGGUACAGAAACGAAUGUCACAUCAUUAAUAUAUAAUAGAGUUAUGUACAAAAUAUAUAAAUAAUUAUGUCAUACGAAGACAAUGAUCUAGCAACCAUAGUUGACUAGGAGACAAUGGCCUAGACCACUCACGAACUCAUCACAACAUCCUUCAUGCGCCUCAUCCUAUGGUAUCUGUUCUUGACCUGGGGGAUGUGAGCAUAGCAACGGUGAGCUCACAUACGUUCAUCGCUCAACAAGUUGUGGUGAAUAAUGUGCAUGAACUCAACAAAGGUGGGAGCUCAUGUAAAGUGUAAGGCUUACCAAAGGAGAUGGUUGAAGCUGAGCAUUGCUUUUAAAGUUGGUUAAAAUUUUAUUAACAGUUACUAAGUAUAAGUAGAUACCGACCCAAAUAAGUAAGAGAUCAAAUUAAUAACAACACCCACAAUGCAAUGCAUAUGACAAAUUAAGUUUAGUCUGUAAAUUUAUCAUGCGAGAGUCCUGAGCUACUCAUGACCACGAGCACGGCUAAUAUACCAGUUUUACACUCGGCAGAGGUACACCUUUACCCACAAGUUGUGUAUCCCGUCUAACCAGGGUUAGCUAGACUCUUAGACACUUCCGAGGUGAAUGGCUAGGGAUCCACUAUGAGGCCUUUACAAAGUUCCACUAGCUUCAGAAAACCCGCUACGGUUUCUGAGAAGGGCAAUAUAGGAAUCCCUCGUUCGAAAAGCCGUCGCAGCAUGAUCGACCUGAGAACCUGCCUAUAUGCAGCUCCUCUACCGCCCUUGCCCAUUUCGGGUAAGGAAGUCCUCCACUAGCUUUCCUAAUUAGUCAGCUAAGGGCGUCCCAUUCCAUCCUUAUGGUAUCACAGAUAUCUCAAGUUAAGCUCCAUGUUCCAAUUAACACAAUGAUCUUGUCAUGAACCAUAAUUAAAACAACAGUAUAAAUGGAACAUGAUCAUAAUGUAAUAUUAAUACCAAAACCAGGUAGAGCAAUAGCAAAACUACCCAAAAGUUCAGUGGUAAACAAGGUGUGGGAUAAACAAGUAUAGGGAAACCUAUUAGGUCCCAUCAGAUUAACCUGAGCAUGUCACAGUGAUUAACAGGAACAUUAUUGGGUAAAGAAAAGUGAUCAAGGGCAAAACUUGCCUGAGACUCGAGAUUCCAGGUACCAACUUGCUCUUCAAGAAUCUCGUAAAUUCGAAGUUACGGUUAAAGAGUUAUGAUUUUCUAAAGAUUUAGGAGUGGGGUACAAAAGAAAUUAAGUACAUAAUUUUAAUUUAGGUUUCAUAACAAAAUAAAGUUACUAGAUGAUAAACAAUAUUAAUAUGAAUUUAAUGCAACGGGAAUGGAUAAAAAAGGAGCUAAAAUGAAUUACUUAUAAACUAAAUAAGUUCUAAAAUUAUUUUUAUACUAAAAAUCAUUUCCGUUAUUAAUUUUACCCAUUUUAUUAACCUUUGGGCCACGACCACAAUUUUCCAGAAGCGUAGGGUUACUUUUACAAAUGUUUGGACUGUUAUGUAAUGAUCCUAAUAUAGGGAUGGACUGCAGGUUGAUACGAAGAGAGGACAGGGGCUCUUCUGCAUUUUGAUGGGGUCGAAGGGGUAUGGAGGUUUUCUAUCGCGCGAUCAUAAAUCGACGGCCCUGAUUAAAAAGGGCCAUCCCAGAACCGGUAUGGAACAGAGGCCACCAGAUCCAGAUUUGAUGGUCAAAAGCGAACCAUCGAAACGACAUGCUCACUGAAAUCAGGACCACACCCUCAAGAUCUAACGACCCGGAUCAAUCCUGGCCGAAGGGGUACGCGUCAUUCUAAUCUCCACCGUUCACUUGGAUCCGAUGACCAGGACCCAGUCCACAACCCCCGAUGGCCAGAGGCGGUGGUGGUGUCCGCACGGCAGAGACCAUGGCCGGGCCACAACAUUCAUGGCUUCCCAGUUCUAAACUCCAGUCCGAGGUGUGCAAUACGUAGCAGAGACAUAGGUGAGCCAAAUUAGGGAUUUCUUACCGGUAAUUGCGCCACGCAGCGCCCUGGUGACAAAGGAUGGCGGUACGGUGGGGAUUUCCUCGAUCCAGCGAGCAAUUGUGAUGGCUCUGGGACCACACCCCACCAAUUGAUGAAGCGGACGCUCCCCUCCUGCCCUAGCGCACACACGAGAAGCUCGACGAGGUCCCUGCGCCAACCCCCAUAGGUUCGAUGGCGGCGGUAGAUUCCCUCACACCGAUCUCUCUCUGUUAGCACUUGAUUUGCUCUGAGACUUGCGGGCUAGGUUGGGGUGAACAGAGUGCGGUAGCUUGAAUUUUGUAGGCAUAGGUAUGCGAGUUCGGCCAACAUAAUCCUUGAUCUUCACCAGCGUAUCCGCUUGGUUUGUUACGGCGUUCGCAGUCAACUAGGGAGAAGAACCUACACGGCGGGGCCCGGACGUCAUUGGAGUAGCAGCACGCGCAUGAUGGAAGUGUGAGGCUGAGCAGGGGGCACUAUGAGCGACUCCAUGGAUUUCCACAAACAAGGAGAAAGCGGGGGGGGGAGAUAACGGGCCGCGCGACUUGGGUGGGUCGAGCCGAGGUCAGGUUUUGGUCCACAACGAUUCUAUUUUUUUCUUAUUCCUUUUCUAUUUCAUGCUUUCCUCCUUUUAGUCUUAAAUCCAAGUUGAAUUCAAAUCUAAGUUUAUAAUUUGAGAUAAAUGUUUAGUCAAAACACCAGAAUGUAAUGCAAUAAUAUUGUACUAUUUUAUUUAUUUAUAUAUUUAUUGUUCCUAUAUAAGCAUUUGUGUAUGUGAGUGAAUUUUUAUGCCAUACAUACAUACAAAGUAAAAUAGUAUUUUCAAGAGUAGGUGAUUCCUAGUGAAUGCCCUAUGUUAAAGAAGAAUUUAAAUCAAAUAAAUAUAUUGAUAAAGAAGGACUUAAUUAAUUUAAGUUCCUCUUAUUUUAUCUUUUAUUAGACAACACAUUCAUUUUGGGAGAAGUAAAUUUUAAGCAAGACAAUUAUUGCUAGAAGGUAUUUCAAAUUCAAAUUCUUUAGGAUGUUUUACUAGAUUCCAACAUUAGGAUUCUUGAGGUCUUACAGUAGCCCUAGGGGCGCGGCCCCCGAUGGCUUGGCUACCCGGCGGUGCAGCCUGCCGUGGUGUGGCCCACCCCGGCGCGCGUAGCCCUAACCCCGUGCACACAGCUAUUGGGGCAAAGGCGAACAUGCCUCCCCCUCGCUCUAAGAUUUCUACAUCGACGUUCCACAGAUCAAAGGCCGUGUCAGCAAGCUCUAACAGCCUGGCCAUGGACGUCGCCCAUGCGAAGGCCUGAUCGCCCCCUUCGCUUCGACGAGCCGUGGCGAAGACCAUCAAGGACCUCAGGGACUGGAUGACCGAGGCCGCGAAGACCACAUGGCUUUGUAUCCAUCUAUGUAAGAAAGGGCCCGUGUGCAUCCGGCCCAUGUUGUAAGGCCCCGCCCGCGGGUUGCCAUGUCAGCAGAGCGGGUUGGGCCACGUCUGUAAUAAAGUGUGAUGUAAUGACACGCUGUAACCCCCUAUGAGGGAAUAUUCUGGGGAUAAACUAGGUAACUGGGGGCCUAAUUGUCCUUGACAGGGUCGGGUGGUCCCUCAGUUACCUAUAAAUACCCUGCACUGUGCCAAAUCAAUGGACGGAAAAAAGGAACACUAUUUCCCUAACGCCUUGCGCUUAGAAGCAUCAAACUACUCCCUCUUACUUCCCGUUGGAUUCUACUAUUCCUGUAUUGGCAAGUUCCAACAUUUGGCGCCCACCGUUCGUGCGACGAGAAAACAUCCCGCGAUGGCCCCCAAGAGAGCAAGUUCGAAGGCCACCGCUUCCAUCGACGACGCGGCGAAGGUAGCGCUCCUAGCGGAGAAGAAAGGCAAAGCCCUCGCGGACAACACCCUUCAAGAGGCCUUCAAAGAUGACGCCGUCAACAGUAAAAGGCAAUGCUAGGACAACCCCACCCCCGACGGCACUGUGCGCACUUGCAGUUCUGAGGGCGCACCGCGAUCACCCCCACCAGGCUUCGCUCCUCCAGAAGGCAAAGACACCAUAGAAGAUGGCGAGAUCAUAGGCAUCUCGGCCGAAGACCAGCUAAAGCUGCGAGCCCUGCACAUCAAGAACAACCACCUUCAGAAGCAAAAAGAGAUACUCGAAGCCAAGCACCAACGAGUCACCAUGCAAGCCAAAGUGCGACAGAUGAUACUAGAUGAGGAACAAAAGGCUCGGGAGCUAGAGCAAGAAAUCGCACUCAUACAAGGCGAAGGCCCGUACAACCUGCAGCGUGGCCCCCUCGUGGCCCUGGUGGCUUUCCAACAAAACAUACAAGGUGGAGACCCAUUCCACCCACAGCGUGGCCCCAUCCCCCCAGCAGCCGCUUUCCAGGGAAUCAACUACCUCGACGAGCGAAGUUCGCUAGCUCCGUAGCUCCAAGCGUCACCCUAGCUAGCCAACUUUAGGGCCGGCACUUACCCCAAAUACAACGGCAGCACCAAACCGGCCCAGUACAUCAUGAGCUACCAUGUCGCCGUUGCAUCAUCCAGAGGGGACGACGCCACCAUGGCCAAAUCCUUCAUAUUCGCACUCGAAGGCCCGGCCUUAACCUGGUAUACCAGGCUACCGCCACUAUCAAUCGAGUCAUGGAAGGGACUUCGCGACAAGUUCCUAUUGAAUUUCCAAGGAUACAUGCCAAACAUAGAUGCAUUGGCCGAGCUAUCACUCUGCAAGCAGCAGAAGAAAAAGACUCUUUGAGAUUACUACAAAAAGUUCCUCACGCUCAAGUCGCAACUGCCAUCUGUUGAUGAUCACAUAGCAAUCCAUUAUACAAUCAGCGGUCUUCGAGCUGACGUCUUGUACAGUCAUUGUAUCAGAGACCCGCCCAAACACCUGCAAGAGCUCUACCAAUUGUUCGAAAAAUAUGCCAGGUCCGAGGAGCUACACCAACACAAGGUCGAAUCUCAGAGGAAACCCAAGAACCAUCCGCAGUCUAGCAGAAAUUUGGUUAGGCCGGUGCAGUCUGACUCCGGCAGGGACAAUCGCAACCAGCAACAGGUCCACAUCAAAGCCAACCAACAUCCCGCUAGAGACAUAGCUCGCUGUCAGUAGUACCCCCUUCAGAACCGCGGCAACAGCACAAGAGGAAGAGGCAGACGCCGAGCCCAGCAGCCGCGAAGAUUUUACUGCCUGUUUCACAGUGAAGACUACGCACACCCCACCAGGGACUGCCCGGAGACCAAGGCCACCAAGGACAGAAUGGCUAGAGCCCAACCAGCCGACAACCAACGAGUCAUCACGCACACCUACCACCCCCAACAAUACCACCAGCAACCAUACCACAACGAGCAAAUCCACCACCAACCCAAUCACGUAUACCAUCACCAUCAAGAGGUGCUGGUUCUCCCCCCACUACCUCCACACCAUCCAAAUCCUCCACAUCAAAACCGCCACCACCAGCACCCAAACAAGAAGACUUCGUCGAACAACCUUAUCGCGGGGUCAUCCACAUGAUCACUCGGGGAUCCAGUGUAGACUUCGACACCAAGCAACAGAAAAAGGACCACUACCGCAGUGUCAACCACGUCGCUCUCACCGGCCCAGUGGUACAAACAAAGUGGUCCCAUGUACCGCUCACUUUCGAUGCCAGGGACAUUGAUUUGCGCAGUGCACCACAUGCAGAUGCCAUGGUAAUCAAUUGUAGGGUAGCAGGCUGGGAUUUGCACAAAGUAUUGGUCAACAAUGGCAGUCAGGCCGAUAUCAUCUUCUUGCAUGCCUUUGAUCGCAUGGGCAUCAGCCAUAGCCUCCUUAAGCCCGCAGACAACCCUUUAUAUGGUUUCAGAGGCAAAGGCAUGUUCCCUAUUGGCAAAAUAGAGCUACCAUUUUCAUUCGGCACGACGCCCAGCGCGUGAAGCGAGCAAGUCACCUUUGACAUAGUCGACAUGGUCUACCCAUACAACACCAUAAUGGGGCACAGUUUAAUCAACAAGUUUGAGGUAGCCAUUCAUGGGAUUUAUCUCUACAUGAAGAUCCCAAACCCACAGGGCAUGAUCACAGUCUACGGAGACCAAUAGACAGCACAGAACAUCGAGAGAGACUUCAUUCUAGGGCAGCGUAAUGUUCACUGCCUAACAGCAGAGUGCGAAAGCAGCUAUAGUCAUCGCUCAGCCAAAAGCAAAAAGAUCAAUGCCUAGCUGUAGAGCAACGACGAGACGAAGAUAGUACCCCUCGAUCCCGCAACCCCAAAACAAACAGUCAUGAUCAGCGAAGACCUGACACCACACGAUGAGGGAAGGCUUCUUUCUUGUCUAAGCCGCAACAAGAUGUCUUCUCCUGGUCCGCCCUCGACCUAGUAGGGGUUAGCCACGCCAUCAUCGAACACAGUUUGGGCAUCGACCCCUCGGUGCGCCCAAAAAAGCAGCGGCUAAGAAAAAUAUUCGACGAAAAAACAGAGGCAACCAAAGCCGAGGUACAUCGCCUAUUGGAAGCCAAAUUCAUCGAGCCAAUCGCCUACCCAACAUGGCUCGCCAACGUCAUGAUGGUGCAGAAGAAGAGCGAAAAAUGGCGCAUGUGCAUUGAUUUUACAAGCCUUAACAAAGCAUGCCCCAAGGACACUUCCCCCUACCACGAAUCGACAAGAUUGUCGAUUGCGCAGCAGGCUGCGAAGUCAUGUCCCUCUUAGAUUGCUUCUCGGGUUACCACCAGAUCCAUAUGAAAGAGGAAGACAAGCCAGCACCAGCUUCAUCACCCCCCCUUCGGCACGUACUGCUUCGUACGAAUGCCCGAGGGACUCAAGAACGUCGGCUCGAAUUUUUCCCACCUCACCAAGAAGGUCCUCAAUAACCAAGUAGGCCGCAACGUCUUCACUUAUGUGGACGACGUCAUCGUUGCAAGUAAAAGCAAGGAGGCCACCUGUCUGACCUCGCAGAAACAUUUGCCAACAUGCACGAAGCAAGGCUCCAACUGAACUCAGAGAAGUGUAUCUUUGGGGGUACGUCAAGGAAAAAUCCUUGGCUACCUAGUAUCUCACCGAGGAAUCGAAGCCAAUCCAACUAAAAUCCAAGCAAUCAUGGACAUGGCACCGCUGCAAUCCACCAAGGACAUCCAGCAGCUAACAGGAAGACUAGCGGCUCUGAAUAGAUUCAUCUCCAAAUUCGCCGAGCGAAGCCUCCCAUUCCUCAAAACAUUGCGAGGCGCGAAAGACUUCGUUUGGGGCCUAGAGCAAGCAGCGGCCUUCGAGUCCCUCAAACAACAUCUGUCUGACCUGGCGACCCUGACAAGUCCAGACCUAGCACUCCCCCUCCAACUUUACAUUGCGGCCUCGCACAGCACAGUCAGCGCUGGUCCAAGAAAAGGAAAGGGACGUCAAGACUCAGCAAUGCCCAGUGUACUAUGUCUCUGAAGUCCUUACGAGUUCUAAAUGCAACAUGACUGAACUUGAGAAAAUCUCAUACGCAGUCAUGAUGGCUUCGUGCAAGCUGCGACAUUACUUUGAGGCAUUCAAAAUACGAGUCACUUCAGACAGGGGCCUUGGGGAAAUGCUCAAAAAUCCGAAAGCAUCCGCAAGAAUAGCAAAGUGGGCAGCGGAACUCUUAGGGUACAACAUCACUUUCAAGCCCAGAGCAGCAAUCAAAUCACAAGUCCUGGCAGAUUUCAUCGUAGACUGGACAGGACCUGUAGGGCCACAAUAGGACCAUGCAGAAACAGUCUGGACUAUCCACUACGAUGCGCAUGGUGUCACGCAGGUGCAGGCGCUGCGGCGAUCAUCACAUCACCUGCCGAAGUCAAAUACAGAUACGCCGCGCGCCUUAGCUUUGCACUACAGUCUGACAGAUGCACAAACAACAUAGCUGAGUAUGAAGCGGUCAUCCUCGGACUUCGCAAGCUACGAGCCCUCGGCGUGACCACAUGCAUCAUUAAAACGGACUCCAAGGUCAUCGUCGGCCAAAUCGAAAAGGAAUAUUCAGCCGAAGAGCCCAUACUAAUACAGUAUCUCGUCGAUGUUUGAAGCCUCGAGAAACAAUUCAGGGGUUUCACUCUACAACAUGUUGAGAGAAACAAGAACGAAGAUGUCGAUACAUUAGCUAAAGCAGCAGCAAAAGGUGAAGCCCUGCCCUCCGAUGUAUACUAUCACGUCAUCGGUACACUAGUCGUCUAAAAUCCUAAAGGCCUACAAAUAACACAGGACGCCGACGGGCACCGGAUUGUCAACCUUAUAAUGGCCGAAGUCUAGCGAGCCCCAAUAACCCUAUACCUCCAAGGACACUACCACCCAUCCGAUCGCAAUGAGGCCAAAAGGCUUAAACACAGAAGCAGAGACUUCACAAUCAUCAAUGGCCAGCUAUACAAGAAAGGAAUCAACCAACCUAUGUUGAAAGGCAUAACUGAAACCGAAGGCUUAGAGCUUCUCUGUGGAAUCCACAAUGGUACUUGCGGAUCACACUCAGGACUAAGGGCCCUUGUAGCCAAGGUCAUUCGUCAGGGAUUCUAUUGGCCCGCAGUCAUAUGUACGGCCAACCGAGUAACCCGAUCGUGCGAAGCAUGCCAGAAAUUCUCGCUCCGAAUAGGCGCCCCUUCGCAACUCACCAAGCUCAUUGCCCACACCUGGCCGCUCAAGCGGUGGGGGCUCGACAUUGUCGGACCACUACCCACAGCUCAAGGAAAUCUCAAAUUCACCUUCAUCGCUGUCGAAUACUUCACCAAGUAGAUCGAGGGCAGAGUAGUCUCCACAAUAACAUCCAAUACAACACAAAAAAUUUUCUGGCAGAAUAUCGUAUGUCGGUUCGGAGUCCCAUCUGAAUUGACAGUCGAUAACGACAAGCAGUUCGACAACCAAUACUUUCGAGAAUUAUGCAAUUCCAUCGGCACGAAGGCAGUGUUCGCCUCUAUCUACCACCCACAGUCCAACGGCGUAGUAGAGCGCGCCAACGGCAAGAUCUUUAGCUCUAUCAAGAAGAGACUACUUCAUGACAAAAAGGGAAAAUGGGCGGACCAACUACCCAAAGUCAUAUGGGCAUUGAACACGACAAAAACCAGAGCAACGGGAUUCACACCAUUCCGCUUGAUGUACGGAUCCGAAGCAAUGACACCACAAGAGCUAAAGCAAGGAUCCCCACGAACAAGCCCAACAGCCACCCCUGACGUCGAUGAGCUAACCUCCAAAGACCUUAUCGACGGAGAUCGUCUCCUCGCUCUGGAAACACUGAACAAAUAUCAAGCACAUACUAAGGCAUGGCGCGACAACACAGACAUCCAAAUAGAGUUCAAAGAAGGAGACUUAGUACUCACAAGAACCAUCAGAACAGAGUCUCGGGGCAAGCUUGAACCCAAGUGGGAGGGGCCCUACAUCAUCAAAACCAAGACAUCGCCGAAUGCUUAUAGGCUCACCUCACCAUCCGGCGAAGACCUAGAGCAUUCGUGGAAGAUAGAUAACCUGCGCAAAUUCUUCGUCUAAGUCCCAAGGCCCGAGUGCCAUUGUAAUUCUUGAAACAAUGUCAAUUAGGCCCGCACUCUUUUCCUCCCAGGGGGUGAGUUUUUUAACAAGGCGGAGCCAUGUAAUAUAAUACCGCAAAGCCACCAAACAAAAGCAGUCAAACUGGCACCACAGCCACGGGUGUUGAAAAAGACCGCGACAACAGCCUUCGACAUUCGACGCACAAAACAGUCACCCACAAUUGGUAGCCUCGACUACCCUCGCGUGCGACACAUCCGAGCAAAAGUCGCCUAAGGGUGCAGCCAGACAAAAGCACAAUAUAUGCGCGACAUCACCCACAGGGUGCGAAGUCUUCAUGGAAAGACACGUCCGAGCAAAAGUCGCCUAAGGGUGCAGCUGGACGAAAGCACAAUAAGUGCGCAACAUCACCCACAUGGUGCGAAGUCUUCACAGAAAGACACGUACGAGCAAAAGCCGUCUAAGGGUGCAGCUGGACAAAAGUGUAAGUGCGUGUCACCACCGCAGGGUGUGAAGUCCCCUACAAAAGCAACUUCCAAAACAGAUAUCGCCUAGGGGCGCAACCGAUAACUAAAGUGUUGCAUAGUCAUCCCUACGACACGAACACGAUUACAAAUCGAAGCCAACUCGCAAUAAGCACAACAUACAAGCGCGCAAUCUCAAAUAUACAACAAACAAAGGGCUCAACGGCACCAUCACGCAAUAAUACAAAUCACAACUGUAACCCUCACAACUCUAUUGCGAAGAGGGGGAGGGCACCGUUUUCACUCACUAUCACAACAAGAGCAGUUAGGGCAACUAAAAUGUCACAUAGGCUCCGCCUUCAGAAUAAGACCCGCCUCCUGGAAAUUGAACAACAUCAUCCUCAACUCUUCCCCCUCAAAUAGGUCCCACAAGUCCCCCUCUCCAAUGCACGUCCCGGACGUCGAGGAAAGUAGCUCGCGCUGACCACCCUGAUCCAGUCGAAGACGAGACCUUUCCAUACCCAUUCGGCGACGUCUUCCACUUCGUGAAGUCUCGCUGGUGCUCUGUUUUGACACAACCACCCUCCGCCUCCACGAGUCUUCAGCCCUCGCUUCGGCCGAGGUCGCCAGCGCUUCGCGAGGAGCAGAUCGCGAUGGAGACCCCAACACAACCAAAUCCAAUGCAGCUAAGUAAUCUAAGUCCUCCUCAGAAUAUUCCUCAACCCAUGAGAAAGGACUCCCAAAUUCCUCCCCGUCUGAGGACCACGACCUAAGCUCAGACCCCUCAGACACAUUUCCAUUAAGAGACAUCACAUUUGCAGCCGUCAAAACAUUAUUAUCAACAUCAUCAGGGUUUGCUUGCGCAGGCCCGGACAUCGGAACCAGCGCAGCAACCGACCCAAAGUAUCACAAAAAGUAAAGCACCUAAAACCUAAAAUCCUUAGCGCAUCUCUUCAACCUGUGCUGGAGCAGACGCUGUCGCAGGGUCUUCUCCGGAGCCAUCUUGAGGUGCUGAUUGCCCUUCAGCUCCUGCCUCCUCCGCGCUACCCAUCCGAGUCAUCGAGCUCUCAAGAUGGUGAGGUCGUCAAUGUCUUCUUCAUUCAUCAUCUGCGAAAGCAACAAAACAAUUCACAAUCAGGAAAAAAACCUGCGCCAGUGCUCGAUCGGCCCUCUCCCGGACAGUGCCAGGACCAUGAGGACCCCACAUCCUAUCAUAAAGCGCCCCAACAGACCACUUUAACACAUCAUCUUCAACCUAGCAAAUUCUGCGGUCGAAGUCCUCGCUCGCCCGGUCGAAGACUUCGAAGUGCCUACAUCCUUCGUGGGACAAGGCAUUCGCCGCCCCUCACAAGUGACAAGAGAUGCAUAGGACAUGAGGCUCAUCACGAUGGACGUGAGUGACUCUAGCUCCUUGUAACACCCUGAUUUUGGGGGGUAUAAAAUUUCUUUCUAAUUAUCACCCAAAAUCAUGUGUUACUCUUCUUUUUCUCACUCUAGGCUUUCUCUCUCUCUAGAUUCUUUCUCCCUUUUUCCAUUUUGAUUAGAAAUAGCUUAAACUAGUGGGGGUUAAUUAUUUAUUUUUGCCAAAACCUUAUGAGUCAUGACAUGUUGCAUCAUGCUGAGCUUAAAAUAUUCUUUGAAGUGUUGCACAAGUUUGAAUUUAUUUGAGUUUGAAACCUAAUUUGAAUUUGGAUUUGAAAACCCUAUAGAAAAGAAAUAGAAAAGGAAUUAGAAAAUCCAGAGAAAAGGAAAAGGAGAAAGCAGCCUAGCCAGGCCACGCGCCCACGCCGCCUGACAGGCGGACCCCGCCUGUCAGCGGCAGUUCUCCCUCGCACGCCCUCCCUCUCUCGCUCGCUGCCCAGUGGGGCUGAUCUGUCAGCGCCGGUUUUCUUCACCGGCGCACUCCCUCUCUCUCUGUCUCACUGGCCCGGAUCGCCAGUGCCGAGCCGUUGCCCCCGCGCGUCCCCUUUUCUCUCUCUGCGCCGUGGGCCUGCCCUGUCAGUUCCGCCCCCUCCGCGCUCGCCGUGGACUGGUGCGUGCGCACUCGCGCACGUCGCCGGAUUUCUCGGCCACGACGCCCGCCCACGCGCCCAGCUCCCUUCUUAGAGCCCCGCUGGUGCCCCGUGCACACCCCUCGCCUCAUUUCGCUCAGCUUCACCCUCUCUCGUGCUCUGCCCUCAUCGCCAAACGCCGCCGGAGACCCGCGCCCGCGUUCUCGGCCAUCCAACUCGCUGGAGACCGCUCCAAGCCUCCCCGAGCUCCGCCCUGAGGUGAGACACCCGUCCCCAUGCCCAAUUUUCCCUAUUGCGCCCUGUGUUCGGCCAAUUUCACCUUCGCCGGUGCUCGGCCGCGGUGGUCCUCCGUGCUCAUGCGGUGGCCAGCCGAUUUAGCCCGGUCUAGUUCACCGGAGUAGGUCCCUGUGUCACCCCUGCCUCUGCUGAAGUUAGCCAAGGCCUUAGCGCGCCUUAAGUCCCCUCCCCGUGGCCGGAAUGGCUCACUGGAGUUACUCCGGCCCGCCCGAGGCUUUCUCACCGCCGUUCUUCCCUCUCUGCCCAUGGAUUCAUGGCCCCUUCCCCGCCAUUGAGUUCGUCGUGGCACCCUCUUCCUCUCUUCCCAACUCCGGCGACCCCGGAGCCACCCUAGCCCGUGCCAGCCUCAACUCCGGCGACCUCACCGCCGCAGAGAGGAACAGCGCCGCCUGCAGCCGUCCGUUUCCCCCUGUUCUGAUCCCCUCCGACCGAUUCAGAACGCACGGCCCGGACCCCGGGUACCGCUUCGCGCACGCGUGCCUGCCGCCCUGGCCCGCCUGUCAGCGUCGCCCGCAGCCGUCUGCCCCCUUGGUCUGAUCCCCUCUGUCUGAUUUAGAUCGCACGGCCCGGACCGCAGGUACCGCUUCGUGCCCGCACGCCCUGACUCCCUGGCCCGCCUGUCAGCGCCCAAGCCCCCUGGCGCUGGGCCCGCUCGGUCAACGUGCUCUCCCCCUCUGUCGCUGGCACUCCCUGGCCCGCCUGUCAGCGCUCACCCGCAGAUCUAAUCUCGGCCAUUAGUUUUAAAUCUGACGGUUAGAUUCACCCGAUACCCCUUCGCGCGGUAGUUUUCUUAAAGAGACCCUCGGUUUACUGGAAAUCAACCCAUCGUCCCUGGUUUUUGCGCGUAGACCCCUGUAAUCUUGCAGACUGGACUUUUAAAUAUUCACAGAAUUAGCCCUAAAUUCAUAUUUUGAAUUCCCAAACUUGUUUAUUUCAUAACUUUUGCAUAUGAACUCCAAAUUUAGUGAUUCAAAUUGCAAAAUGUUGAUAGAGUUAUUCUCUGUUUAAAUAAAAUAGGUUCACUUACUGAUUGCACACUCUAAUUUUUAGGAUUGAAUAUGAACUAAUGUAGAUGCAUUUCUAUUUAUGCAAUAAAAUAAAUAAAAGGAGAAACCUUAGAGAUUUAAACUUGUUUAAGCUUGUGAGAUUAAUAAUAUGUAUUACAUAAGUUCAUCCCUGUUCUAAAUUUUAGGUCACAAUAAAAUAAAUUAAUCUAUGUUUAUGCACUUGUAAGUAACACUUAGGGAAAUAAUAAUCUACUAGGUGAAUGCCCGUGCGUUGCGACGGGAUUAAAAAAAUUGUAUGAAACAUAUAAACGGAACGACAAAAAUCGUGUGAUAAAUACAUAACAUAUCUUUAUAAUCAUAGUAAUGUAAUGCUGCACAAGUAUACAUUUUUGAAAGGAAUAAGGACAAGCUUUUGCAUUAGUCAAUAACAACUAAUACAAGUAAACAGAGGCAAUAGGGCGUGACAUUUUAUUAUUGAAUACACAUCGCAGUUUAGAGCACAUAGUAUAAGAAAAAAAAUUAUAGCACUCAUAACAACACAAGUGUACCUCGGAUAAUUUAAAUGUAGAGAACAUAAGAUGUCCACAACCUACAUGAUCCAGGUCAUAUUCUACCACAGUCCCUAUGGCAACAUUUCCUUCACGGAUAUUUGUAAUUUGAUAGAAAUAAAUGUAGAGUACAUAUGAAUUUGUCGAAGUCACGAUAAUGGAAGAUGGAAAUCGCACAGAGCAUCUCCUUUUCCAGCGCGCCCUGCACUAUCAAAUAAAGGAGUUCUAUCAAAUUACAAAUUCAUAGUACCAUUAGUUUGGUUGACAAAAUAUUUGUUAAACAUUGACAUUUAACUAUUUUUAGAUUAAUGUCAUAUUAAUUCAAUCUAAACUAAAUUAUGUGAAAGCAAAGGACCUUGAUACCAAUCCCUAUUACAUUAAAAACAGUAAACUUUGUUACUGACGUCAUUAUCAACUAUCUAAGGGGUAUAACCACAUAACCAAAUUUGAAGUAUAAGUUCAAUACUAACCUCACCAGAUGUUAUGUGACCAACAAACUUGUCCUCAAAUUCUCGGCACAACUCCAAAGCAACUGCUGGGGUUCCUUCGGCACUUUGUACCAUAGAUUCUCCCAACCUUGCCAGUUCAUCUUGCACGAUUUGAGACCCACGGCUGAAAUUGCAGCACAACAAGUGGGUUUCAUUUUAGCAAAAUAUAAAUUAACACCAUCAUAGUGAGAAGAAUUUGUGUCCCAAUAUAUAGCAUUUAUAUCUAAGUAUUAGAUAGCAGAUACAAUGUUAUUGAAGAACAAGACAUAAUUCUUACCCAUUCAAUAGGUUAGGAACCCGCACUUUCAUUAAAACCACGGAUUUGCUUAGCAAUUCUAUCUACCAAAGCAAUUCUACCAAGCUAAUUAUGAGGAAAUCCAGUUAACAUGUUUUUCAAGCUUUUAGCUUCAACUCUCCAGGCUGUCACUAAGUACUGUAUACAAAAAUCAAGUAUAUGUAACUGUUUAAUUCACCAUGAGGAGAUUCAGUUCAGAUGUGUUUGUACAAGUUAAAAACACAAGUUGGAUGCUCAUGGUUUCCAAAAGCGCACGAUGAAAUCCGGAGCAAUUAUUAAAUGGACAUAAAAUAGUAAGCAAUUACUCCACUCAUGGUGAAUUAAGCUGGUUGUUACCUUGCCGAGUUAAGUUAGUCGUUUAUAAAGGUCGUGUUGAAUACAAAGCCUGAGGGUUCCUUUUCACGUCGAUCUAUCUAUAUAGUUGGAUUGAAGAGGGAAAGUAAUUGCCUGCACCUAUCACAGUGAAAAGAUAGUUACUUAAAAACUGAAUUUACAUAUAUAGAUAGAUACAACAAUCUGGGAUGAGAAGGAACAAUUGAUACAAGCAUGCACAGAGAAUAGGUCAGGAAUUUUUGAAUUUUAAAAGAUCACAAUAAGAAUACAAAGCAUAACUAACAGACAGAUGUGUGAUAGACAGAUAGACAAUUAUAGGAUCAGAGUUUGUGUUCCCUAGAUAGAUAGACAGACAAAUGUGUGAAUAAAUCACAUUUGGGACUGAAUUCGGAGCUAGCACGUUUUGCUUCCUACAUUUGUGAAUCAAUAUCUGUAAUCGUGAUGAAUUGAAUAGCUAGCUUGUCCUUCCAAACUAAUAUCUGUAAACGUUUUGCUUCAGGUUUCAUAUUUGACUUGGGAUUUGGAAAAUAGGUAGGGAUGCAAGGGACAGGUGGUAGUGGGUGUUCUCAGUUCAGUUUCUUCUCGCCCAGCAGAAAAAGAACAUAAUGCAAAAAAAAAUUUAAAAUUAUUUUAAACAAAGCUAUAGUUUCUAUCGAAGCACUGCUCUGUUGUCAAUGUCCUUCUACAGACAGAUUAAUAUCAUAUUAAUUCAAUCUAAACUAAAUUAUGUGAAAGCAAAGGACCUUGCAACCAAUCCCUAUUACAUUAAAAACAGUAAACUUUGUUACUGACGUCAUUAUUAACUAUCUAAGGAGGUAUAACCAAAUUUGAAGUAUAAGUUCAUUACUAACCCCACCAGAUGUUUUGUGACCAAGAAACUUUUCCUCAAAUUCUCGGCACAACUCCAAAGCAACUGCUGGGGUUCCUUCGGCACUUCGUACCAUAUAUUCUCCCAACCUUGCCAGUUCAUCUUGCACCAUUUGAGACUUACGACUAGAAUUGCAGCACAACAAGUGGGUUUCAUUUUAGCAAAAUAUGAAUUAACACCAUCAUAGUGAGAAGAAUUUGUGUCCCAAUAUAUAGCAUUUAGAUAGCAGAUACAAUGUUAUUGAAGAACAAGACAUAAUUCUUACCCACUCAAUUGGUUAGGAACCCGCACUUUCAUUAAAACUACGGAUUUGCUUAGCAAAUCUGUCCACCAAAGCAAUUCUACCAAGCUAAUUAUGAGGAAAUCCAGUUAAGAUGUUUUUCAGGCUUUCAGCUUCAGCUCUCCAGGCUGUCACUAAGUACUGCAUACAAAAUCAAGUAUAUGUAACUGUUUAAGUCACCAUGAGGAGAUUCAGUUCAGAUGUGUUUGUACAAGUUAAAAAAACACAAGUUGGAUGCUCAUGGUUUUUUGGACGAAGAUGGAAAUAAUAAGAAAACUCACUUCUUUUCCCCCACUGAUGGGCGCGUGCGCACUGCGGCCCUAGCGGAGGCAGCGGUCUUCUCCUUGAGCUGGACAAGGGUUUGCACCAGUGUACCCACCAGGAAGAUGAGCAUGGGGAUGGGGUGGCGGGGGCCAGCGGCGUCGCUAGGGCUGGAGAAGAAGGCCAACUCGUGCUGGCCACCAAAGUGUAACACAUAUAACAAUAUUAGGCCAUAUGCUUAUUAAAAAACAAAGGAGUUAUAUAUAGUACUGACACAUACCAACUUGAGGAUCACCAUUGUUUGUAUCAAUAUUUACAAGCAUCCCCUUAAUUCAACCAACAGGAGGACGCUGAUGAGUUGCUACAGAUUCUAGAACAAAAACAAGAAGAGGAGACAAACGGAAAAAUCAGUAACAAUCUAAAAAACUCACUAUGAGGGAUUGCCCUCUCGAUCCUCUCCUCCUUCACCAGCAGGAGGACGCUGAGGGUUGUGCUUCUAGACAUUCUCGUGACCCUGCUUGAAGUGGCGGCGCUGUGUGUGCCCACGCUUCAGCCCACCACUCAUCUUACCCCUCUGUAGCAUGAGUGCGCGCUCCUUCUCCUCACCGGCCUCGCCAUGUUCGGCUAAGCGUGGUGCUGGGUCUGUGGAGUCGUCGGAGGUGUCGCACGCUCGCCCCGCCUCCCUUGCGGGUCUGGGAGGUGUCGCACGCUCGUCGCCACCAUGCCUUGACCGAUCUUGGCGUAGGCAAUCUUCUGUUCUCCUUAGCCUUGAUGACGAUGCCAUCUCCGAGCUUCUUGAGGGGGGGGGUGGGGGGUUGUCUCAGCGAGCGCGCAUCUAGGGGUGGUGUUGGGCAAGGGCAUGGCCUUGACUGGUGUGGUGAUCCCCUCGGGCGCUGAUGGAAGGGGAUGGUGGGGGGAGGUAAAGUGAGUUCGUCGGUUGGGGUUUCCGCCUUAGGGUUUGAGGCGUUGCUUCGGCGCUUUGAGUGUCGGCAAGGUUACAUGAUGGAGUAGGGACGCGGGGUAAGAAAGCCUUACGGUGAGAGAAGCUCCAGGCGGCAGCGGUUGAGAUAUCUAGGUGGCGACCUCUCUGGACUCCAGGCUUUCCUCCGGCCCCCUCCGAGCUCCACCUGCGCCCGUGCUUCUUCCCUCCAGCGGCGGCCCGCUCGCGUUAGGUCCCCUCUGUCUUGCCCCUGUGAACUCCCCUCCGCCCUACGAGGAUUUGGUGGCGCUGAUGGCGUGGUGUCGACCGAGGAUUUGGUGGCGCUGAUGGCGAGGCAGGUUUGGGCCAUGAGCAAGGGCGCGUGGGGGAGGACGCAAUAACAACAGAACUCUAUCACAAUGCAACACUCUGCAUGAUGAUGAUAUAAUGUAAUUAUGUAAACCAUUCAGAAUUAUAACUAUUAGAGUUAUGGUGGUUGAAUUGUAAUGGAGUCUUUGUGUAAUGGGCUUAGGCCCAACAACUCUGUUACAAAUAUAUCACCCAACCCUGAUUAAGGUUAGGUUUUCAGUCUCCAACUAUAACAAAUAUAUUACAACUAUCCUCUAAAAUAAAACAACUACAAAUAGAAAUGUGAUUGAAUGCCAGUAUUCCUGACAACAUAACAGAAAAAAUGUUGUUACAUAGCAGUGCUACUGUGUCUAGGUGCCACCAACCUGUUAUACUUGAGCAGCUAGUAGGGAAUGUAGUCAAAGCUACCACGAACUCUUUUCAAACAUAAGAAUUGCCCAUAAUCAUUAUUUAUAUAUCAUUUGUACCUAUUCCUAUCCCCCAUCCCCCCAUAAUAUAUCACAAUUUAAACCAGAGAAUGAUAAAAAACAUUUAUUUUAUAGGAAGAGACAAAAAACAUGAAAAUUAACUGUAGGAAGUAGCAACAGUAAGAGAUAUAAGAAACAACUGCCAAUACAAUGUAUAAAAGAUCCAUGUUUAGCAGGUAGAUCAUGUCGAGAAAAGGAGUACCUGAACUUGAAGCUCCCUGGCAGAAAAAUCAAGCAAGUCACCCAACAAUCUCCUUUUAAAAAUAGGUAAUGAUUCUUCAUGCCUUAAAAAGAACAGAAAGUAUAAGGUUGUAACAAAACUGUAGAGCGAAAAACACCAGUAACCGAAAAGGGUAAUGGUAAACAUAGUGCAGAGAAAACAAAUAGUGUUGCCUAAGAAAUUUUUGAAGUAAAUCUAAAGAUUUUAGUGCAGAUAUCUUAUAGUGAAGUUCUGAAAUUAUUUCUUGAACAAGUACCCGAAUAUCUAGCUAACCUACAGAUUUUUAAGAGUGAAUGGACCACCUGAUCCAAACGCAGCGAACGAAUCCAGCCUGGUGGAUCAGGAGCAUCCAUGCUAGAAUCAAGUACUCGUCGAAUUCAGGAUUCGGACGUAAUGCUUCUCCUUCUUCGGUUCAGUACCUAUCAAAACAUCAUUUGUCAUCUCCGUGGGCAGCGCAAAAAGAGCAUCAGUACCCCAUCAAGGGCCGCGCAUCCUCCGAAGACGGGCAACUUCUUAUCUAGAAAAAAAAUCAUACCAAAGAGUAGUAGAGAAGAGAUUUCUGCAUUUCAAAGGGGAGCGGAGUGUUUGACGUCUUGACAGCUCAUGCUUGGAGUGCCAAACACGCAGACGCAGCAGCUCCGAAGCAAACUCCAUGACUCGGCCUCCUCUUCCUAGAACCAUCCGGUCCAUCCAGCCGUCGCCGCCUCACAUCCUCCACCUCCCCGGAUCCCACCGCGAUGGAGGAAGACGAUGAGUUCGGUGACCUCUACACGGACAUCCUCAUCCCCACUCAUACCCCCAAUCCACCUCUUCCUAGCACCAUCCGGUCCAUCCAGCUGCCGCUGCCUCGCAUCCUUCACCUCCCUAGAUCCCGUCGCGAUGGAGGAAGACGAUGAGUUCGACGACCUCUACACGGACAUCCUCAUCCCCACUCAUACCCCCCAAUCCACCUCCACGCUAUCCAACCCUGUUCUAGUCGAAACCCUACACCACCCGCCUCCACACCCUAAUCCUACCUCCAUGGCGGCAGCAGCAGAGGAGGUCGACGAUGACUGGCUCCUAGGAGGGAGCGAAUCCAUACCUAGGGUCGACCCGACCAGCGAUUGGGCCGACGAGGACGACGAUGGAGGGGAGCCUGCACCUCCCCCGAAGCGGUCCACCUCUGCGGAUGAUAUCGAUCCGCUCAUGGGGGUGGUGCUGGGGAUUCCGGGCCAGUCAACCCUGGGCUCUCGUCAUCAUCGGCAGAUGGUGCGGCCGGGAGCGACGAAUGGGACAAAGGGGUAGGAGAUCCUCGGAUCCGUGGGUGAGGGCUCGACGUGGGCAUAGCUGGGGCUGGGUUAACGCGUGGGCGUGCGCGAGAUCUAGCGGCGAGGGCACGACGGACAUCCAUGCGUGGGCGUGGGAGGGAGCGGUGGGAAUGAGCGGAGCGAAGGAUGUCGCGGGAGGCAGAACCGUGGUGUGUGGACGCCUACACUAUGUCCUUAACAGGGUGUUUGGAUCCCUUCAUUUUAGAGGAAUUGGAAUUCACUCAAUAAAGUAACUUAUUUAGUUUGGAAUUUGACAUUCCACCACUUUCCAAAGUUCAGAUAUAAGCCUAUCUCAAAUUCAUGAGGCGUGGGAUGGGAAAUGAUUUUAUGCAUUAGUAGAAUUUGUUUCUACUCUGUAAUUUACAUGACACUCUUUGUCUCACUCUUCUAUAGUAAAAAUGUAGCAUAUAAAUACCUCCAACAUCUUGCUAAUAAUAGUAUAUAAAUAUAUUUUACAUAAACCAGAAUUAGCUUAAUUGAUAUAUGCCUAAAUUACUAUUAUUAGAAUGGAAUUCAAUUCCAAUGAUCCAAACGAGACGUAGGAGAUAGCAGAGAAUACUCCCUUAAUCUAAAAAUAUAAUUUAAUAAUCUCGGUGAUACUUAUCUUCUACUACAGAUUGUGCAAGGGUAGCAGGUGGGUUUCGGGAAAGAUGUAGUAUAUGUUUUUACUAUAAUAGAUAUAGACAUAAACACACAUGUGGUGUAGUGGUAGCAAUGAGUACAUUUGCUUGAGAGGUCAUGGGUUCAAAUCCCCUUGGGGCCUGUUUUUUUAAUUUAAUUUUAGCUAGGCGUGGGAUGUACGUGGGAAUGGAAAUGAGCUUUGUGGGAGGGGAGAAUGAGAAAGGAAACGAGGAGGGGUAAUUGAAAAGGUAGAACAGGGAAUGGGAAUGGCAGAACACGGAAUGACAGCCUACCCCUUACUGCCUUAAUAAGUAGUAGAGAUUUCCAAAAAAAAGUUAAUGUAUAUUAUAGUUUAUGAUUAUACUUUGAUUCAUUAUCCCUUAUGUAGUAUUGUGUCCUUUUAAGAUGUGUUCCAAUGUUUGUACAUGUUUGGUGUGGUGUUCAUUUGUACUUUCCAAACGUAUUGAAUGCAUGCUCGCUUUAUUUAGACAACGAGCAGUCCAAGGUUCCUGAGUGUGUUGUUGGAGACCUCCCUGAGCAGCAACCUGGUGAAGGCAAGUGUCCUCUGACCUAUUAUGUCCUACAUACUUUAUGAUUCACUGUCUCGCAUUACUUUAUAAAACCAAAGGAUUGACUAGUCUAUAUUCACUUAUCCUUGUUUACCUUUUGGGUUACCAUGGUUAGCAUGUUGCUAUUGCCUUAACUUAAUCAAUGAACAUGAUGUGAACAUUUAUGAUACGACACUGUUAUCUUGAUUAUGUGGAUGAUUCUGUGAUACCUUAGGGGGCUCAGGCCUUUUUCCUGAGUACCUCUCCGUAAGGACCUGUUCGUGGAGUGACCACCCGGGAUAACACUACAACCAUGAGGGUGGAAUGGGACGCCCUGAGCUGAUUAAUUAGAUGAACCUGGGGUGUAGUUGGCUUUGCCAGAUGGCCGUCAAUGAGGGCAAGGGCGUAGUGCUCGCUCUGCUAAGGUUGGGGUGCAAAGGUUCUUUCGAUUUGGUUUUGUUAGUCACCCACCUUGGGGAGGUGUACUGCGUUUGUAUGACUGGCGAAACCUAAUGAGCAGCUAUGCACCAGGGGAGUCUUUGUAAAGGCUAUGUAGUGUAUCCCUGGCCAUUCACCUUGGUAGUGAAGAUCGGGUCUGUACAACCCAGGCUGGAAAGGGAUCACGACUUGUGGGUAAAGUGUACAACCUCUGCAGAGUGUUAAAAACUGGUAUAUCAGUCGAGCUCACGGUUAAGAGCAGCCUUGGGAUCCUCUUUGAUUAGAAGAACUUUGGAUACUUUUAUGAUGAUGGUUAAUAAUGAUGUUAUAAAAUCUGAUCUCUGGUAUUUCCUCUUUUGAGGGAGUACUACUGGGUAAUAACUGGGUUUAUUACUAAAACUUGGCUCUACUACUAAUAAUAAAUAUUUGACCAACUAAAAGCAACUGCUUGACCUCAAACUCCAUAUACAGCUAGUCCACUUUAGCCAAACGAGACAUUUGCUGAGUACGUUGAUGUGUACUCACCCUUGCUUUACACACCACCCCCACCCCAGGUUGUCCCCAGUGUACCCAAUGCUCAGGAGGUGAUGCUGGCAACAUGGAUGACUUCAAGGAGUUCCAGGAAUAUGACGAGUUCUAGUUCUUUCUUAGUGGCAAACCCCCAAUCAGCUGCCUGUGUAGGCUUAGCAUCUACGUUUCAUAUUUCCGUACUUUGAUAAUUAUGUUUAACAAUGGUUAUGUAAUAGACUAUGUGGAUGUCUUGGACAUCUUGAUGUAAUUAAGUACCUUUCUGUUAUUUAAUUCGAGCAUUGUGUGAUGAUGUCCAAUUAUGUAAUCACUGUGUACGUGAGUUUCUGAUCCUGGCACAUACAUGGUUCGCAUUCGGUUUGCCUUCCAAAACCGGAUGUGACAUAAGUGGUAUCAAAGCCUUGCUGAUUGUAGGACCGCUAACCUAGACUUGAAUGGUCGCCCUAAGGACUAUAGACACUUACUCUUACCUUGACCUUAGAGUUCUUUCAAAAGUUGGUCAUCUUGACCAACUCUAUGUUAUUUACUCAUCUCAAAAGGUUUUAUCUCACUUUUCUUUCUGUUUACUUUCUGGUCUCAUAGUUGUACUCUUACUCUUGUGCUUAUGAUGUACUUUGUAGAUGGCCCGUAUCAGGUGCACUGCACGUAAGUCUGUGAUCCCCUUUUUGCCUUCUCGCCUAGCGGAGCGUCCACUGCGUCGCACGGUGCCAGGUCAGUCCAGCCAGCUGGAGAGACUGCAUCGUCGCCUGCACGAGGAGCAGGAGCGCCGACGCCAGGAGCAGGAGUAGCAGGACUCUUCCACCUCGCCUUAGCAGGAGGUGGAGUCUGAGACGUCGCCUUCCCCUGCACCUCAGCCAGAGAUGCCCCCUGCACCACCCUAGGGCAUCUCGGCUACUGGAUGAGACCCUGACGGAGACGGAGAUGACGACGCUGGUGGCAGUUGGAGCCACGGCACGGAGCUCUCGGAGGAGCCGGAGCCAGAGGGAUGGAUCGCUAGACCCAUCACUCGUGACGCCGCUCGCGGGUGUCACUUCCACGACGCUCUCGAUACCCUAUUGUGUCGGGCCUUCGACUGACACACCUGGUCUAUCGAGUACCGUUGUGUAGUCUACCACCAUCGCCACGGUCUAUACCCGGACCAGUGGGAGGCUACUUGCUUGGUGCGCUGUCCGUACGAUGAUCUCCGGGGUGCAGAGGCCUUCUCAGAGCACUAUUCUAUUACUGAGAGGGAUACUGCCGAGGCAGCCAAGCAAGAUGCAGCACGAUGGGCGCUUUCUCAGUAUUGCUCGUUGUUCAGCAGGGCAGCUGAUGACCUCGACCUGAAGUACUACCCUCGUCGUUCGACCGGCAGUGCUGGAGGUGUGAUUGCCUCGCCAGUUGGUGAGGGCAAUCCUAGGCUGAACAGCAUGGUCAACUUGGUCGCCGUGCUCAACACAGAGUUGGACCACGCCCUUGACGAGUUGGGCAAGGUUUGGGCGGAGGUUGAGGAAUUGCGUGCUGAGUGCGUAGCAUGCCACUAUUUGGAUGGUGGUUCUCCCGCCCCUGUCGGGAUUCAGCACCCUUACCAUUCGCCGCCCCGUGGUCGCUUCGACUAUGGUACCCCAGACUGCAGUACCCGGAUAGAUUUGGAUCCCUAGAUCGACAGAGUCGGAGCCUGUAAUAAUUCUUAGUUAAGUGUCUCAGUCUAGUCAGUCUAGUUAGAGUUAGUUUGCUUAUUUUAUGUUGGAUGUUUGUUAUGAUGAACAUAUACUGAAGUUGGAUCUUUGUAAUGAUUGUCACCAAGGUGUGGGUAUCCCCUACAACUUGGUGUAGUUAUUAAUAAAGUCAGUUAUUUAGUUGGGUAAUCCAUUUAUUUCCACUUUCCUCUUUAUCUGAGAAGCUGUCAGUGAAGAUGGUCAAUUGUUCAGUGCUACGAAGAUUUUCUAUACAUCUUUUCUUAUGCUGAAAGACUGCAGAGUCAGAUUUGAAAUAUAUGUGUGUGAUUUCUACAGAUGUCUGAGAACAGGCGCAGAGGUGCGAGGCGUGCUCAGCCUGAACAGCAGGCACCCCAAGAGGAAGCAGCCCCGCAACAGCAUUUGCCACCGCCACCCCUGAUGACUAUCGAGCAAAUGUUCUUGAUGCAGACCCAAGCAGUCCAGGCAAUUGGUCAGACCUUAACAGCUAUGCACCAGGUGCAGCAGCAGCCAACACCGCCUCAGCCUCCAGUGCAAGUCCAGAUGCCUCAAGUGCCUAGAGACAAGCGGGCAGAGUUCAUGAGGGGCCAUCCCCCAGUCUUUGCUCACUCUGCUGAUCCCAUGGACGUCGAAGAUUGGCUACGUACCGUGGAGCGUGAGUUGCACACUGCCCAAUGCAACGAUCGUGAGAAGGUGUUGUAUGGUCCCUGACAGCUGAGGGGAGCAGCACAGUCUUAGUGGGAGUCUUACCUCGCCACCCAUGCCAACCUGAAGCCAUCACUUGGGAGGAGUUCAGGGAUAAAUUCCAUCGCUACCAUGUGCCCGAGGGACUGAUGAUAGUGAGGAAGGAUGAGUUUCUCGCCUUGAAGCAAGGUCCCCUGUCCGUCAGUGAGUACAGGGACAAGUUUCUGCAGCUAUCGCGUUAUGCCCGAGAGGAUGUCAACACGGAUGCCAAGAGACAGUACUGCUUCUUGAGAGGAUUGGUUGAUCCCCUCCACUAUCAACUGAUGAACCACAUCUUCCCUACCUUCUAGCAUCUGAUCGACAGAGUAAUUAUGACAGAAAGGAAGCAUCAGGAGAUGGAGGACAGGAAACACAAGAUUGGUGAACCUCAGGUUGGGAGUAGCAGUGGUCCUCGCUACUCAAGCAACCCACCUCAGCAAUUCAAACAAAGUCACCAGCACCAGCAUUAGCGUCAGAACCAGCCAUAGCAGUACCAGAGGCAGUUUCCUCAGUAGCAGCAGUACCAUCAGAAUAACCAGGCAGCCCGUAUUCCCGCCCCAGCAUCCAACCAGAGCAACCAAUCAGCGCCAGCGCAAGGAGGAAGUCGUGCGUGUUUCCACUGUGGGGAAUAAGGUCAUUGGGCGAAUUAUUGCCCAAAGAAAGCAGCUCAACAGCAGCCAGCUCCCAAUGCCCUAGUCAGGCAGAAUGCAAUGCAGCAAGGAGGCAACAACCGUGGGUAACCUCGUGUCCAGUAUGGAAAGGUGAACCACCUGGCGGCCGACACAGUCCAGGAGACUCCAGGAGUGGCACUAGGUACGUUUUCAGUCGAGUACUAUUCCGUAAAUGUCUUAUUUGAUACUGGAGCAACGCAUUCUUUUGUGACUGCAUCAUGGGUAGAAUCACAUAAUAUACCAGUAGCACCUAUGAGAGUUAGUUCAGUUGGUGGAAGGACCCAAACUGAUAGAUUUUGCCCUAGUGCAAAGGUUCAAAUAAGGGGGAUAGAGUUCCCCGUCGAUUUGAUAGUUAUGGGUAACCAGGAUACAACUAUAGAUGCCAUCCUAGGGAUGAAUUGGCUAACCAAGUAUCAAGCUAGUCUUAGUUGCGAUGAGAGAACAGUGAAGUUAGUGUCCCUAUCAGGAGAAGAAGUGUUAGUGGAAUUGGUCUUGUCUGGAUCAAGGAAAGGGAGUUGUCACCAAGUUACCGCUCAUAUUGAAAUGAUUAAACCAUCAGAGGCUAUUAGUGUAGUGUCAGAAUUCCCAGAUGUGUUUCCCGAGGAGUUACCAGGUAUGCCAUCCGAAAGGAAGGUUGAAUUUGCCAUAGAGCUUAUACCAGGCACCGCCCCUAUUUCCAUGAGAGCCUAUCGAGUGUCUAGACCGGAAUUGGUGGAACUCAAGAAGCAGAUUGAUGAGUUGUCGGAGAAAGGUUAUAUCAGACCGAGUACCUCGCCUUGGGCAGCCCCAGUGCUAUUUGUGGAGACGAAGGAUGGCACGAAGAGGAUGUGCAUCGACUACAGAUCCUUGAAUGAAGUUACUAUCAAGAACAAGUACCCCCUGCCCAGAAUUGAGGAUUUAUUCGAUCAGUUGAGAGGAGCUAGUGUGUUCUCAAAGAUAGAUCUGAGGUCAGGCUACCAUCAGCUCAGAAUUCGACCCUCAGACAUACCGAAGACAGCAUUCAUCACCAAGUAUGGACUAUAUGAGUUCACGGUCAUGUCAUUCGGUUUGAUGAAUGCGCCAGCUUACUUCAUGUACCUGAUGAACAGUGUGUUCAUGGACUACCUCGACAAAUUCGUAGUAGUGUUCAUUGAUGAUAUUCUUAUAUAUUCCCAGAAUGAGCAAGAGCAUGAGGAGCAUUUGAGGAAAGUACUUCAGAGGCUACGAGAUUGUCAGCUGUAUGCCAAGCUUAGCAAGUGCGAGUUUUGGUUCAGUGAAGUCCUAUUCUUGGGUCACAUUAUAAACCGAGAAGGAUUAGAUGUAGAUCCGAAGAAGGUAGCAGCUAUCUUGGACUAAAAAGCACCAAAAGAUGUCCGAGGAAUCAAGAGUUUCAUCGGAAUGGCCGGUUAUUAUCAGUGUUUCAUUGAAGGUUUCUCCAAGAUUGUCAGGCCAAUGACAGCUUUGUUGGCAAAGAAGGUUGAGUUCAAUUGGACCCCAGCAUGCCAGAAGUCCUUUGAGACAUUGAAGGAGAAGUUGACAACGGCACCAGUACUAAUUUUGCCAGAUGUUCACAAGCCAUUCUCAGUAUAUUGUGAUGCUUCGUAUAUAGGACUAGGAUGUGUGUUGAUGCAGGAAGGGAGAGUAGUGGCAUACUCGUCCCAACAGUUGAAGAUUCAUGAGAAGAAUUAUCCUACUCAUGAUCUGGAAUUAGUAGCCGUGGUUCAUGCAUUGAAGACCUAGAGACAUUAUCUUUAUGGGCAGAAGUGUGAUAUCUACACGGACCACAAGAGCCUCAAGUACAUAUUCACUCAGUCAGAGUUAAACAUGAGGCAGCAAAGAUGGCUAGAGUUGAUCAAAGGUUAUGAGCUGGAGAUUCAUUAUCACCCAGGCAAAGCAAAUGUGGUUGCAGAUGCUCUUAGCAGAAAGAGUCAAGUUAAUAUGUUGGCCGCUUACCCGAUGCCGUAUGAGCUAGCGAAGGAAUUUGACAGAUUGAGCCUCGGAUUUCUGAACAACACCCAAGGAGUGACAAUUGAGUUGGAACCCACUCUAGAGCAAGAUAUCAGGAAAGAUCAGAAGGGUGAUGAGAAGAUCAAUGAGAUCCGGUAGCUGAUCAUAGAUGGGAAAGGCAAGGAUUUCCGUGAAGACACAGAAGGAGUGGUAUGGUUCAAGGACAGAUUGUGUGUUCCCGAUAUCAAAUCGAUCCGGGAACUGAUUCUCAAGGAAGCUCAUGAGACAGCAUACUCCAUACACCCUGGUAGUGAGAAGAUGUACCUAGACCUGAAGAAAAGAUUCUGGUGGUACGAUAUGAAAAAUGGAGAUAGCAGAGUAUGUGGCUGUGUGUGACAGUUGUCAGAGGAUUAAAGCAGAACAUCAGAGACCUGCAGGUUUGUUGCAACCAUUGCAGAUUCCUCAGUGGAAGUGGGAUGAGAUCGAAAUGGAUUUUAUAGUCGGUUUGCCCCGCACUAGUACUGGUUACGACUCCAUCUGGGUAGUAGUGGACCGUUUGACAAAGGUGGCCCAUUUCAUACCAGUCAAGACCACCUACAACAGUGCGGUGUUAGUCGAACUAUAUAUGGCUCGGAUUGUGUGCUUGCAUGGCGUUCCAAAGAAGAUAGUAUCAGAUAGAGGCACCCAGUUCACCUCUCAUUUUUGGCAGCAGUUGCAUGAAGCUUUGGGCACACACUUAAAGUUCAGCUCAACUUACCACCCACAGACAGAUGGUCAAACAGAGAGAACCAAUCAGAUUCUGGAGGAUAUGUUGAGGGCUUGUGCUUUGCAAGACAAGAUAGGUUGGGACAAGAGAUUACCGUAUGCAGAAUUCUCUUAUAACAACAGCUAUCAAGCCAAUCUGAAGAUGUCACCAUUCAAAGCGCUCUAUGGGAGGAAUUGCAGAACUCCAUUGCAUUGGGACCAACCUGGUGAAAGAUAGGUGUUCAUUCCAGAUAUUCUGCUCGAAGCCAAAGAGAACACAGAAUGGUCCGAGAGAAUUUAAAGGCAGCACAGUCCAGACAGUGAAGCUAUGCUGACACCCGAAGAAGAGAACUCAGUUUUGAAGUGGGAGACUAUGUCUACUUAAAGGUGUCACCCAUCAGAGGAACCAAGAGGUUUGGAGUCAAAGGCAAGCUAGCGCCUCGUUAUAUUGGGCCGUAUCAGAUUCAAGCAAGACGUGGAGAACUGGCUUAUCAACUCAGCUUACCAGAGAAUCUGUCAGUUGUGCAUGAUGUGUUCCAUGUGUCACAGUUGAAGAAAUGCUUGAGAGUGCCAGAAGAGCAGUUGCCAGCAGAGGAUUUUGAAGUUCAAGAAGAUCUGACUUAUAUUGAGAAGCCAACUCAAAUUCUAGAGACAGCAGACCGGGUCACUCGAAGAAGUACCAUCAGGAUGUGCAAAGUUAAAUGGGGUCACCACUCAGAAGAAGAAGCAACCUAGGAAAGAGAAGAUGAUUUGAAAGCCAAGUACCCUGAGCUCUUUUCUAGCCAGCCUUGAUCUCGAGGGCAAGAUUCUUUUAAGGGGGAUAGGUCUGUAACACCCUGAUUUUGGGGGGUAUAAAAUUUCUUUCUAAUUAUCACCCAAAAUCAUGUGUUACUCUUCUUUUUCUCACUCUAGGCUUUCUCUCUCUCUAGAUUCUUUCUCCCUUUUUCCUUUUUGAUUAGAAAUAGCUUAAACUAGUGGGGGUUAAUUAUUUAUUUUUGCCAAAACCUUAUGAGUCAUGACAUGUUGCAUCAUGCUGAGCUUAAAAUAUUCUUUGAAGUGUUGCACAAGUUUGAAUUUAUUUGAGUUUGAAACCUAGUUUGAAUUUGGAUUUGAAAACCCUAUAGAAAAAGAAAUAGAAAAGGAAUUAGAAAAUCCAGAGAAAAGGAAAAGGAGAAAGCAGCCCAGCCAGGCCGCGUGCCCGCACCGCCUGACAGGCAGACCCCACCUGUCAGCGGCAGUUCUCCCCCGCGCGCGCCCUCCCUCUCUCGCUUGUUGCCCAGUGGGGCUGAUCUGUCGGUGCCGGUUUUCUUCACCGGCGCACUCCCUCUCUCUCUCUCUCUAUCUCGCAGGCCCGGAUCGCUAGUGUCGAGCCAUUGCCCUCGCGCGUCCCCUUUUCUCUCUACGCCGUGGGCCUGCCCUGUCAGUUCCGCCCCCUCCGCGCUCGCCGUGGACCAGCGCGUGCGCAGUCGCACACGUCGCCGGAUUUCUCGCCCACGACGCCCACCCACGCACCUAGCUCCCUUCUUAGAGCCCCGUCGGUGGCCCACGCACACCCCUCGCCUCAUUUCGCUCAGCUUCACCCUCUCUCGCGCUCUGCCCUCAUCGCCAGACAUCGCUAGAGACCCGCGUUCCCGGCCAUCCAGCUCGCCGGAGACCGCUCCAAGCCUCCUUGAGCUCUGCCCCGAGGUGAGACACCCGUCCCCGUGCCCAAUUUCCCCUAUUGCGCCCUGUGUUCGGCAAAUUUCACCUUCGCCGGUGCUCGGUCGUGGUGGUCCACCGUGCUCGCGCUGUGGCCAGCCGAUUUAGCCUGGUCUAGUUCACCGGAGUAGGUCCCAGUGUCACCCCUGCCUCUACUGAAGUUAGCCAAGGCCUUAGCGCGCCUUAAGUCCCGUCCCCGUGGCCAGAAUGGCUCACCAGAGUUACUCUGGCCCACCCGAGGCUUUCUCACCGCCGUUCUCCCCUCUCUGCCCGUGGAUUCAUGGCCCCUUCCCCGCCAUUGAGUUCGCCGUGGCGCCCUCUUCCUCUAUGCCCAACUUUGGCGACCCCGGAGCCACCCUAGCCCACGCCAGCCUCAACUCCGGCGACCUCACCGCCGCGGAGAGGAACAGCGCCGCCCGCAGCCGUCUGUUCCCCCUGGUCUGAUCCCCUCCGUCAGAUUCAGAUCGCACGGCCCGGACCGCGGGUACCGCUUCGCGCCCGCGCGCCCUAACUCCCUGGCCCGCCUGUCAACGCCCAAGCCCCCUGGAGCUGGGCCCGCUCGGUCAGCGCGCUCUCCCCCUCUGUCGCUGGCACUCCCUGGCCCGCCUGUUAGCGCUCCCCCGCUUGCACGCGCAUGCCCUCGGCCGCAGAUCUAAUCUCGACCGUUGGUUUUAGAUCUGACAGUUAGAUUCACCCGAUACCCCUUCGCGCGGUAGUUUUCUAAAGAGACCCUCGGUUUACUGGAAAUCAAACUGUUGUCCCUGGUUUUCGCGUGUAGACCCCUGUAAUCUUGCAGAUUUAGCUCUGGACUUUUAAAUAUUCACAGAAUUAGACCUAAAUUCAUAUUUUGAAUUCCCAAACUUGUUUAUUUCAUAACUUUUGCAUAUGAACUCCAAAUUUAGUGAUUCAAAUUUCAAAAUGUUCAUAGAAUUAUUCUCUAUUUAAAUAAAAUAGGUUCACUUACUGACUGCACACUCUAAUUUUUAGGAUUGAAUAUGAAAUAAUGUAGAUGCAUUUCUAUUUAUGCAAUAAAAUAAAUAAAAGGAGAACCAUAAGAUUUAAACUUGUUUAAGCUUGUGAGAUUAAUAAUAUGUAUUACAUAAGUUCAUCCCUAUUCUAAAAUUUAGGUCACAAUAAAAUAAAUUAAUCUAUGUUUAUGCACUUGUAAGUAACACUUAGGGAAAUAAUAAUCGAUUUCCAAAUAAAGUUAAUGUAUGUUAUAGUUUAUGAUUAUACUUUGAAUUCAUUAUCCCUUAUGUAGUAUUGUGUCCUUUUAAGAUGUGUUCCAAUGUUUGUACAUGUUUGGUGUGGUGUUCAUUUGUACUUUCCAAAUGUAUUGAAUGCAUGCUCGCUUUAUUUAGACAACGAGCAGUCCGAGGUUCCUGAGUGUGUUGUUGGAGACCUCCUUGAGCAGCAAUUUGGUGAAGGUAAGUGUCCUCUGACCUAUUAUGUCCUACAUACUUUAUGAUUCACUGUCCCGCAUUACUUUAUGAAACCUAAUGAUUGACUAGUCUGUAUUCACUUAUCCUUGUUUACCUUUUGGGUUACCAUGGUCAGCAUGUUGCUAUUGCCUUAACUUAAUCAAUGAACAUGUUGUGAGCAUUUAUGAUAUGACAAUGUUAUCCUGAUUAUGUGGAUGAUUCUGUGAUACCUUAGGGGGCUCAGGCCUUUUUCCUGAGUACCUCUCCGUAAGGACCUGUUCGUGGAGUGACCACCCAGGAUAACAGUACAACCAUGAGGGUGGAAUGGGACGCUCUUAGCUGAUUAAUUAGAUGAACCUGGGGUGUAGUUGGCUUUGCCGGAUGGCCGUCAAUGGGGGCAAGGGUGUAGUGCUUGCUCUGCUAAGGUUGGGGUGCAGAGGUUCUUUCGAUUUAGUUUUGUUUGUCACCCACCUUGGGAAGGUGUACUGCGUUUGUAUGACUGGCAAAACCUAACGAGCAGCUAUGCACCAGGGGAGUCUUUGUAAAGGCUACGUAGUGUAUCCCUGGCCAUUCACCUUGGUAGUGAAGAUCGGGUCUAUACAACCCAGGCUGGAAAGGGAUCACGACUUGUGGGUAAAGUGUACAACCUCUGCAGAGUGUUAAAAACUGGUAUAUCAGUCGAGCUCACGGUUAAGAGCAGCCUUGGGAUCCUCUUUGAUUAGAAGAACUUGAGAUACUUUUAUGAUGAUGGUUAAUAAUGAUGUUAUAAAAUCUGAUCUCUGGUAUUUCCUCUUUUGAGGGAGUACUACUGGGUAAUAACUAGGUUUAUUACUAAAACUUGGCUCUACUAAUAAUAAUAAAUAUUUGACCAACUAAAAGCAACUGCUUGACCUCAAACUCCAUAUACAGCUAGUCCACUUUAGCCAAACGGGACAUUUGCUGAGUACGUUGAUGUGUACUCACUCUUGCUUUACACACCACCCCCACCCCAGGUUGUCCCCAGUGUACCCAAUGCUCAGGAUGUGAUGCUGGCAACAUGGAUGACUUCGAGGAGUUCCAGGAAUAUGACGAGUUCUAGUUCUUUCUUAGUGGCAAACCCCCAGUCAGCUACCUAUGUAGGCUUAGCAUCUACGUUUCGUAUUUCCGCACUUUGAUAAUUAUGUUGAACAAUGGUUAUGUAAUAGACUCUGUGGAUGUCUUGGACAUCUUGAUGUAACUAAGUACCUUUCUGUUAUUUAAUUCGAGCAUUGUGUGAUGAUGUCCAACUAUGUAAUCACUGUGUUCGUGAGUUUCUGAUCCUGGCAUAAAUGGUUCGCAUUCGGUUUGCCUUCCAAAACCAGAUGUGACACUCCUCCUGCAUCCACCUAAGAAAGCGAAGACCCACCUCCUCCCCGGAUCUAUCAAAAGGAGCAGUCUAUGCGCCGAGCUUGUGGUAUGCUUCCACGAAAAGCGUGUGUGCCCGCUCAACACCAGAGCAGGUGGAGGCCUCCGUUUUCUCGCAAUAGUUGCGCAGGCUUUUUUAGCUCAGACUCCUUGUCGGCGGCGCGCUUGAGGGCAAAGUCAGCCUCAGCGCGCGCGGCGUCAGCUUCUGCGCAGGCAGCCUAGGCCUCCGCGCGAGCUCUUUUCGCGCCCUCCUUUUCCUCGGCAAGUCGGUGGCUGAGGUUUUCCCUCUCAUUUUCUGCCACCGAAAGCUUCUCAAGCAGAUUGCGACUUUUAUUCUCUGUCACCGACUUGUCCCUCACCGCCUCUGUAUGUUGCGUGCGGAGGCACUCAAUCCUUCCCUCAAGCCACCGCCUUUCGGUGGUGAACUCUGAGGUCAGUGCCCCCGAAGCAACACGUUCCGCGAAGGCGGUCGCCUGACACCAAAACAUAUUUUAGAAACGCAACCAUGAAAACAACACAGCCACAAGCACUAAUCACACUCACGUAUUUCAGCUGUCGCGCGACCGAGGCGGCCACACCCGUAGCAGUGGCAGCGGAGGCGAUUUUGUCGUCGUCGCAGAAUCUAGCCCAUGGGUCCUCUAAGGCCCCUGUGUCGCCCUUCGUUCCCGUCGCCGCGACCACCGGGCCGGUAGACGAUGCCGUCGGCACGACCGCCAGCUGGCCAGACUCUGCCCCUACAUCACAUUCAAGUCAGAAACAUGGACCCCAUUCAAAAAAACUCAACAGCAGGCGGCAGUCCCGUCUGGGCGUCGAACAUGGCUCCGUGGAGACUCCUUUGGCCCCUGCCACUGCCGUCUCGGCAAUGCGUGGUGGCAAGGGGGGGCCUUUGCCCACUAGUAGGCACGGCGGGCGGGGGCAUACCGGCGCCUGUGGCAGCAGACUUCAGACUGGGCCACGCCACCUUCCCCUCCCGCCUCGGGUCUGCCAACCUGAUGUGGGCCCGAUGUUUCUUCCGCUACGAGUCCUGGCGAUCUUUCUCCAUCACUGCUGAUACAACAGCACCAAUGUUCCUUUCGUAAGGGAAAAUCUUUAAGUCACGAGCUAAUCGAGACAAAAAAAAUCUUCGCUAGCCGCUCAGGGUAUUGGAACAUUACUAGGCCAGCGACCCCCGGUAACCUUCAGCAUUCGUGUAGAGGUUUCCCGGAGCUCGGGCGAAGACAUCGUUUCCCCGGGAGCUGCGCACGUCUCUAGCAACUCCCCAACAAAAUGACCAGAAGCCCUCAGCCCCAAAUCCUCAGCUACUGUACCUAAUUCUUUCUUUCUGGCGACCGCACCCGGAGCCUUAUCCCAUGAGGGGCCUUCAUCGGCCAGGGGCCUCGUUUUCUUCCCUCGGCGAUCAGCAGUGUUGGCAGAGUUUGCCUCCGGGUAAGCGCCAUACGACAAUUGGUUCAGCUCAAAAAAGCGGUUCAACCUAGCGUUGGAACCACGAAUAUCCCAACUCCUCAAAGUCUCUAUCUCUAGCGCGUACUUCCCAACAAUCUUGGUGGCCUCGGCCUCGACCUCACGCACAAACGCGGUCGCAUCUCGACCGUGUAGAUCCACGGCGAAGACAGGACUUCUCACCAGCUAGCCCCCAGUGUCGACAUCCAGUGGGGGGUAACCUCAACUAGUGUCCAACUGUGCGCCAGGGGCCACACCCCAUAGGCAAUGAAUUCCUCGACCAGGUCACGUCCGCUACUGAGGCGAGCUGCAUAUCGAAGGGCCCCUUCGUCUUCAUCUUUUUCUGCCACAUCAAAUCAUGGAAAUGCCACAUAGCAAUGUGAACACAGGAUGGCAGAGGGCAAACUCGGCAACCCUUCGAUAACCCCGGGAGCUAAAUAAAACCAAAAGUCCCACCAAUUGCCCCAUUUAUUCCUAGCACAGGGAACAAUCUCGACAACUUCAGUCGAGGUCUUCCCAGUCCUCGGCGUGAAAGUGCAUGAUCCAAAUUGGGCUAUCUUAUCACCUAUUUUUCUCUUCUGCCAAUGCAGACAAUAAUUCUUAGCAAAGACUUCCACAGAUGGCUACCCGUCGUAUGAGGAGAUGGCCCAGACGUACUUCUUAUGCACCACCACUGCAUUUGGUAUCAACUAAUGAACCUGUACCUCGAACUUCCGCAAAACUUCUACUACUAACCGAUGCGUCGGGAGGCGAAGACCAGCAACAAAAAAGGCUUCAAAAACAACCAAUUCCCCCUCCGACUCAGGGACCUCUUCUGCCCCUGGAGCGCGUUCGACACCGUUCUCGAAAUAGCCUAGCCGCUGCAUCUCCAGCACAUGGCCCAAAAAAAUCCUCGAGGUCCUGACCUCGACGGUGUGGCCGGGCUGCAGUUCUAUCAUCGCCAAAUCACUCAACAUCUCCUCAGACGACGACGUGGCCCACAACGCGCUCGCAGAGACGAAGAAGAAGAUGACAUUGUCACGUACCGUCGGCGGCGGCGUGCGGUUUGCUUGAUACGAGCCAGAUCACCGGCGAAGAAAGAGCAAGGAGGGCAGGCGAGCGGUUGUCAAUGCUAGGGUUUUUCCUACGCAAGCUCGAGCAGGCAAAAGCCUCAGUCGAGGCCAGGUUUUUAUAGGCGUGGAGCGACGCCUCGAGAAACCCACAAUCCCACAGUAACAUGUCCCAUCAACGGUCACAUUUCAAAAACCCCCACGGGACCAUUUCAAGCGAGGGCAGCGUUUUCACCAUCUCACGACAGUCUACGGCACCAGCUGACUUGGUCGAACUGGCCCCUCGGGGGGUAAAUGUUGGGGCGAAGGCGAACACGCCUCCCCCUCGCUCGAAGAUUUCUACAUCGACGUUCCAUGGAUCGAAGGUCGUGCCAGCAAGCUCUACCAGCCUGGUCGCGGAUGUCGCCCAUGCGAAGGCCCGAUCGCCCCCUUCACUCCGAUGAGUCGAGGCGAAGUCCAUCAAGGACCUCAGGGACUGGAUGACCGAGGCCGCGAAGACCACAAGGCUUUGUCUCCCUCGAUGUAAGAAAGGGUUUGUGUGCAAUCCGACCCAUGUUGUAAGGCCCCGUCUGCGGGUUGCCAUGUCAGCAGAGCGGGUUGGACCACGUCUAUAAUAAAGUGUGCUGUAAUGACACGUUGUAACCCACUGUGAGGGAAUAUUCUAGGGAUAAACUAGGUAACUGAUGGCCUAAUUAUCCUUGACAGGGUCAGGCGGUCCCUCAGUUACCUAUAAAUACCCCUGCAAUGUGCCAAAGCAACAAACGGAAAAGAGAAACACUAUUGCCCUAACAACUUGCGCUUAGAAGCAUCAAACAACUCUCUCUUACUUCCUGUUGGAUUCUGUUGUUCCUGGAUUGGCAAGUUCCAACAGCAGCCCUAGCGCGUAGUACCGUUUUAAUUCAGUUUAAAUUUAGUUUUAAAUUCAGUUUAAUUCAUGUGCUGCGUCGCGUGAUGAUUCAUUUUAAAUUUUGUUUAAUUAGUGUGUUGCGUCGCGCGCUCCGUAGCGCGAUGAUUCGUUUUAAUUUCAGUUUAGGUAGUGUGUUGCGUCGCGCGUUUUGUCGCGCGUCGUUUCAUUUUAAAUCCAAUUUAAUUAGCGCGUGCUGUCGCACGCUGCGUCGUGCGACGAUUCGUUUUAAUUUCUGUUUAGGUAGUGUGUUGCGUCGCGCGUUUCAUAUCGCGACGUUUCAUUUUAAAUUCAGUUUAAUUAGUGUGUGCUGUCGCGCGACGAUUCGUUUUAAAUUCAGAUUUAUGUCACGUGUAGCGUCGCGCGCUUCGUCGCGCGUCGAUUCAUUUAAAAUUCAAUUUAGUUUAAGUGUAGUGUCGCGCGCUUCGUCGCGCGAUGAUUUGUAAAUUUAGUUUAAUUCAUGUGUGUUGUUGCGCGCUUCAUCGUGUGAUAAUCUAUUUUUAUUUUAGUUAUGAUCAUGUUGUGUCGCGCGCUUCGUCGCACGACGAUUCGUUUUAAUUCCGUUCAUUAUGCAUUGUGUGGCGCGCUUCGUCGCGCGACGAUCUAUGUAUAGCACAAUCGUUAAAUUAAUAUGAUUAUGUUUAGGCAAAUAUUUUAACCUAUAGCCGCUUAACGUAAUUACCUUUCGACCGUUGCCUCGACCAUUGUAGUUUCUUUCUCGUAUAGUUGUAGAUGUACGCCUUGCGCCACGCGUCCGUUUAUUUGUUAUAUUUUAUUAUGUGGUGUAUUGUUUCUUUCUAUGUUAAAUUUGUGGAAUGUAUGUUUGAACUCAUAUAACGAUCCGUUGGUGGAGCCCGAAGGAGUUGCAGGCGAAGACCCUGAGCAGCAGCUGGUUAGUGAAGGCAAGUGUCCUUUGACCUAUCUAUGUCCUAUAUAUUUUAUAAUUCACCUCCCCACAUUUACAUAAUUUACACCUAAGGAUUGACUAGUUUUGUUUAUUUUGUCUUUGUUUACCUAUUUGGGUUGGAUUGUUUUUGGUUUAGAUCUAUGCUAGCGCUUCACUCUAGUAAAUGAACAUGAUGAGAUUAUUUAUGAUACAAUAUUUACCUUUUGAUUAUGAUGGUGGCAUUGUGACAUUUAUGGGGCUCGAUCGGUUUCUCGAGUGCCUCUCUAUAAGGACUGGUUCGUUGGAUGACCACCCGGAAAAAUAGUACAGCCAUGAGGGUGGAAUGGGAUGCCCUUAGCUAAUUAAUUAGAGGAACUGUGGUGUAGUUUGCUUCGCCAUUGUGCCGUCAAUGGGGCUCGGUGUAUGUGGCUCGCUCUGCCGAGGGUGGUUUGCCCCCUUGGGGAGGAGUGCGGUACAUUUAGGAAACUUAACGGGCGGCUACAUCUCAGGGAAUCUUUGUACAGGCUUCGUAGUGAAUCCCUAGCCAUUCACCUUAGGAGUGAACAAGGGUCUUCCAAUCCUGGGCUAGAGAGGGAAUCACGGCUCGUGGGUAAAGUGUGCAACCUCUGCAGAGUGUUAUAAAUCUGAUAUAUCAGUCGUGCUCACGGUUAUGAGCGGCUUUGGGAGCUCCAUUGAUUAGAGACACACUGAUUAAAGAUACUAUGUUUACAGAUGAUGAUGAGGUUAAUUCCGAUUUUGAUGUUUAUGAUUAUGAUUCUGGUUUCUGGUAUUCUUUCCAUUUGGAAGGAGUACUUUGGGCUAACAACUUGGGUUUAAUGCUAAAAUCUGGCUCCCUACUAGUAAUAAUUACUUGACCAACUAAAAGAAACUGCUUGAUCUUAACCCCACAAAAAGCUAGUCCACUAUAGCCAAAUGGGACAACUGUUGAGAAUGUUAAUGUGUACUCACCCUUGCUUUACACACCAAACCCCCCCCAGGUUGUCCACAUUGCAACCAUUGCUUAGGAGAAGAUGAAGUCGUGGUGGAGCAUUUCCAGGAGUUCCAAGAGUAUGAUGAGUUCUAGGCGUGGGUUAGAGGCAAACCCCCAGUCGGCUGCCUGUGAAGGCCGUGUUUAGCUAUGUUUCAUUUUCGCACUUUGAUUUAUGUUAAUGACUAUGUGGAUAUCUCGGGCAUCAUGAUGUAAUAAGACCAUUACCUCUUUUAUGUUAUUAUUUGAGCACUAUGUGAUGAUGUCCGGUUAUGUAACUACUUUGUACGUGAAUUGCUGAUCCUGGCACGUACAUGGUUCGCAUUCGGUUUGCCUUCUAAAACCGGGUGUGACAGUGACGAGCCCAGCCUACACCUUCGACCACUACGCCGUCGCCCCCGAUGCAGUACACCGGGACAACAGUGAAUUCAACAACAAGGCGGAGCGGGUGAAGCAAGAGCUGUGGGUAAGUCUUACUAUAAUGUAAAAUGUGUCGCAUUUGUUGCACAUUCUUGAAAUAAUGUAUGGAUACAUCAUCUUUGUAUCCAGGAUUUCUUCAGAUGCAAGGCUGGAUGCGAGGCCAGGGUGAAUGUGGUGGCCACCACGAGUUGUAAGAAGCUCAUCAUGGACAUGCACUACGAGGCACGAAUCCAGACCAUCGUUAGCUACCAUGGCUUCGUCCUUGGUGAGAAGGUGACUAAGCAGGACGCCCAAACCAUGUCGUUGACUAGGGACCAGUACUUGCAGGUAAAUACAACACUUUAAUAUUCGUGAUAAAAUUUGCUUAAUUUUAUUUUCUGAUAUGUAAUAAACCUGUUUUACUUUGUAGAUGAUUCCUUAUUGGUGUGUCGCGCAUCCUCAGUGCUAGGAGCAGAUGGUGGAUAGGUGGUGCUCGCGUGAGUGGGACGAAGCGUACAACGCUAGCCAGGAACGGUGUCUGAUGAUGCAAGGUCCCUCCCACCACCAAGGCAGCCGCAACCCCGGCAAAUAUGCAGAAGCAUGGGUACACCCUCUUUUUUUUGGUAUAUAACACUGGAUUAGAUAUUAUUUCUAACUAUCUCAUUGGUUUUCUUGCAGUCCGCGUCACAUGGUGGCCAGCCUUGCUCCAUCUUCUCAGCUUAUGCUAUGGCCCACAAGGGCAAGGCGACGUCCGAUGUCACCUACAACCCGGAUGACAGGCCCGAGGCGUAUAGCAACCUCACCGUCUACAGCCACCUUCAUGAGUACACUGCCAUGGCACAAGAGGUCCAUGGGCCAGAUUAUGAUCCAAGGACCGAGGACAUCAACGGAGAUGACCUCAUGAGUGUCAGAGGAGGAAAGAGGCAUGGGCAGUACUGGAUUGCCGACGGGGGAAUCGACUCGUCGUCCACUCCCACUGUAUCUCAGGUGCGAGCAAGGAGCACGAGCCUAGCCAUACGAUCUCGGCAUGACAACUCACAUCAUCAGAUACAACAACUCCAGGUUAGUGGUUCUGUAAAUUGUCAUUCCUUGAGUUAUAUACCUUCUCUUUGAGUUAUUAUAACAUUGGGUUGGAAUAUUACAGGCCCAUCUAGAAGAAGAGAGGAGGGAACAGCGGGAGAUGGAGGCGAGGAUGAUGGAGGAGCGGGAGGCCUGCUUGGCAGAUCAGCAGAGGAUGGCAGAGAUGUUCCAAUACAUGCAGAGCCUUGGCGCCGCAGAGGGUUUUGCUCCACCACCUUCGUUGUUCCCUCCAGUUGACCCUGCUCAGUUUCAUACUCCUGUGAGUAUCAAAAUUCUAGUUCUGCAUGAUAUAUAUUUAUCUAGUAUAACACAUGCAAUCUCUUCUCUGUGAAGGGACUAUCUGGGACAGCAUCCAACAACCCUUAUAGAUCGCCCUGCCCAUCGCCGCACUAGUCCAGCCGCCCACCUCGCCGAUCAUCUUCUCUUAGCUUGUGUGAUAAACUUGUCCUGAACUUAUGUUGGGAGCCUUCGUCUUCCGAAGGUCCUCAAAAACACGAUUUAACAAUCUUUCCCAAGUGUAAUAUGUGUACAGGUACCGUUGGACUCCGAAUGAAACAGUAUACUAUAUGAAAAGCAUGGUUGAGACGAAGGAUGACGCAGCUCCGAAGCUACGCGCAAGGGAGCUUCGGCUCGGCGGAAGGAAAAGGAACCGACUUAAAGGGGAAAAGGCCAUCUAGUCCUCGUCGAAUUGUCCUUACGUCAAUAGAAAACAUAAAGGGCGUGAUGGUAAUUUUACAUAGGCUGCACCCUGUGCCUAUAAAUAGAUGAACAGUACCCCCGUACUGUUCACGCUGACUUGUAUUCAUUCGUGCGUCAUGCUUGGACUUUUGCCUUCUGUCAAGCCGAAGGUAUAAAUGUAACUCAAUAUUGUUCUUAUUUAUCCAUGAUGAUAUAAUAAAGAUAUAUUAAUGAUGUUGUAUGAUUAUUCAUGUUAUUUCUCAUGUUUCAUAUGCUUCUUCUUUUAUUAACAUAUACUGUGAUGAUGAAGGUACGUCCUUCAUGACCUUCGUGCGAAGAUCGUUAUAUCCUAUGGGAGAUAAUGCUUCGGCGGACGAAGGGCAAUAACCUUUAACAUUUUGUGUUGCCUUGUUCUUAACUCAUAGCAUUUGAGAACAAGUCCCCAACAUUGGCGCCCACCUCCGGUGUACUCACUUCCACAAUCUUCGGCAAAGCAUCAACCUUCGUCAUGCCGCCGAAGAAGAUAACAGCGCCAGGGGCUGCACUACAGCCACUGGACACAAACUAGGAGACUCUCUCUCUGGGAGGCCAGAAGCCAAAAGAGAAAGGCCACCAGUCCAACACUUCAGGAGGAGGAGUUGGACCAGGAGAUCAGAGACCUAGAAAUCAUUCACCAGCAGGUGCAAAGGAAAAAGGAGAAGAUGGCUCGGCUGGCCGACAUUCAGAAGAAGAUCGAUGAAGCUACUGAGGAAGUGCGUCAUCUUAUUCAAGAUGAUCAUGACCGAAGGUCCCAACACAGAGAGCUUCGUCAAGAGGGCUCAUUCAAUGAAGAUGAAUGGUACGAUGAUUUUAAUCACGGUACCUUUAUUUUUGAUGAUGCUUCUCCCCUGGCAGCAGAAUUGCAGGCUAUCCCAUGGCCACAAUCCUACAAGCCACCUCAGCUACCAAUGUACGACGGGCACUCGGACCCAAAGCAAUUCUUGAUGAGCUAUGAGGCAACAAUAUCCUCAUAUGGAGGCAACGCAGCUAUCAUGGCAAAGUCCUUCGUCAUGGCAGUCCGAAACGUGGCCCAGACAUGGUACUCUUCUCUCCGGCUAGGGACAAUCACGUCAUGGCAGAAGCUCAAGGACAUGCUGGUUACCAGUUUUCAAGGCUUUCAGACAAAGCCAGUCACAGCUCAAGCCUUGUUCCAGUGCACACAAGACCAUGAGGAAUACCUUCAAGCGUAUGUCCGAAGGAUCUUGCGGCUAAGAGCACAAGCGCCCAUAGUGCCCAAUGAGAUCGUCAUUGAGGCCAUGAUCAAGGGUUUUCGGCCAGGACCUACGGCCCAAUACUUCUCCAGGAAACCCCCAGACUCUGGAGAAGCUGCUUUAGAAAAUGGAUGAGUACAUCCGGGCUAAUAAUGACUUCCCACAAAGAAGGGAGGAGGCUUAUAGAUUUUCUAAGAUGACUAGGGGCUUCGGAGGGAGAAUCCACCCUAGGCAUGUCAGAUCAAUCCAUAGCUCCAGUCAGAAUGAUGACAAAGGAAGCCAGCUUUAGAGGCCACAACACACCUCACAGUCUUCGGGACAGCAGCAUAGCUCCUUCAGGCCACCAGCUCCAAGAGGCAGAGGCGGUAGGGGCUUCGGAGGAAGAUAUGGGGAUCACCCUAGGAAAAUCUAUUGCUUAUUCUGUGGAGAAGACAAGGGCCAUACUACAAGAACGUGCCAGAUCACUAUUCUGAAGCAAAAGGAGAUUGCUGAAGCAGAAGCUCGGCAGAAUCAGCCGAAGCAGGUUUUGCAUACUGCUUCGUGCCACUCUCCUUACAUACCAGAAUAUGUGGGAAACCAACCUGCAGCUUUUGUUGCUUCGGCAAGCCAUUCACAAGCUUCUUGGCCUCAGCUCCCACCGCCACCACCACUGUAGCCUACCUAUUCCCAAAGCCAGCCGCCAGAAGGGCGCCAACACUCUCAAUAGCAACGUGACUUCAGGGAGGAGUCUGAAGCUCGUAUAGUCAAUAGUACUGUACUAGAAUCAAAACACAUAUACUGAACAAUAUCCUGCUUUUGAAAUACUUUUACCUUCUAGGCUAUUUCACUUUUUGAAUAAGGAACAAGCAAUGAAAAUUUAGUUUUAAUUUCUUGUAAGGAUUUUGCUUCUUUCAGAAUGAAUUUAUGCUUCUAUCAGAAUGAAGUAUAUCUUCUCCACAGAUUUACGAAGCUCAAAAGUCGUUCCUAAGGGAAUGCAGAGCCAACAUAAAUGAAGCUACAAAAAGUCGUUCCUAAGGGAGCGCAGCGUAAGUUUUGUGCUCAAAAGUCGUUCCUAAGGGAAUGCAGAGCAAAAAUUGACGAAGCUACAAAAAGUCGUUCCUAAGGGAGCACAGCGUAAGUUUUGUGCUCAAAAGUCGUUUCAAAGGGAAUGCAGAGCCAAAUAUCGCCAAAACAUAAGGCGAAGAAGUUCAAAAGACGUUCCUAAGGGGAUGCAGAACUUAUACCGCCGAAAUAGAAGGCGAAGAAGUUCAAAAGACGUUCCUAAGGGGAUGCAAAACUUAAAUCACCGAAAUAGGAGGUGAAGAAGCUCAAAAGUCGUUCCUAAGGGGAUGCAGAGCUUGUGUGUUCCAGCGUGGGCGUGUGGGUGUGUGUCUUCGGCAUCCUCAUCAUUUUGCAUCAUAUCAUCACAUCAUUUCGCAUAGUAUCACAUCAUACAUCAUAUUGCAUCAAUGACACAAGAAUUGAAUACGGAGUUGAUCUUCAGCAAAUGCUUCGUCAAAAUGAAAAGGUGCUAAGGCACGGAGUAAGCUUCGAGAAAUACAGUUUUAUCAGCCUUGUCACAAGAAUGGGUCUCUCUUUGCGAAGCACGGAUAUCUUUUGUUACGAAGCAUGCAUCUUUUUCUUUACGAAGCAUGAAAAGAAGGGAAGGUGUUUUUUCGCCGAAUGCUCAAAAACAGUAUGUAUGUAAGUUUCAUGCAUCGCAAAGAAAUGAAUUACAAUAAUUUACAUAUUCGAUUCAAAGUUACACACAUCAAAUAUUAUAGUCUUGUUACAACAGAAGCAUAAUGUCCAUUCUAGUGUCUCAUACAUCGACCAAUUCAAAAUGUUACAUACAUCAAGUGUCACAUACUUUUGUUACAAUAGAAGCUUAGUCUUAUUUAAAUUGUUCCAUACAUUCCAACUAUUAUUACAGCACAAUCUAUUCCUCUUUAAGAACUUUCUCUGCAACUUCGUUCAAUAAUUUGUUAAGGACUUCGUUGACAAUGGAUUCAGCCAUGUUUAUGAUGUCCAGCGCUUCCUUCAUUUUUGGAUCAGCUAGGUGAUCGUACGGUUUUGGUGGCGGAGAUAGUUCAUCUAAAGUAGUAAAAAUUGAUUAGCUCGAAGCCAUAAAGCAAGUACCGAAGCUAAAAAACCAAAAAAAUAAUACCUAUACGCCUAUCGCGUUCUGUAUCUUCUUCAGCUUGCUUUGCUUCUGCUCUGGCGUCGUGGGUGUCUUUUUCACUUUUUUAUAAUAUCAUGGGCCAUCUCUCGACCUCCAUUCACCCAGACAUCAUUGUAAAAUUUUCCACCCAUUAAUGUUGCCUCUGCUGAAGGAUCCUUCGUAUCAUCUAUGGAGAAGGCAGCUUCGGCCUGGGUUAUGGCUUUAAUGUGAACACAUCCAGCCUUCUCCAAGAUGGUUGAAAUCCCCCGCGCACCGGAAAACGCGCAAACAUCCCCGCGAUCACUCAAAAUUUCUUCGAAGGUUUCGGCUUCUCCACUUAUCCAUUCAACAACACCUUCGGGGUUGCCUCGUAUGAAGUUUUCUUCAGCAGAGUAGGCACCCACUUUGGCGAAGCUAGCUUUUAUUUUCUUCAUGCAAUCCAAGGAUUUCUCAAAGCACCUUUCCUUGAAUGUGCAAAGUUCUUCAACAUUUUUCUCUAGAUAAUUUUUCCAAUAUUCCUUGAUUUCUUGAUUAGUUUGUGCGACUGUGCACUUUUCCUUAGCUUCGGCCAGUUGUCUCCGAAGGUCUUCAAUUUCAGUUUUCUGAGCUUCGGCCUGAGCUUUGAAAUUAGCUUCAUCUUCUUUUACUUUGUUCACCAAGGAAAUUAAUAUUUUGUCUUUUUCCAGACCUUCGUUCCUCAAUUCAAUCACCUCUGAACGAAGGUUAUUCAGAGCCAUUGUAUAGCCUUCGUCUUCAAUAUUCUUCUGUGCCCUCAAGGCAUUGCUAAGAAUCAAGCCCUGUAACAAAAGAUAAGAAAGAAUUGAGCAUGACAAAUAAAAUACUUCAUUCUCAAAUUCAAAGCUAAUGUCUAUACCUUUAUACUGUUGUAUGCUAGGCUGUCAGCAAGAUCAUCCUUCGACAAAAUCGAGAGACCAUCUUCCAGCUUCAUGAAUCCCAUGCUCUUACCUAUCUCCUGGCAAACGAAUAUUUAUUUGUUGUCCGGGAGACAGUAUAAGAAGUCAUCAUCAUUAGUGCCGUUAAACACUAAGGCUCCUUUCGGAUAUUUCAGUUUUUGAGCAUAAUGCUUUGCUUCCGCGAUUUCAUCUUCGGACAAUUUCUUCCCUGAAGCAUGUCGAUAAAUGUAAUCAGCAGCUUCGGUCGGUGCUUCGGAGGCAGGAGAUUUUGCCCUUUCCACCAUAUCUUGCCCUGCUAUCAGAAUGGUAUUCGAAGUUUGCUGAUCAGCUUGGACUUCAGACGAGAUAGACUUCGUCUCGCUGGGCAUUGAAGGCCCACCUUCGGCUUCAGCCUAAGUAUUUGUAGCUUCGGCUUCUGCUUGCCUAGUUUCGGCUUUGGCUUGCGCUUUGGCAGCUUCAGCAAUUUUCUUUGUAGGAGCAGGGCUCAAGGCCUUUGUAGUCUCCAUCAUAGCACAGCACGUUGGCCAUCCUCCUCAUCUUGGGAGUCAUGGCAGAAGCCUUUUGCACCUUAGGCAGUUUUGUCUCUGUUGGAGGGCUCAUAAUUUCUAGCGUUUUCUUUAUUUCUUCAGUCUUUGGCUCUUUAGCCUUAUCAACUUUAGCUUCGAUUGGCUUGACUAUAAGCGUAUUCGGCAUUAAAGUUGGUCAUUCAACGCUCUGGGCAAUUGGAGCAGCUUCUCUUGCUUCGGCAGUUGAAGAGGCUCCUUUAGCAAAUUCGGGCACCACGGCCGGUUCAAUAUAACACGGCCGGUGGGUCAGAACCUUCACCUUUUUGCUCUUCGGCACAACUGUGGCGGCCGAAGCGGCAGCCUUCCUCUUUUUUCCUUGCCCUCGCAGCGGGAAGUGAUUAUCGGGGUAUAUGAAGCCAAUCGUGUAAUACCCCUGGUGUUACUGUUACUAAAACCUGAGCAUAACAUCAUAAGCAUCAGCAUUUCAUAUGUUUGACACACCUAAGAUGCAUUUACUAGGUAAAAAUUUCAAGCAAGUUGUAUUGUUAUGGCAUUUUGCAAAUAAGACACUAGUGUAGGGUACUUAACCUUAAAUAGGGAUAUGAAGGGUAAAGCAAGACCUAAAUAGAGUAAACCCUGAAGUUUAAGUGAAAUGGUCAUAAAAUGUUCCUAAGAAUGGACCUACAUUACAUUUACACCGCUAAGAUACCAAAAACCCUAAUUGGAACCGUGGAAAACCUUAAACCUAAACCCUAGGGGGUUUAGUGCAAAACCAGUGCACUUUUGGACUAAAGUGUAAAACUAUGAUGUCAAGACAUAUAAAGUCAAUUGGUUCACAAUCAUGAAGCUUUGAAAGCUAAACCAUGAAUUUUGGACCUAUUUGCAAAAAUACCCCAUGGGUGUUCUAGGGCUAAGUCUGAAAAUUUAGUGAUUUUGACUCCAAAAUAGUGGGAAUUUACCCUAGGUCACCACAUCAAAUUUGUAAACCUAUCAAAGGAGAAUAACUUUGCUUAAGAGUGUAAGCAUAGUUGUUAUGAAGAAAUGGGAGAAAAACACACUCAAAGUCGAGCUAUCAGGCUAUUGGAGUAUGAAAUUCAGACUAACAGUGGUACUGGGCCAUCUUUGGAGCUCUACAGAUCAAGAACUUCAAGGAAUUUGCCCCAAGUCGAUAUAGCAAAGUUGUAGAUCUUUUCUAGUAGAACAACUUUGCUAUAGAUGUUUGGGCUUGGUACCAUAGAAGAUUUGGAGAAAUCUAGACCUGAACUUGCUCUGUCAGGUCGGCUGAUGGUGACUCCCAUGGUACAGUGCCUGAACAAGAUCAGAACACCAACGCAUCUCACCGCCGACGAUCCCCCGCCGCGAUUCGUGCCCUCGCCGGUGUGAUUCGCGAUUGGAUCAACUGGAUAACACUUGAAGUCGUGUAAAGAUCAUCACCGUGGAUAAGUUCCGGCCAGUAAAGUAUUCCGGCCACCAUACAGAGCUCGCCGCGGUGGAACCGGAUAAGCACACCGGUGACCGCCGCAUUCCGGCCUUGUGCCGCGUGUCUAGGCAUUUCCACCGCAUCGUCGUGACCUGCUCUCGCUCUCCGUUGAUCACCAGAGUGACUGCCACGGUAAUAGGACACUAAUCCAGUGCGCCAGUAAGCUCCCCCUCCUCUAACCGCCGCGCGUCUUCGCUAAAUUCAUCGGCCACCGCUCUUCUCUCUUAUAAAUUGAGUGUGUCGUUGGCUCCGCAAGGUAGUCAAGCAACCCACACACCAACUCGUGCCUUGAAUUGUCUCCCAGAGAACUUCAAUUUGGGAUCACCCCCAUAUCGGUCAAAAACACCGUAGAACCAAGCUCGUCGUGGUCAGUGCGAUACAGGUCCUCUCAUCUUCUCGGCUCUCUUGUUUGAGUGUUCUCGUGAACCCGUGAUGCUCGUCUACUAACCUGAUUGAACUAGACCGCCGCCAAUCGCCAGGAACGCCUGGUUCUUUGGUUCAUCCGCGCGGUCACCGUGGCCAGACCAACAUAGAUCGCCAUUCUUGAAAUUAAGUUGGGGGCAAUGCUCGGGGGGGACUCAAUUCAGUGUUAGUCACUCGGGAGAACCGGUCUUGGCUCCCUCCGGCCAGUCUAGCUCGCCGGAGCUUGGCUCCCUAUGCGGUGCGCCGUCGAGGAUUUCGGCGUGUAAAGAAAAGAAGGGAGGAGGGCUUAAGUGAAAAGGUCAGCGACACAAGAAACAGUAGCCAGGAUUCUUAAUGAAAUAAUGAAUCAUUGAGGGCUUUUUCGCAAAUCAUCAACGCAGGCGUGGGCGUGCGCGCUUUCCUGUGCAGGCUGGGCCGCUCGGGCUGCUUUCGGCCCAGUACUGUUUCAGCUUUUCCUUUUUCUUUUUCAAUGAAACAUUGGAAAUCUGUAGAAAAUUGAAGAAAAAUCCUAAAAAUGUCAAACCAAUUUUCUUAGAUUCCUAAUUUUCCAUAGUAUUUAAUAAAAAUAGAAUCAUGAUUUUUAGAUCGAAUGGGGAUUUUUGGAGCAUUUAAAAUAUCCUAAAACAUUGUUCCUAGAUUUUUUAUAAAAUAGAUGAUAAUUCCAAAAAUCCCCAAACUUUUUAUAUGAACUCUAAACAUUAUUUAGAAGCCUUAGGUAGAGUUUGAUUUGAUUUGGACCUUGUUUGAUGACUAGAACCCACAACCCUACCCCCUACCCUUUGAAUUCCUUUACUGACUCCGAAAACAAUAGUUUCUCGGAGAACCGUGAAGGAAAAUUGUAUUCAAGACAAUAGAUAAUAAACUCUUAUUAUCUUUGCAUUGUCAUGAACAUUACAUGGGCAUUCAUUAUUAUGUAUGGUUAACUUUAGAAAACGAAGAAGAAGUUGAAGUAGAAGGAGAGAAGACUUCACCACCACCUCAGGAACAUCAGGCCGACAACUGUUUUUAUUUUGACAUCUGUGGAACUGAGCCUGAAUCACCUGUAAACCAAGGCAAGCCUCGGUGCAUUUGCCACCUCCUUGACUCUUUUAAAAUCUUUCUCACUUGCUUGAUGCAUUAGGUGAUAGGAGUUGAUUGAUAAAACAAUUCCUGCAUUACCUUCCUUGAAUUUGAUUACCUUCCUUUGAAUCCCUGUUUUAUAAAAAAAUUUACUAUGCUUAGUCUUGCUUUAGCAAAGAAAAAGGUUUUGUUUUUACAAAAGAUGAUGUGGCAAAGUGGGAGGGAUGUUUUUGAAAAUAAAAUUUGAUGGUGGAUCCAUCAUGGCCAUGAUGGGUUCAACAUCGGAAAAGAUGUACCUCUGCCAGGUACCAAACUUUGGGAUUGGAAAUGAUUAAGCUAAGACCGGGCGGGUGACUUGCACGAGAAGGAGAGUCUCGGUGUAGUGUCUCCGUCUGAGUCGAUUAAGGACUGUCUCGAUGUAGGCUGGAUGGCCGAGGACCCUUUAACUGGUCACAUGCCUCGUCAUGGGUAAGCUUUGCCUCGGGCAGACUAAGGCCAGAAUAAGAUACCACGCAAUGGGAGUGGAGAAAUGGCGAGAGUAGCGUGUACCCUCCAUGGCAAGAGGCUGGACGGUGGUGUAUUUGUGCUCUCGGUUGGCGUGAACCUGAUCUGGUCUUAAGAACCCGGAUGGCGAGUUGACAUAUGCAAGGGUUAAGUGCUACAUAUGUCGUGUGAUUGGAGAUCCUCAGCUGAGUAUAAUCGAUUCAGAUCGCCGUAACUUCGUGGUUAUGAAGACUUGGUCACUGAUUUACACGUAGAACUCUAGUAAAGAUGAAGGGUUGUUAAGAAAUUGGCUAGUGCAGGUCAAGUGAUUGAACUAGGGUAGAAAGAACUUUAGUUGCAGGUAGUUUUACUUAACUUGACAAAUAAAACUAGACUUUUAAGGAUUCACUUUUAGUAAGCAUUUUUGCAAACAGAGUCAUUGAUCAUCGAUAAGCCUUACCUUGACACCUUUAAAGCCAGCAUCCCCUUGAGAGUCUUUUCUUUAGUCGGGUAAGACUUGCUGAGUAAUUCCAUACUCAGGGUUUUAUUCCCUGUUGUUUUUAGGUGAAGAAGCGACAAACUUUUGUUGCUUCUGUUCUAAGGUGGUACCAAAGGAAGAACAUCAGGACUGAAGCGGCGGGAGGAAAGGAUCCUCCAUAAAAACUUUUUGUUUGAAACUUAUCGGGAGGGGUUUUUGCCUCCCUUGGUUCUGUAAUAAUAAUAAUACUCUGCACUCGUUUAAUUAUAUCCUGGUCUGUAAUAUUAUAACUUUAUCUUACUUUUAAAUAAAGGUAAGUUUAUGUAACUGCUUCCGCAUUUUCGUAUCUCCGAUGAUUUGUAAUGUCUGUGUGACGGGUGAAACGCUCUUGGGAAAGGUAAGAACAGCAGAUACCGAACUUGUCAAGUGAUUCAGGGGCACCUGCAGGGUUGUCUGAGGUCUGUUGGACAAGGACAACUAUAGGUGGGCCUAAUGACUUGGGAGGUUCCGUCACAAAUCGCAUCAAAGACCCUGUUCAAUCUUUUCUUCACCUGGCCUCCGAAGGCUGUGAACAAAGCAUUAUCUUCGGCCUUGGAGUAGGCUCCAAGUAGCUCAUCACUAGUAGCUUCAAUACACUUCAGCCAGUCGUCGUUUGGCUCAUCAAACUUCUCCCUAAAUCUGAAGGUAUGCUUCAGUCGGACUAGACCACCAUCACUAGAAUCGGUGGUGGUCUCCUUCCGCAUUUCCUAGCUUUCCACAAGUGGCCAUACCCUGAAGGAUAUAUGCUCUUGAAUUAAAUCCCUUGUGCCAAUGAAGGCACAAACAGUACUAAAAGCCCUCUGACAUGCUUCAAUAGCAUCAUCAAUUUCCACCUUCGGCCUUCGGAGGCUGAAGCGAGACCAGAUGGGGCGCUGGAUGAUUUCUUUGAUGUCUUCCCUUGCCUUUAAAUCAUUUUUAACAUAAAACCACUCCUCCAUCCAGGCUCCGGGCCAACUCUUCCAGAAUGUUGGCACCGGGUGGCUUGCGUUGGGGCGAGCAAUAAAUCCAUAACAACCGAAGUUGUUGUGGUACUGUUCUUUGCCAGUAGCCUUCGUCUCAUAUAAAAGCUCGUGCAUACUGUAGAAGCACUUCGCGCUUGGCUCUAGCCCCUGACUUCUUACAGCCCAGACAAAAAUCCCCAUUCAAUAUUGUUCUUAUUUAUCCAUGAUUAUAUAAUAAAGAUAUAUUAAUGAUGUCGUAUGAUUAUUCAAGUUAUUUCUCAUGUUUCAUAUGCUUCUUCUUUUAUUAACAUAUACUAUGAUGAUGAAAGUACGUCAUUCAUGACCUUCGAUUGAAGAUUGUUAUAUCCUAAGGGAGAUAAUGCUUCAGAGGACGAAGGCCAAUAACCUUUAACAUUUUGUGUUGCCUUGUUCUUAACUCAAAGUGUUGGAGACUUGCUCUCAAAUGCUAUAAAUUGAGAACAAGGCAACACCAAAAUAAGUUAUUUAUUAAUGCCCUUCAUCCUUCGAAGCAUUAUUUCCCCAAGGAUAUAAUGAUCUUCGGACGAAGGUCAUGAAGGACAUACCUUCAUCAUCUCAUCAUACAUAUAUGUAUUAAUAUUAGCAACGAAUGGAGCAUGUAAAGCAUAAGAAACAAUGUAAACAAUAACAUUUUCAUAUAUAUAUAUUUCUCAGUACAUAAUUGUAAGUUAACAUAAGGACAAUAUUGAAUAACAUUUGGUACCUUCGGAUUGACAAAAAACAAAGGUACGAGCGUGACGCAAAAGCAAAUGCCAAGUUAGCGUGAACAGUACGGGGGUACUGUUCAUCUAUUUAUAGGCACAGGACGCAGCCUGUGAGAAAUUACAUUCAUGCCCUUUACAUUUAUUAUUAACUUAUGUACAAUUCUAUGAGGACUAGAUAACCUUUUCCCCUUUAAGUCGGUCCCCUCUUCGCCAUUUAGCCGAAGCUUUUUUGCACAUAGCUUCGGGAUUGACUCGACCUUCGUCCCGAUCGACCUUCAUCCCGAUCAUGCUUUCCAUAUUAUGUAUGCUUUUGACCCGAGUCCGAAGGUACCUGUUUACAUGUCACACUUGGAAAAUAUUGUUAAAUCACAUUUUUGAGGACCUUCGGAGGACGAAGGCCCCCAACAGUAGCCCCUCGCAAUAUUAAUUUGUUUAGAAUAACGAAUUCAGAUUGCGACAUGGAUGAAGGCCCUAAGCCAAAGGUCCAAAAAACACCUUCUCUUUGCUAGAAUAGCAACAGUCAAUGACAGACGAGGCCCUCCAACUUGGAGCGUGCUGGGCGUAUAAAUAGGAUCUCACACCGCCUGCAUUUUGAUACACUGCUUGUGCCAUUUGCCUUAUUUUCUCAAUUUGUUAACUUGUGCUUACUAGCGCUUGAUAGCUCUCAAGCUUUUUAGCUUCGGUUUGAAGGACACGUUUUCAUCAGUUCGAAGAUAAGAUGUCUCAAGACAAGAAGACAGUUGCUGAGACGAAGCUAACCAAAGAGGAGAAGCUUCUUGAGGAGAAGACUGCUGGAUUUGUUGAGUCAAUAGCGAAAACGAAUACAGGGAAGAUUACUAAAGAAAUUCUGGAAGGCUUGUCUGAAGAUACUGAUGAUAGUGACAGCUAUGAUGUGGAGAGUGGGGGCGAAGACUCUGAAGAUCGGCCCUGGUGACCAAGUCAUGCAGUCUUUAGGAAAUCAACUAACAAACAGAAUCAUCUUGAUAAUAUGAGAGGAAGGUAUUUUCGAGAUAUGUCUAUUGUGAGGGCUGACGCAGACAGAGCCGUUUCUGCUCCCGAAGAAAAUGAAGUUGUAAUCUAUCGAAGCUUCUUCAAAGCUGGACUUCGGUUUCUGUUGAGUAGAUUUGUGGUUGAAGUUUUGAAGACGUAUCAGAUUUUCCUUCAUCAGAUCACUCCCGAAGCAGUUAUUAGAAUGGGGAUCUUUGUCUGGGCUGUGAGGAGUCAAGGUCUAGAGCCAAGUGCAAAAUGUUUUUGCAGCAUGCACGAACUUUCGUACGAGACGAAGCCCUAAGGUAAAGAACAAUAUCAUAACAAUUUUGGGUGUUAUAGUUUCGUUGCUCGCUCUGGGGCCAGCUACCCGGUGCCAAUGUUUCGAAAGAGGUGGCCUGGGGCCUGGAUGGAAGAGUGGUUUUACGUGAAAAAUGAUUUGAAGGCAAGAGAAGAUAUUAAAGAAAUCAUCAUGCGACCCAUUUGGUCCCGCUUCGGCCUCCGAAAGCCGAAGGUAGAAAUUGAUGAGGCAGCCGAAGCAUGCCGAAGGGCCUUCAGCACAGUUUGCUCUUUUAUUAGGACAAGAGACUUAGUUCAAGAACAUGUAGCCUACAGGAUAUGGCCACUGAUAGACAAUUAGGAAAUGCCAAAAGAAUCCAUCACUAACCCUAGCGAAGGUGGUCUGGUUCGGUGGUCUGGUUCGAUUGAAAUAUACCUUCAGGUUUGGAGACCAGUUUAUUGAACCAGAUGAUGACUGGCUGAAGUGUGUUGAAAAUACUAGUGAUGAGCUACUUGGAGCAUACUCCAAGUCUGAAGAUAAUGCACUAUCUGCGGCCUUCGGGAGCCGAAAAAAAGAUUAAAUAGGGUUUUUGAUGCUAUUGGAAUUGUGUACCCUGACUAUUGCUACCUGCCACGGGGGCAGAAAAUAAAGGGUGCAACUUCUGGAAAGGUUGCUGCUUCGGCUACUCCAAGCGAGCCUGCGCCGAAGAGAAAAAAGUUGAAGGUCCUUACCCACCGACCGCGCUACAUCGAACCAGCCACAGUGCCUGAGUUUGGCGGGGAAACUUUUGCGGUUGCUGAAGCAAAAGAACCUGCUCCUCCCACACAGAUUAAAGAGCCGGCUGUAAUGCCGAAGGCGCCUUCGUCUAAGCUUAUUUAAACAAGGGUUAACAAAGAUAAGGCUAAAAAAUUAAAAACUAAAGAAGCAACAAAGAUGUCCGAGAUUCUAAGUCCUUCAGCAGAAGAAACAGUGCUGAAGGCAGAAAAAAGUUCUGCGAUAACCCCUAGAAGGAAAAGGAUGGUAAAUGUAUUAGACAUUUUGGAGAAAACAAACUCUAAACGCCCUUCUUCCAUAAAGAAGGUUGCUGAAAGUGCCGAGGCGCAGGCUGAAGCUAAUACUAGGUGGAUGAAAGAUAAAACUGCAACAAUUGAGGCUGGAACCAAGGCGAACCCAUAGUGCCAGUUGAGACGAAGCUUGCCACAGCCGAGCAAGGGGCCGAAGAAGUACCUCCAAAUACUGAUAUAGCUUUUGAGAGAAAUAUGGCUAAAGAAGCUGAAUCCCUUGCUCCCGAAGCACCUUCCAAAUAUCUUGAUUAUAUCAUUCGACAUGCUUCGGGAAAAAGAUUAUCUGAGGAAGAAAUUUUUGAAGCUAAACACUAUGCCUGAGAACUGAAGUACCCGAAAGGAGCCCUAGUGUUUAAUGGUACGGAUGAAGAUGACUUCUUGUAUUGCCUCCCAGACAACAAAGAAUUAUCCGUCUGCCGGGAGAUAGCCAGAAGUAUGGGUUUCCCGAAGCUCGAAGUUGGCCUCUGUGCCAUGGCAAAGGACGAUCUUGCGGAUAGCCUUGCAACAAUAGUCUGAAGGUACAAAAAUUGUGAAUUUUGAAGUUUAUGAAUUUUGAAUUAGUCUUUUGUUCUUAUGUUAAUCCAUUCAUUCUUUUGUAUAGGGCUUAAUACUUAGCAACGCCUUAAGGGCACAAAAGAAUGCUGAAGAUGAGAGCUGCACUAUUGCUCUCAACAACCUUCAAACAGAGGUUAUCAAGCUGAGAAACGAAGCCUUGGAAAAAGACAAAAUUCUACUUACAUUGGUGGACAAAGCAAAGGGGGAUGAAGCUAACUUCAAGGCUCAAUCUGAAAUCCAAAGGAAUGAGAUUGAAAACCUUCAAAAACAACUGGCUGAAGCCAAAUUAAAAUGCGUUGUUGCCGAAGCUGAACGAGAUGCCAGUGAUUACUGGAAAAUUAUUUUGAAAAGACAGUUGCAGAACUCCGCGCAUCAAAAGAAAAAUGUUUUGAGAAAUCUGUGGAAUGCGUUAAAAAGAUAAAAACUAGCUUCGCCAACGUGGGCAUGUACUUGAGUGAAGACAACUUCAUAAGGGGCGAUCCUGAGGGCGUAAUCGAUGGAUCAGUGGUGAGGCCGAAGCCUUUGAAGCGAUUUUGAGUGAUCGUGGGGACGUCUGUGCCUUCUCUGGCGCGAGAGGAGUUGCAGCUAUUCUGGAGAAGGCAGGGUGCGAACAUGUUAAAACUUUGGCCUAGGCCGAAGCUGCCUUCUCUAUCGACGAUACGAAGGACCCCUCGGUCGAAGCAAGCUCAAUAGGUGGAAAAUUUUUUACUGAUAUCUGGGAAAAUGGUGGCCAAGGGAUGGCCCAUGAAAUAAUGAAAAAGAGCGAAAAAGACAUCCUUGACACUCGAGAAGCAGCGAAAGCAGCUGAAAAAGCUGCGGAACUUGAAAGACGAAUAGGUAUUACUCAACGUCUUUUAACUUUAUUGUUGUUUAUUUUUGUGACUUCGAACUAAUUCAUGUCUUCUACCGCAGCUGCACUAUCUCCUCCCCUAGAGCCAUUCGACCCAAUGUAUGACCCAGAGACAAAUAAAACAAUAGAGAUUAUUAAUAUGGCCGAAGCUAUUGUAGACAAAGUUGUUACCAAAUUGCUGACCGAAGCUGCAGAUAAAGUUUUGAAGGAAGAAGAGUAGCUAUUGUAAAAACAUUUCUAGAAUAUUAUUGUAACAUUUGCUGAACUAUGCUUGUAAUAUUUGGUACUUGAAUGUAAUAUAUGAAUUGUUUGUAAUUCAGUUCUUUGCGAUGCAUGAAACUUUAUGUACAUACCGUUUUUGAGCCUUCGGCGAAAAAACACCUUCCCUUCUUUUCAUGCUUCGUAAAGAAGAGCCUUUAUGCUUCGUAAAAAUCAUCCGUACUUUGUAAAACAUCAAUGCUUCGAAAAGCUUUUUACGCAUCAGAACUGAUGAAGUUGUGAUUUUCAGCAUUGCCAGAAGAUUGGCCUUGUUUUCAAUUGAUAUCAUUGCUGUGAUAUGAUGUAUGAUGUGAUGCUAUGCGAUAUGAUGCAAUGAAUGAUGCUAAUGUAUCGUGCAAAUGAAUGCCCAAACACACACAUCCGAAGCUUCUUCCAUAACCUUCAUUCCCUAAGGAAUAACUGAAAUCUCUUUGCCGUUUACUUUUUGGUUGCACCGUUUAUUUUUCGGUGUAAGUUCUGCAUUCCCUAAGGAACGUCUUUUGAACUUCUUCUCCUAUUACGGCGGUAUUCACGUUGACUUUUCGUGCUUCGCCUUGUAUUUCGGCGGUAUUUGGCUCUGCAUUCCCUAAGGAACGACUUCUGAGCAGAAAACUUACGCUGCACUCCCUUAGGAAUGGCUUUUUGAAGCAUCGGCAAACUUACGCUGCAUUCUUUAAAAAAUGACUUUUUGUAGCUUCAGUGAAACUUUUACUGCGAUUUUUAGCACUGCAUUCCCGAAGGAAUAUCUCUUUGUAGCUUCGGCAUUUUCAUGAGUCUGUGACGAAGGUAUAUUUCAUUUUGACAUAAACGAAGCUAAUACAGAGAAUCAAAAAAUAGCAAGAAAACUAGGUUUACAUUAAUUGUUCCUUAUUAAAAAGAAAACGACAACGAAUGUAAAACUGUGCCAAAGGUAGGAUAUCUCUCAAUAUAUGUGUUUUGAUUCCAGCACAGUGCUGUUAACUGUGCAAGCUUCGGACCCCUCCCUGAAAUCUCGCUGCUGAUGGGUCUGUUGGCUCCCUUCUAGCUGCUGACCUCGUGAGUAGGCAGGCUGUAGUGGCGGCGAAGGUGGAAGCUGUGGCCAAGAAACUUGCGGCUGACUAGCCACAGCAACAGAAGCUGCGGGAUGAUUACCCACAUAUUCUGGUAUGUAGGGUGAAUGACACGAAGCAGUGUGCAAGACCUGCUUCGGCUGAUUUUUCUGGGCUUCGGCUUCUACAAUUUCCUUUUGCUUUUGGAUGGUGAUUUGACACGUUCUUGUAUUGUGGCCCUUGUCUUCACCACAAAAUAGGCAGUAGAUUUUCCUGGGCUGGUCCCCAUAUCUUCCUCCGAAGCCCCUGGCGCUUCUGCCUCUUGGAGCUAGCGGCCGGAAAGAGCUUUGUUGCUAUCCCGAAGCAUGCGAAGAAUACUGCGGUCUCUGCUGUUGACUUCCUCUGUCAUCACUCUGGAUGGAAUUGUGAAUGGACCUGACAUGCCUUGGGUGGAUUCUUCCUCCGAAGCCCCUGGUCAUUUUAGAGAACAUAUAUGCUUCCUCCCUUCUUUGGCGGAAGUCAUUGUCGGCCCGGAUGUACUCAUCCAUCUUCUGAAGCAGCUUCUCCAGAGUCUGUGGAGGCUUUCUAGCAAAAUACUGAGCAGUAGGUCCUAGAUGAAGCCCCUUAAUCAUGGCUUCAACAACAAUUUCAUUAGGCACUAUAGGCGCUUGUGCCCUGAGACGCAAGAACCUUCGGACAUAUGCCUGGAGGUACUCCUCAUGAUCUUGCGUGCACUGAAACAAGGCCUGAGCUAUGACUGGCUUCGUCUAGAAGCCUUGUAAACUUGUCACCAGCAUAUCCUUGAGCUUCUGCCAUGAAGUAAUGGUCCCUGGCCGAAGAGAAGAAUACCAUGUUUGGGCCACAUUCCAAACUGCCAUGACGAAGAACUUCGCCAUGACAGCUGCAUUGCCUGCAUAUGAAGAUAUAGUUGCUUCAUAACUCAUCAAAAACUGCUUUGGAUCUGAAUGCCCAUCAUACAUGGGAAGCUGAGGUGGCUUGUACGAUGGGGGCCAUGGGAUAGCCUGCAAUUCUGCUGCCAAGGGAGAAGCAUCAUCAAAAGUAAAGGUAUCAUGAUUAAAAUCAUCAUACCAUCCAUCGUUGUUGAACAAGCCUUAUUGAUGAAGCUCCCUGUGUAGGGGCCUUCGAUCUUGUUCGUCUUGAACAAGAUGGCAUACUUCUUCGGUGGCUUCGUCGAUCUGCCUCUGAAGAUCAACUAGUCGGGUCAUCUUCUCCUUCUUCCUUUGCACUUGCUGGUGGAUUAUCUCCAUGUUUCUGAUUUAUUGGUCCAACUCCUCCUCCUGGAGUGUUGGACUAGUGGCCUUCCUCUUCUGGCUUCGGGCCUCUCGAAGAGAAAGGGUCUCCUGGUUCGGGUCGAGUGGCUGCAGUGCGGCAGCCCCUGUCGCUGAAGCUUUCUUCGGUGGCAUGACGAAGGUCAGUGCUUGCUGAAGGUGGUCGAAAAGAGGGUUCACCGGAGGUGGGCGCCAAUGUUGGGGACUUGCUCUCAAAUGCUAUAAAUUGAGAACAAGGCAACACCAAAACAAGUUAUUUGUUAAUGCCCUUUGUCCUUCGAAGCAUUAUUUCCCCAAGGAUAUAAUGAUCUUCGGACGAAGGUCAUGAAGGACAUACCUUCAUCAUCUCAUCAUACAUAUAUGUAUUAAUAUUAGCAACGAAUGGAGCAUGUAAAGCAUAAGAAACAAUGUAAACAAUAACAUUUUCAUAUUUAUAUUUCUCAGUGUAUAAUUGUAAGUUAACAUAAGGACAAUAUUGAAUAACAUUUGGUACCUUCGGAUUGACAGAAAACAAAGGUACGAGCGUGACGCAAAAGCAAAUGCCAAGUCAGCGUGAACAGUACGGGGGUACUGUUCAUCUAUUUAUAGGCACAGGACGCAGCCUGUGAGAAAUUACAUUCAUGCCCUUUACAUUUAUUAUUAACUUAUGUACAAUUCUAUGAGGACUAGACAGCCUAUUCCCCUUUAAGUCGGUUCCUUUUUUCGCCAUUUAGCCGAAUCUUUUUUGCACAUAGCUUCGGGAUUGACUCGACCUUCGUCCCGAUCGACCUUCGUCCCGAUCAUGUUUUCCAUAUUAUGUAUGCUUUUGACCCGAGUCCGAAGGUACCUGUUUACAUGUCACACAUGGAAAAUAUUGUUAAAUCACAUUUUUGAGGACCUUCGGAGGACGAAGGCCCCCAACACAUAGCAUUUGAGAACAAGUCCCCAACAACUUAUGUUUGUGAAAAACUUAUGUUUUAGAGUUGUGUGAUACUUAUGUUGGUGAACCUUGGUAUGAACAUAGACAUGUAUGUGAAAAACUUGUGAGAUUUGUGUUUUUUUGUGAAAUAUGUGGUCUUUAUCAUGUAUGUGAUGAUUAUGUGAUAACUAUGAUGUAUAUGUGAUAAUUAUGUGAUAUAUCUUUUGUUUGUUUGAUGGAAUAGAAAAAACAAAUAAAAAGGGGGGUAUAAUGGUCACUUUGUCGAGUGUAACACUCACCAAAGAGGUUCUUUACCGAGUGGCAAGGUCAUAGCACUCGACAAAGAACGCAAACCUGGACACCGGUAAAGCCUCUUUGCCGAGUGAUGUGGCCUUGGCACUCGGCAAAGAAGCAAGCUUUGCUGAGUGCUUACAAAUGCACUCGGUAAAGGAACUGACAAAGGGGCCCGCUGGUGAUGCAUUUGCCGAGUGCUAGUUCAGCGGGAACUCGGGAAAGAUAGAGCCUUUGCCGAGUGCCACCUAAUACGCUCGGCAAAGGAUCUGGUAAAGGGGCCCAUAGGGAUCUUCUUUGCCAAGUGUCUAUAUAGUGGACACUCGACACAGGCUUCGUCGCCUUUACCUGGCGCCGUGACGGUGACUUUUCUUUGACGAAUCUCCAAGAAUGCGACUGAGCUGAACAGAGAGGAGAGAAAACAAUGUGGGCUGCCUAGCUGCAUCGCGUUAAAUGACCUUUGAACUGAGCUGGGAGACAGUUCAGGGUUCACCCUUCUAAUCGUGUUCCGUUGAUUAAGGAGGUUGAACCGUAUUCUGGAAGGGGCCUUGAUUUGGAAUAGGGGAUAUUGACAUGUUUGUUUUGGCUUCUCAGCAGCUUCUGGCCACUAGAAUCUGCUGCUGACUGUCAAACACCCAAUAUUUUAAAUAGCUUUUAUAAGAAUCAUUUUGGUGAUAACCAUAUAAAAUUAUGUGAACAAAAAAUCGGUCGAGUCGUUACGAAAAUAGAAAUCCUUCACUUUCUAGAUCCUAAACCGCAUAAACAUCUUCAUCUCCAUCCACACGUAAUUCGUACGAUACUCAGAUUCUCUCCACAGCAAAAUUCUCAGAAAAGCUCAUCAGACAAAAGCUGAAACAAACAGGCUUAAAGGGUACUGAGUAAGUCCAUAUGUCCAUGGUGGCUACACAGGAGAUAAAGCACACUACAUUAAAUUUGAGGCUGGUCACCAUUUACGGCAAAAAGAUUUUGGAGUUUUAACAUAUAACACGUAAUAUUAUUUAAGCUGCAAGUUAUAUGCUUAUCAAAGAACAAGCAGGAAGCAAUCCAAAUACUUAACAUUUGACAAAUCAUAUGAACGAGAAGAACAAAAGUUAACAAAUCGUAUGUCCUGAACAAGGAUCGGCGGAGAGAAUUUAUGAAGAAAGAAACUUGAAAGCAGGGUACCAUUAGAAAAGUGCUGCUCUUGGUAUAACCAUUGAGCGUUUCCUAUGAUAUUGUUGCAAAAUGUAAACAAGGCUAAAAGAACAACAGAAGACACCUGAUAGCCAAAGCCAUUGUAUUGAGGCAAAUAUCCCAUCUGUAAUAAAGCUCCAAAUACCGAAGACUGCUGCAUUGGACUUGCAUUCGCAUAUUAGAUGGUUGUAGUUGAGCUUUUUAUGCUUUCUGAGCCUUCCUUUCCUUUCCUGUAUCGGCCCAUUUGACAACCAAUGGCGCAGUAGAACCCUACAAAAUGUAUCAGAGCUUGUUGGAAUAUGUAGAAAGAAAUGGGUUUCCUAAAGAAAUUCAGAAAAUUCAUAUAGUAACUGUCAAAUGGGCUAUCUGAAAAUACAAAAGGGAGAUUUAAUCCAUAAUUUAUGUACAAAUUGAAUCAUAAUAAUAAUAUAAUAGUUAAACGGUCAUAAAAUUCAGCCGUUACCCAAUCCCACCCACAUCACUAUUUUGUGCUUAGUCUCAAAUUGAAAGGGAAAUGAAGUUUCAGGCAAAGGAAGCUCUUCCACUCCGUUCGGUAUCAACAUCCUUUGUUCCAACUCAUGUUCUUAAUUGCUAUAUCUUUUUGUCAUAUUAUUAAAAGGGCGAGGAAUUAUUUGCCCCUAUUUUUUUGCUUAAUGCCAAAGGGUGAAAAAUUAUUCGGCCAAAGCAAAAGGACUACAUCACCUCCUUGUUUUUAAAAUUUUUAGUCUUCCAAAUUGGUACCUUUUUUAUUUGUGAAAACCCUCUUGAAAGCUAAGAGGAGAAAAACUUUUUUAUGCCAAAGGGGAGAUUUUUUUACUCAGGGGAGCAAUUAUUUGGCCAAGGCAAAAACAUUUGAAAAACAGAGAGAACUUUUCAAACUUAAGAAAUGCUUGAGAAAAUGCAAAUUCUAAUUCUUUGGGCCAAAAGCAAAAGACUUUUGAAAGGAUCUUAUAAAAGAUUGCAAAAUCAAAAUUCAAGUGGUGCAAAUGUGGUAUAAAAUGUUAAUCAUUUCAAAAAAAUUCAUAUUCACUUAGAAAUGCUUCUAACCUAGUAUCUUAUGAACACUUGAAAGAUUGCAAACGAGUUACAAUUUACAUGUUUCCUAUUUUGCUUUGGUUGGUAUCAAUCACCAAAAAGGGGAAGAUUGAAAGGGAAAUGGCCCUAAAUCCAUUUCUAUAUUUGUUUUGGUGCUUGCUGACCAUCACAACCAUAUGGAAUAACCAGCUUGCUAAGUUCUUGGUUCACAGGUUCAUAAGAUCAUCAACAAAGGUUCUAAGUCCAUAACAAGCUAAGUUCUAGCCAAAAAGGGGUGAACUUUAGAGAAGACAAACUAUCAGUAGUUCAUCAAUUUGGAUAAUUUCUAAACACCCCUUAGCACAUAUUUGAACCAACCAAAGUAGAUAGAAAGCUUAGGAUUUAAGUUUCACACUUUUGGAGCCAAGUUGAGCCAAAACGGAAUACAAGAUAAAUAAUUCAAAACAACCAAGAUCUGUUUCUUAGACUAGUUGGCUAGUCACUAGAAAUAUAUGUCUAAGUCAUGUUAACACCCUCAAGUGCAGCCAGAUAAAUUUGAACAAGAAUUGGACAAGCUUACAAAGAUUGGGCUAAACUGUGGAGCACCAGACCGGUCUAGUGGUGCACUUAAUCGUUUACACGGAGAGCAUGAUAUGAAACACCUUUAAAUUCUCUUGCAUUGUGCUUGAUUCUAAAUCAAUUGUGUUGCUCCCAAAGUAAAAUUUCAUAAUAAUAAGAGCAACACUUGCAAGAAGAACAUCUCUUCCUCACUUCGAUAGUUUUGCUUCUUGUUCUAACACCUAAUCGGGGUUUUAGUUUUUGUAGUUUGUGAUAUAUUUUAUGUUUUGCCUAUUCACCCCCUCCAUGCGUAUUUCAUGAAGGUGAAGGUCAUAUGGGUUCGUGCCGAUGGACCAGGAGCAGCGAAGGUUGAGCAAUGAGUAUUGAUCGAGGCUCUAGAGAAGCGGAGUGACUGGCACCUAUGGGACAGCGACAGGCACAAGGACAUGGCGGAGCGAAUCGUGUCAUCGACACGGUCGCAAACCGGUAGGACACAUGUUAAGACGUGGUGACGCGUUUGAGCACGCUACCCGCGGUGGUUUCGAUGGUUGAGGCUCAAAACCACUCAGUGAUAGUUCGCGGGUUUCAUUGAAUUUAGGCCUCAAAAUCCGGCAGUGUGGUUCCAGAAGGAAUCAGAGGAGACAUGUGGCCCAUUUUGACGCUGACUGAGUGGAUAUGCACUAUGUAUCUAGGGGUAGUUUAGGAAAGAGGAAUAACUCUCUAUACAUAGGAGGGGACGACUGAACCGUUUAGCCAUCUCUUUUAACAUUUCAUUACCCCUUUAGCUUAUAAUCUUCAUUCUGCGACUCGCUUGUUUUGUUUGACUUAUCUAUGUCACAUGAACUUUUCAUAUCUCUUGGGUGUUAUUUGGAUUUUUUGGAGUUUGGGGUGUGACAUUGAGAAACAAGACGGUUGCCCAAGCACAAAGAUUUUAUUGCCUCCCACUCACUCAUAUCUAGUCACCUUAUUUGAUCCUUAAUGUUUGAAACAGAGGAAGUAUUAUUUAUAUUUAUCAAAUUUAAAAUUAUUUUAUUAUUUCGAGGGCUUAAACUAAUCAUCUAUUCCUUUCACAAAGGAUGUGAUGUCAAAUUACCGUAGGCCAGAUCAAUCAAGCUGGGGUUGGCAAAUUAUUUUAUUCUUUUGAGUAGAACGAAUCCAACGGUGGUGCACACUAAAUAGUAGACAAUUACAACAUGAAUGAUACUAUAGCACACAAUAGUAGUUGUGUUUUUUCAUUAUUUUUUUUACUUCAAGCAGUAAAACAGAAGCUCUGUUAUAUGGACGAAGAAACCAAUGACAAUAAAACUCGGAUAGUAUGAUGCUCAUGCGUUCCGACGGCAUAUAAAUUAUUAUCUAAUAAAAUGUUAGUGCACAACAUGUCCAGAGCAUACAUGAAGAAAAAAGGAAAGGAAAAUUAUGUAUGAAGGAAGAGAUAAAAGGAAAUCUUGAAAGGAAUAUCAGUAUAAUCCCAAACUAAUAAGCACAGUUGCUCAACGUCACAAUGAAGUUCGAGAAAGCAUCACAAAGUAGAACCAGGUUAGGAGCCUCUAAAAAUUUAUUUCAUUUGGCAGAGCGCAUUCACUUCAUUGUACAAACAUAGCCACAUGUGUAUUGCUCAAGAACUGAGUCGCUCCUUGUGGGGACGCACGACCGGUGGGCGGUGGUCGCGGGAUGACGCUCGCGGUGGCGGCGCUGACUCAAAGUCGACGUGCGUGACGUGGUCGUCGGCGAGGAGGAGAAUGUUCUUGGGCUUGAGGGAGGUUCUCUAGGUCCCGCAUCUUGCGCUCCUCGGCCGAUGCAUCCUCUUGGCAUGACAUGGUCGAUAGCUGUCGGGGACCAUAAUUAGGGGUACCCCCAAGACUCCUAAUCUCAGCUGGUAAACCCCAUCAGCACAAAGCUACGAAGGCCUGAUGGGCGCGAUUCAGGCCAAGGCUCCGCUCAAGGGACACGAUCGCGCCUCGCCCGAGCCCGACCUCGGGCAAAGACAGCCGACCCCGGAAGAUUCACGCCUCGCCCGAGGAUCCCCAGGGCUCGGACUCAGCCUCGGCUCCGGAAGACGACGAACUCUGCCUCGCCCGACCCCAGGGCUCGGACUCAGCCUCGGCUCUAGAAGACGACGAACUACGCCUCGCCCGACCCCAGGGCUCGGACUCAGCCUCGGCUCUGGAAGACGACGAACUCCGCCUCGCCCUACCCCAGGGCUCGGGCUCAGCCUCGGCUCCGGAAGACGACGAACUCCGCCUCGCCCUACCCCAGGGCUCGGGCUCAACCUCGACCUCGGAGGAAUCGCCACCUCGCCCAAACUCGGGCCCGGACUGGCCACGUCACCAGGGGGGCCAUCAUUACCCUGCCCCUAGCCAGCUCAGGCUACGGGGAACAAGACCGGCGUCCCAUCUGGCUCGCCCCAGUAAACAAGUAAUGAUGACACCCCGCACGCUCCAUGACGACGGUAGCUCCUAGCCCAUUACGUCAGCAAGGAGACGUAAGCAAGGAUCCGACAGCCCCGAUAGGUUGUACUUCCGCAGGGCUCCAGCUCUCCUCCGAUGGCCACGACAUCACAUGAACAGGGCAGCAACACCUCUCCGAUAGCCACGACUGCAUGUACAUAGGGCACUAGCUCCUCUCUGCUAGACACGUUAGCACAUUGCUACACCCAACAUUGUACAUCUGGGCCCUCUCCUUAUGCCUAUAAAAGGAAGGUCCAGGGCUCUCGUACGAGAAGGUUGGCCGCGCGGGAGAACGGGCCGACGCAUAAGGCCCUCGCUCUCUCUCUCUCUCUCCCACGCGAACGCUUGUAACCCCCUACUGCAAGCGCAUCCAUCCGCCCUGGGCGCAGGACAACACGAAGGCCGCGGUUUCCCCUUACUGUUCUCCCCCUUUGUGUCCCGUCUCGCGCCGACCUAUCUGGGCUGGAACACGCAGUGACAAUUUACUCGUCGGUCCAGGGACCCCCCGGGGUCGAAACGCCGACAGUUGGCGCGCUAGGUAGGGGCCUGUUGCGUGUUGAUGAACAGCUUCCCGUCAAGCUCCAGAUGGGUAGUCUCCAGCAACCUUUCCAACCCAGGACGAUGCUCCAUUUCGGGAGUCUCGAGUUCAUGUCCCUCGACGGCAGCUACGACAUGAUACUCCUUCCUCCGCCGCGCGACAGCGACAAUGGCGGCCGUCAGCCCGCCCGCCGACGGCGGAAUCAACGACGUCUUCGCCACAUGGCGGAAGAACAACAUCCGGGUUUGUCCCGUCACCUCCCCCACCGACGGAGGAGGAGGCGGGGCAACCAUGGCCAAGCAGGAGGUAGCACCUCGUCGGCUGUCGAGCAAGUCGGCGACGUCGGCGCCCCAGCGGGGGACACGUCGGGCUUCGACCUUGCGUCUGAGACGAAGACGAGCACCGUUUCCCCGCAACACGCCAACCCCAAGCAGACGAACGACGCCAGCACGCUCGCGAAGGACUUGCUGGGCGUCGCCCUCGUACCUGAGACAGCGGUGCAGUCCGCCCCUGAUGCGACUUUGUCACCGCCCGUCAACCAAGAGGUACCAACCGAGUCCCAUCUCGUGUCUUUUGGAUUCAGCUUCGACCCACCAAGCGACCUCGCUUCGGUGGAAGCCUUCAUAGAGGCAUGUACCAACCCUCCGGGGUACCAUAUGCGGUCACCCUGGGACAGACUGACGGCCGUCUCGACCUACGGACCCUCGGGUUCCGAGGAAGAUGACGAGCCUGACUUUUGUUGGGAUUUCUCCGGGCUCGGUAACCCCAGUGCCAUGCGGGACUUCAUGACCGCAUGCGACUACUGCCUCUCCGAUUGUUCCGAUGGUAGCCGCAGCUUCGGCGACGAAGACUGCGGCCCAUGUCGUGAAUGUUUCCACGUCGAUCUAGGGGGUCCCGGCAAAGGCAACCAUCUUGGUAUGCCGGAAAACGGCGAUCCCCCUAGGCCUGCGCCUCGCGUUGACAUCCUUCGGGAGCUAGUUGUGGUCCAGGUCCCUGCGGGGGGUCAGGACGCACAGCUCGAGCAAAUCCGUGAGAUGCAGGCCAGGCUCGACGAGGGAGCAGGAACACUUGAGCAGUUCCGGCGGAACAUCGGGCAGGAAUGGGCAGGCCAAGCUCCGGCUGGAGAAGCGUGUCAUCUACCCCAGGGCACCCAGCACCGCAUUGCCGACGACGUCAGGGCAAGGCCGCCACCAUCUUCCAAUGGGGUCGGCCAGAACCUGGCUGCAGCAGCAAUACUACUCCGCGCGAUGCCGGAACCAUCGACAUCGAGGGGCGGCGUAUCCAGGGAGAGCUCAAGAAUCUCCUGGAGGAUGCUGCGGUCCGACGGGCCAAAAGCUCUGCCUCCCGAAGGCAGGGGUACCCCUCAGAGCAUCACGCCUGCGAAUUCCCAAUUCGUGCGGGAAGCCUUGGUCCACACCGGGCGCACGCGCAACACGGCGCUUGCGGCCCCGGGUCGCCUCGGCAACGAGCACCACCACCGCGACCGUCGAGCCCACCUCGACGAGAGGGUGCGCCGAGGCUACCACCCCAGGCGUGGGGGACGCUACGACAGCGGGGAGGACCGGAGCCCCCCACCCGAACCACCCAGUCCAUAGGCUUUCAGCCGGGCCAUACAACGGGCGCCGUUCCCGACCCGGUUCCGAACCCUGACUACCAUCACAAAGUACUCGGGGGGAGACGAGGCUGGAACUGUGGCUCGCGAACUACCGACUGGCCUGCCAGCUGGGUGGAAUGGACGAUGACAACCUCAUCAUCCGCAACCUCCCCCUAUUCCUCUCCGACACCGCUCGAGCCUGGUUGGAGCAUCUGCCUCAAGGGCAGAUCUCCAACUGGGAUGACCUGGUCCAAGCCUUUGCCGGCAACUUAUAGGGCACGUACGUGCUCCCUGGGAACUCCUGGGAUCUCCGAAGCUGCCGCCAGCAGCCGAGAGAGUCUCUCCAGGACUACAUCCAGCGAUUCUCGAAGCAGCGCACUGAGCUGCCCAACGUCACCGACUCGGACGUCAUUGGCGUGUUCCUCGCCGGCACCACGUGUGCGACCUGGUGAGCAAGCUGGGUCGCAAGACCCCCACCAGGGCGAGCGAGCUGAUGGACAUCGCCACCAAGUUCGCCUCUGGCCAAGAGGCGGUUGAGGCCAUCUUCCGAAAGGACAAGCAGCCCCGGGUCCGCCAGCCGGAAGAUGUCCCCGAGGCAUCCGCUCAGUGCGGCACCAAGAAGAAGAACAAGAAGAAGUCGCAAGGGAAACGCGACGCCACCGACGCGGACCUUGUCGCCGCCGCUGAGUACAAGAACCCUCAGAAACCUCCUGGAGGUGCCAAUUUCUUCGAUAAGAUGCUCAAGGAGCCAUGCCCCUAUCAUCAGGGGCCUGUCAAGCACACCUUUGAGGAGUGCAUCAUGCUUCUGCGCCACUUUCACAAGGCCGGGCCACCGGCGAAAGGUGGCAGGGCCCACAACAACGACAAGAAGGAGGAUCACAAGGCAGAGGAGUUUCCCGAGGUCCACGACUGCUUCAUGAUCUACGGUGGGCAAGUGGCGAACGCCUCGGCUCGGCACCGCAAGCAAGAGCGUCGGGAGGUCUACUCGAUAAAGGUGGCGGUGCCAGUCUACCUAGACUGGUCCGACAAGCCCAUCACCUUCGACCAGGGCGACCACCCCGACCGCGUGCCGAGCCCGGGGAAAUAUCCGCUCGUUGUCGACCCCGUCAUCGGCAAAGUCAGGCUCACUAAGGUCCUCAUGGACGGAGGCAGCAGCCUCAACAUCAUCUACGCCGAGACCCUCGGGCUCCUGCAGAUCGAUCUGUCCUCGAUUUGGACCGGCGCGGCGCCUUUUCACAGGAUCAUCUCCGGGAAACGCGUCCAACCCCUCGGACAACUUGAUCUGCCCGUCUGCUUCGGGACUCCCUCCAACUUCCGAAGGUAAACCCUCACGUUCGAGGUGGUCGGGUUCCGAGGAACCUACCACACAGUACUAGGGAGGCCAUGCUAUGCCAAGUUCAUGGCUGUCCCCAGCUACACCUACCUCAAGCUCAAAAUGUUGGGCCCCAACGGGGUCAUCACCGUUGGCCCCAUGUACCGACACACGCACGAAUGCGACGUGGAGUGCGUGGAGUACGCCGAGGCCCUCGCCGAAUCUGAGGCCCUCAUCGCCGACCUGGAGAGCCUCUCCAAAGAGGCGCCAGAUGUGAAGCGCCACGCCGGCAACAUCGAGCCAGAAGAGACGGUUAAGACCGUCCCUCUCGACCCCAGCAACGACGCCUCCAAGCAGAUACGGAUCGGCUCCGAGCUCGACCCCAAAUAGGAAGCAGUGCUCGUUGACUUUCUCCGCGCGAACGCCGAAGUCUUUGCGUGGAGUACCUCGGACAUGCCUGGCAUACCGAGGGAUGUCGCCGAGCACUCGCUGGAUAUCCGAGCUGGAGCCUGACCCGUGAAGCAGCCUCUGCGCCGAUUCGACGAAGAAAAGCGCAGAGCCAUAGGCGAGGAGAUCCACAAGCUGAUGGCCGCAGGGUUCAUCAAAGAGGUAUUCCAUCCCGAAUGGCUUGCCAACCCUGUGCUUGUGAGAAAGAAAGGAGGGAAAUGGCGGAUGUGUGUAGACUACACUGGUCUAAACAAAGCAUGUCCGAAGGUUCCCUACCCUCUGCCUCGCAUCGAUCAAAUCGUGGAUUCCACUGCUGGGUGCGAAACGCUAUCUUUCCUCGAUGCCUACUCAGGGUAUCACCAAAUCAGGAUGAAAGAGUCCGACCAGCUCGUGACUUCUUUCAUCACACCUUUUGGCAUGUACUGCUACGUUACUAUGCCAUUUGGUUUGAGGAAUGCAGGUGCGACAUACCAAAGGUGCAUGAACCACGUGUUCGGAGAGCACAUUGGUCGGACCGUCGAGGCUUACAUCGACGACAUCGUAGUCAAGACGAGGAAAGCCUCCGACCACCUCUCCGACCUUGAAACGACAUUCAAGUGUCUCAAGGCGAAAGGCGUAAAACUCAAUCCCGAGAAGUGCGUCUUCGGAGUCCCCCGAGGCAUGCUCUUGGGGUUCAUCGUCUCCGAGCGGGGCAUCGAGGCCAACCCAGAGAAAAUCACGGCCAUCACCAACAUGGGGCCCAUCAAGGACUUGAAAGGUGUACAGAGGGUCAUGGGAUGCCUUGCGGCUCUGAGCCGCUUCAUCUCGUGCCUCGGUGAAAGAGGCCUACCUCUGUACCGCCUCUUAAGAAAGACCGAGUGCUUCACUUGGACCCCCGAGGCCGAGGAAGCCCUCGGGAACCUGAAGGCGCUCCUUACGAAUGCACCCAUCCUGGUGCCUCCCGCUGCCGGAGAAACCCUCUUAAUCUACGUCGCCGCUACCACUCAGGUGGUCAGCAUCGCGAUCGUGGUCGAAAGGCGAGAAGAAGGGCAUGCAUUGCCCGUCCAGAGGCCGGUCUACUUCAUCAGUGAGGUACUGUCUGAGACCAAGAUCCGCUACCCACAUAUUCAGAAGUUGUUGUACGUUGUGAUUCUGACGCGGCGGAAGUUGCGACACUACUUCAAGUCUCAUCCGGUGACUGUGGUGUCAUCCUUCCCUCUGGGGGAGAUCAUCCAGUGCCGAGAGGCCUUGGGUAGGAUUGCAAAGUGGGCGGUGGAAAUCAUGGGCGAGACAAUCUUGUUCGCCCCUCGGAAGGCCAUCAAGUCCCAAGUCUUGGCGGACUUUGUGGCUGAAUGGGUCGACACCCAGCUCCCGGUAGCUCCGAUCCAACCAGAACUCUGGACCAUGUUUUUCGACGGGUCGUUGAUGAAAACAGGGGCAGGCGCGGGCCUGCUCUUCAUCUCGCCCCUCGGGAAGCACCUCUGCUACGUGCUGCGCCUCCAUUUCCCGGCGUCCAACAAUGUGGCCGAGUAUGAGGCUAUGGUUAACGGGUUGCGCAUCACCAUCGAGCUAGGGGUCCGACGCCUCGACGCUCGUGGCGACUCGCAGCUUGUCAUCGACCAAGUCAUGAAGAACUCCCAUUGCCACGACCCGAAGAUGGAAGCCUACUGCGACGAGGUUCAGCGCCUGAAGGACAAGUUCUACGGGCUCGAGGUCAACCACGUCGCCCGGCGGUACAACGAGACUGCGGAUGAGCUGGCGAAGAUAGCUUUGGCGCAAACAACGGUUCCCCCGAACGUCUUCUCCCGGGACCUACAUCAACCCUCAGUCAAGACCGACGACACGCCCGAGCCCGAGAAGGUCUCGGCCCUGCCCGAGGCGCCCUCGACUCAGCCCGAGGCACCCUCGGCCCCCGAGGGUGAGGCACUGCGCGUCGAGGGAGAGCGGAAUGGGGUCCCGCCUGAUCGAGACUGGCAGACCCCGUACCUGCAAUAUCUCCACCGAGGAGAGCUGCCCCUCGAUAUAGCCAAAGCUUGGCGACUGGCGCGGCGCGCCAAGUCAUUCGUCUUGCUGGGUGACGGGAAGGAGCUCUACCACCGCAGCCCCUCCGGCAUCCUCCAGCGAUGCAUAUCCAUCGCCGAAGGCCAGGAACUCUUACAAGAAAUACACUCGGGGGCUUGCGGUCAUCACGCAGCGCCUCGAGCCCUUGUUGGAAAUGCUUUCCGACAAGGUUUCUACUGGCCGACCGCGGUGGCCGACGCCACUAGAAUUGUCCGCAUUUGCCAAGGGUGUCAAUUCUACGCAAGGUAGACGCACCUACCCGCUCAGGCUCUGCAAACAAUACUCAUCACCUGGUCGUUUGCUGUGUGGGGUCUGGACCUCGUCGGUCCCUUGCAGAAGGCACCCAGGGGCUACACGCACCUACUGGUCGCCAUCGACAAAUUCUCCAAGUGGAUCGAGGUCCAACCCCUAAACAGCAUCAGGUCCGAACAGGCAGUGGCAUUCUUCACCAACAUCAUCCAUCGCUUCAGGGUCCCGAACUCCAUCAUCACCGACAACGGCACCCAGUUCACCGGCAGAAAGUUCCUGGACUUCUGCGAGGAUCACCACAUCCGGGUGGACUGGGCCGCCGUGGCACACCCCAUGACGAAUGGGCAGGUAGAACGUGCCAACGACAUGAUUCUGCAAGGACUCAAGCCGAGGAUCUACAACGACCUCCACAAGUUCGGCAGGCGAUGGAUGAAGGAACUCCCCUUGGUGGUCUGGAGCCUGAGAACAACGCCGAGCCGAGCCACGGGCUUCACACCGUUCUUUCUAGUCUAUGGGGCCAAGGCCAUCUUGCCCACAGACUUAGAAUACGGUUCCCCGAGGACGAGGGCGUACGACGACCGACACAACCAGACCAACCGAGAAGACUCACUGGACCAGCUGGAAGAGGCUCGGGACGUGGCCUUACUACACUCAGCGCGGUAUCAGCAGUCCCUGCGACGCUACCACGACCGAGGGGUUCGGUCCCGAGACCUCCAGGUGGGCGACUUGGUGCUUCGGCUGCGACAAGACGCCCGAGGGCGCCACAGGCUCACGCCUCCCUGGGAAGGGCCAUUCAUCAUCGCCAAGAUUUUGAAGCCCGAAACAUACAAGCUGGCCAACAGUCAAGGCGAGGUCUACAGCAACGCUUGGAACAUCCGACAGCUACGUCGUUUCUACCCUUAAGAUGUUUUCAAGUCGUUCAUACACCUCGUUUACAUACAAAGUCUAACCAUCAAGGAAGGGUCAGCCUUGCCUCGGCAAAGCCCGACCCUCCCUCGGGGGCUAGAAGGGGGGAACCCCCUCCGCGUCAAAAUUUUCCUCGGAAAAAGUCUUUCUGCCAGAAUAUCUUUCGUGCUUUUCGACUACUUCGGUAGUGGGAUCAUGAAAACGGCGGAGUACACAUAAGCAGGCAAGGUCGACCGAGCCGAGGGACUCCUACGCCUCCGGGAUACGGAUACCUCACUCAUCACCUUCUGCGAGAAGUAACUCACGUUCGGAUGAGCGAUCCUGCUGACCAAACAAGUCUUAAUGCUCGAAAACUUUUCUGCCGAAAAAAUUUUUCGUGCCUUCUCGACUAUAUCGAUAGCAGAAUCCAACGAACGAGUAAGAGUACACGUAAGCGGCAAGGUCGACCGAGCCGAGGGACUCCUACGCCCCCGGGAUACGGAUACCUCACUCAUCACCUUCCGUGAAAAGUAACUCUCGCUCAGACAAACAAUUCUGUUACCGACAAAUAAGUCCUGAUACUCGAAACAAGGGGAAAAGAAACGCAGCUUUACAACGCGACGACAGUAUGUUUGGGCCUCGGCGGCCGCAAAAAACAUAUGCAUACUACAGGCGAACCGAUCCUGCAGGCUCAGACGUCGAUGGAGGGGGAGCAGUAGCACCCUCGGCGUCAACUCCACCAUCGGCGAAGUUCGACCGAGCCUCGGACGGCAACACGAUCGGAGGAUCUCCGCUCCGAAGGACGACGUCAGCACCCCGCCCGGGCCAUCGCCACCAGGGUCUCCUCCAGGAACCCGGCCCGAGCAGACGGCUCGGCCGGCCGCCCCGAAGCCUCAGCCGGCUACCCCCCGAGGACACUAGCCCGGCUCGUGGCCUCGGCAACUCGACUCCGGCGUUGGUCCCACCAGUGGACGACCCGGAGAGGCACCGGCCGACGAAGCUUCCUUUUUCGAGCCAACUCUGCCUCUGUCCACGCUGACACCGCUGCCCUCGGCCCCGGCUCACCGCAGAGCGGCCGAGGGUUUCUUUGAAUAAGCAAGUGAAGCCUCGGGCGGUAAGGCCGACCGAGCCGAGGGAUUCCUACGCCUCCGGGAUACGGAUACCUCACUCGUCACCUUCCGCACAGAGCAACUCACAUUUGGUUAAGUGGUUCGGCUAGCCGACGGGCGAGUUCUAGUGCUCGAAAAUGAGGAAAAACAUGGUAUUACACCCAAAAAUACCUACAUGUUCAGGCCCCGACAGCCACAAUGAACAGACACCGACACUCAAGGUGCCAUUACAAACGGAACUUCGGUUCCACUCCCGCAGGUACGAACAACCCCCCACAUUGGAGGGCCUGCGGGGCGACAAAACCCCUGGUGGCUCGCCGACGCUCGCUCCGGCAGCAGCGACAACGACCUCCACUCCAAGUGGCCAAACAGCAGCAGCGAUGACCUCAGGGCGGACGCUGCUGCGACGAGCUCCUCGCCCACGUCCCCACUCGAGGGGCGAGGACAAGCUAUCAAAUCCCAAGAGCCAGAGGCCCGGAGCGCGGAUGGUGGCGGCAAUCUCGUCGGCAACGAGGACUUCUUCAGCCGCCGCCACCUCAACGUCGACGACGGCAGCCAUCUGCCCACCGGCAGAUCCCCACUCGGAUCCUCCCGGACAGGCGAGCACCGACCUCCGCGCAAGAGGCGUCAUACCAGAGCAAAGGCAGGACAGCCCAAGGACACGAACGCCGCCCUAGCAGCGCGCGACGUCUUGGGCGGCCCUCCGGUGCGCGCGGCGCGGCGACCGCUCGUACGGCGAGAGGGGGCACCGGGGACCGAGCCAGAGCCAGCUGAACCAGUGAGCCCAACACGCUGAAGCCAACGACACUCGCGACCGACCAGCCCUGCGUUGUCGGAGUCCGCCCCUUCCGCUAGGCCAGUUCGCACCCUCUCCCCUGAAUGCUGAAGGAGAGGGUGACCCACGAACCCGUGCGGGAGGUAGAGCUCCGGCUUGGCCCGCCCUCCGCCCCAGCAAGGAUGAUGAUCAUCCUUGAAGCUGAGGGAGGGGCGGAGGCCGCAGCCCGGCUCGCUUCUCCCCACCAUCAAACUGGUGGUCACCGUCUUGGGUGACCACCGGCGAGGGGAUGCAGCCGGGCUGCCUGAUGAAAAUCCUUGAAGCCGAGCGAUGGCUGAAAGGUACCAACUUUCGCGAAGUUGCGUUCCUCCAACGACAGCAAGACAAAGCGACGCGAGCGCUCCCCAUCCGGGGGCUCGGAAGGUGGAAGGACGCGAUACAUGGAGUGCGAAGACAUGGUUGCCAUCCAAGGGGGUCACCCUCCUUUUAAAGGCGACUCUCCCCACUUGCUUCCUCAGCCGUCGUGGACUGAGUCUUCUCCAACACGCUCCAAGGUCCUCCCCCUAUGACAUGGGGGCUGGGUCCCACGCAUCAUGCAGGCUGGCCCAGGACAGAAGAGGCCAAACCGUCGCGCGCGGAGCGCACAACAGCCCAGCGGUUACAAGCAUUCCUCCACUAUCGCCCGGACCAGCGGGUGAAAGGGCGGACCGCCAUGCAGGCGGCAUGCAACUACACCAAGGGGGCGCACCCUUUCGACUUCGACGCGUCCAGCAUGGAGGCUUAGGCCCACACGUCAUGUAACCGGCGCGCCGGUUACUACGUGCAAGAAACUGCACCACCACUCGCGCCAGUACCGCGCCUUCUCAACUGUCGGACCGGUGCCGCGACUCGAGGCGACCCUGCGCAUGACCCAACAGUGCCAACCAAGCACAUCGUUGACGAGUCAGUCAGCCGCGGGAGAAGGCGCGACGGUCGAUACGGCCAGAAAUGGGCUGGCAGUAAUGGCGGUGGCAGGCGGGCGGAAGCAGCAGUCAAAUCGCCUGCAGGCUCACGUCCUCUCCUGGGACAGCGAGAGAGCCCUCUCCCACGGCGUGAAGACAACGCGCCCAUGUUCCGUUCCUCGAACGGCCCGCGCACGCACAACGGCUGCCCCGCCAACCACUCGUCCCGUCGCAUUAACUCUGCGGCAGGGCAGGCGGCACCAUUGGCAGGCGAAGCGGGCGACGCUUCACCUCCGCCAUAAUGACCGCGUCAAAAAAGGUGCGCCACGUCGCUCAAUUUCAUAUCCUUUUCCUCUUCCCCUUUCUCUCUCUUGCUACAGGGACCGGGAAAGGGGAUACUCCAAAAGGGAUCCUUCUCCGCGAAGGAAGCGGGCCCCGAGCCCCCCUACUGAUCAGAGGUUCGAAGGCUGGCCCCUCGGAAGGGUUCAACAGCCGCCUCAGAGCACUCGGGCUCCGUGCCCACUACUGGUCAGAGGUUCGAAGGCUGGCCCCUCGGAAGGGUUCAACGGCCGCCUCAGGCCACUCGGGCUCCGCGCCUGUUGGGGGCCUUCGGCUUCCGAAGUCCUCAAAAACAUGAUUUGACAAUGUUUUCCAAGUGAAAUAUGUGAACAGGUGUCUUCGGAAUCAGGUUACGGAUAUACAAGGGUAUGGUCAUGACGAAGGUUAACUGGGGCGGAAAGCAAUCACAACGAAGAAUAAGACGAUCACAAAGCUACGUGCAGAAGAGCUUCGGCAUGACGGCAGGAAAGAGGAACCGACUUAAAGAUGAAAAGUCAAUUUAAACCUCGAAGGAUUGUUAUAAAGUUAUUGUCAAAUGUAAAGGGCAUUAAUGUAAUUUUACACGGGCUGCGUCCCGUGCCUAUAAAUAGGUGAACAGUACUCCCGUACUAUUCACGCUGAUUGGAUAUACGCUUUUUCACAUCACGUCUGUGCAUUUACUCUACAUCAAUCUGAAGGUACAUUUGUAAUUCUAUUCUAUGAAUUUAAUAAUAGGAAUACAUUAGUAAUAAUAUUGGUAUUAUUACUCGUGUAUUAUAUAUGUGGUUGCCCUGUUUUAUCAUUUAUCAACCUUACGAAGGUCUUCUCUUUUGCAACCUUCGUCCGAGACUCAAUAUAUCCGAGGGGAUAUAUUGUUUUUAAGGACGAAGGAGUUUGACAUUUAACACUUUUAUGUUGUCUUGUUCUUAAUUCAUAGCACUUAAGAACAAACCCCCAACAUUGGCGCCAACCUCCGGUGAACUCACUUCCACUUUUUGAGUUUUGAAAACCCUCGGCAAGCAUCACCUUCGUCAUGCCGCCGAAAAAAGCUUCAGCGACAGGGGCUGCCACUCUGCAGCCGCUGGACCCCAAUCAGGAUGUCGUUUCUCUUAGGGAGGCCAGAAGCCAGAAGAGGAAGGCCAUCAGUCCAACGCCUCCGGAAGACGACUUGGACCAAGAAAUCCAAAAAAUGGAGAUGCUUCAUCAACAGGUCCAACGGAAGAAGGAGAAGAUGGCUCGUCUAGCUGAUCUUCAAAAGCAGAUAGAUGAAGCCUCUGAAGAGCUUCGACACCUCGCUCAAGAUGACCAGAAUCAAAGGCCCCCGCGCAGGGAGCUUCAUCAAGAGGGUUUCUACAACGAGGACGACUGGUAUGAAGAUUUCCAUCAUGGAAAUUUUGCUUUUGAUGAUACUUCUCCCCUGUCAACAGAACUGCAGGCUACACCUUGGCCACAGUCUUAUAAGCCACCUCAGCUCCCCAUGUACGACGGUCAUUCAGACCCGAAGCAAUUCUUGAUGAGCUAUGAAGCAACUAUAUCUUCGUAUGGCGGCAACACGGCGGUCAUGGCAAAGUCCUUUGUCAUGGCUAUCAGGAGUGUGGCACAAACCUGGUACUCCUCCCUUAGGCCAGGAACAAUCACCUCAUGGCAAAAGCUGAAGGAUAUGUUGAUAACCAGCUUCCAAGGCUUUCAGACAAAGCCGGUCACUGCUCAAGCCUUAUUCCAGUGCACCCAGGAUCACGAAGAAUAUCUUCAGGCGUAUGUCCGAAGGUUCCUACGUCUGAGGGCACAGGCACCAACAGUGCCCACUGAAAUUGUCAUUGAGGCCAUGAUCAAGGGGCUUCGGCCGAGAUCUUCGGCUCAGUACUUCGCCAGGAAGCCUCCUCAAACCUUGGAGAAGCUGCUCCAGAAGAUGGACGAGUAUAUUCGAGCUGACAAUGAUUUUCGCCAAAGAAGGGAGGAAGCUCUCAGGUUCUCUGAAAUGACCAGGGGCUUCGGAGGAAGGUUUUAUCCGAGGCAUGUCAGGUCAAUUCACAAUUCUACUCAAAAUGAUGACAAAGGGAGUCAGCAGCAAAGGCCACAAUGUUCCUCGCAAGCUUCGGGGCAACAGCAAAGCUCUUUUCGGCCGCCAGCGCCAAGAGGCAGAGGCGCCAGGGGCUUCGGAGGAAGAUUUGGAGAUCAAACAAGAAAAAUUUACUACUUAUCCUGCGGUGAAGGUAAGGGCCAUACCACCAGAAUGUGCCAUAUUACCAUUCAAAAGCAAAAGGAACUAGCAGAGGCUGCAGCGCAACAGAGCCAGCCGAAGCAGGUUAUGCAUACCGCUUCGUACCAUUCGCCUUACAUUCCAGAAUAUGUAGGCAAUCACCCUGCAGCCUCUGUUGCUUCGGCAAGCCAACCCUAAGCUUCCUGGCAAUAGCUUCCACCACCACCACCAAUACAACGAGCUCCGCAGCCAGAAGGGAGCCAGCACUCUCACCCCCAGAGGGACUUCAGAGAAGAAUCCGAAGCUCGUACAGUCAAUAGCACUGUGCCAGAGUCCAAGCACAUUUACUGACAAAAUAUCCUACCUCCACAGCAGCUUUUUGCAUUUUCACGUUCAGUUUUACUUUCUUCGUAGUAAAGAACAAUUAUAGGAAGUUUAAGUGUUUUUACCGUUUUUCAAAUUCUUGUAACAGUUUAGCUUAUUAUCAUAAUGAAAAUAUAUCUCCUCCAUAGGCUUGAGUUGCCGAAGCACAAGAAUUUAGGGAGGCACGGAGAACCUUCGGACGGUCGAAAACUUGUCCUAAGAAACUGUUGGGACCAUGCUUCGUCACCGAAGGUCCUGCAGGAAGAAACAGUUUCGGUUGAAGCUGUCUGUACGUAAUGCCGAAGGGUGCCGUUCAUGAAGCUUCGGAAUUACAAACCGACUUAAAGAUAGAAUGACCUUUUAGUCCAUAAGAGUUUGAGUCGAUGUUGUAAACUUUUAUGAGGGGUAUGAUUGUAAUUGUUCACAGGCUGUGUCCUGUGCCUAUAAAUAGUGAACAGUAUUCCUUUACUGUUCACGGAUUCCGGUAAUUGCAAUCGCAUCACCCAGAAAUUAUCAUUUGUCAAGGCAGAGGUAUAAAUGUAUUUAAAUAUUAUGUUUAAACACUUAAGAUUUAUAUAGCAUAAUAAAUGAUGUCAUUUAUUUCCAAUUUAACUAUCUUUAAUGCUUUAUGUCCUGCGUUAUUCCGCAUUACCUUCGAGAAUUAAAUUACGAAGGUGAUACUUUCGUAAUUUUGUUAUUAUAACCUUCGUCCGAAGUUCAUCGAAUCCUUGGGGAAAUAAUGCUUCAGCGGACGAAGGACAUCGAUAUUUAACAUUUUAUGUUGCCUUGUUCUUAAUUCAUAGUAUUUGAGAGCAAGUCCCCAACAUUGGCGCCCACCUCCGGUCAACUCACUUCCACUUUUUUGAGUUGAUGGCUUCGUUCAACGAUCAAGCUAGAGCUGCUUCGGCCCUGAAGCUGGUACUCCCGAUAACAGGUGGUUCAUGCUCAGAGCCAGCCAACAAGAAGCAGAAGAAGGAAGCACAGAGAAGGGUACAGCAUGUUGGGGUGCAAGGACCCUUCAUCAAGUCAAGAUGGUCUCACAUUCCAAUUACCUUCUCCCAAGAGGAUCUUCAACUCAAGGAUUACCCACACAAUGAUGCUAUGGUUAUCUCUUGUGUGAUCAAAGGAUUUCUGGUCCAUAAUGUUUUGGUUGACACAGGCAGCGCAGCUGAUAUCAUAUUUGCUAAAGCUUUCAGACAAAUGCAAGAGCCCGAAGACAAGAUCCAUAAUGCUACGCACCCUCUUUGUGGCUUCGGAGGACGGCAAAUUGUAGCACUUGGGAAGAUUACCAUGCCAGUAACCUUCGGAUUUGUUAACAACACAAGGACUGAGCAAAUUGUGUUUGAUAUUGUUGACAUGGAGUAUCCUUACAAUGCUAUCAUUGGUCGCGGUACUCUCAAUGCCUUCGAAGCAAUUCUUCACCCAGCUUACCUCUGCAUGAAGAUACCUUUGGACCAAGGGCCUAUUGCUAUUCAUGGAAGUCAGGAAGCUGCCAGAAGGGCCGAAGGAAAUUGGACAGAUUCAAAAGCAAUCCAUAACAUAGAUGGAGCUGAGGCCUGUGAGCAAUACAAGUUCAGAAGGGAAAAAGCUGCUUCAGCUGACCAACCGAAGCCCAUGCUCUUAUGUGAAGAUAUAGUAGAUCAGAAGGUGCUAUUGGGAUCUCAAUUGUCUGAAGAGCAAGAAAAAACCUUGAUAAGGUUUCUGUUCAACAAUAAAGAUGUUUUUGCUUGGUCAGCUAAUGAUCUUUAUGGAGUUAACAGGGAUGUUAUUGAGCAUUCGCUCAAUGUCGAUCCAUCCUUCAGACCCAGAAAGCAGAGGCUUCGGAAGAUGUCUGAUGACAAGGCCGAAGGUGCUCGGAAUGAAGUGAAAAGACUUCUCAGUGCCAGAGUUAUUAGAGAGGUAAAAUACCCAGAAUGGUUGGCUAACACUGUUAUGGUGAAGAAGGCCAAUGGUAAAUGGAGAAUGUGUAUUGAUUUUACUGACCUCAAUAAGGCUUGUCCGAAGGACGAGUUUCCAUUGCCAAGGAUAGAUUCCUUAGUCGAUGCAGUAGAUUCAUCAGAGCUUAUGAGUUUGCUGGAUUGCUAUUCAGGCUAUCAUCAAAUCUGGAUGAAGAAGGAGGAUGAACCGAAAACCAGCUUCAUAACCCCUAGUGGGACAUAUUGCUACCUUCGGAUGCCUGAGGGGCUUAAAAAUGCUGGAGGAAGCUUCAGCAGAAUGACAGCGAAGGUUCUCCAUUCUCAUAUAGGCAGGAAUGUACUAACUUAUGUUGAUGACAUCAUUGUAAAAAGCACGAAGCAAGAUAACCACAUUGCUGAUUUACAGGAGACCUUCGCCAAUUUUAGAUAGGCUGGUUUAAAGCUGAAUCCAGAAAAAUAUGUCUUCGGAGUAAAGAAGGGGAAAUUUCUUGGUUGCCUAGUUUCAACAAAGGGAAUUGAGGCUAAUCCAAGCAAAAUCGAAGCUAUACUUCGAAUGGAACCACCAAGUACAAAAAAGGGGGCUCAAAGAUUGACGGGAAGGCUGGCAUCUCUCAACAGAUUCAUAUCCAGAUCAGUAGAGAGAAAUUUACCAUUCUUCGAAGUGCUGAAGUCAGCCGAAGUCUUUCAAUGGGGACCAAUCCAGCAGAAAGCCUUCGAAGAGUUGAAGCAAUAUUUGAUAGAUCUAACAACAUUAACUCCACCAACGCCAGGGGCUCCUUUGUUAUUAUAUGUGGCAGCUUCGCACUCAGCGGUAAGUGCAGCACUUGUCCAGGAGAAGCUUGAAGGCCAAGUUAAGAGGCAGGCCCCAAUAUAUUUCGUAUCCGAGGUUCUUAGUUUAUCGAAGAAAAAUUAUACAGAAUUGGAGAAGGUACUGUAUGCUGUUUUGAUGGCCUCCAGUAAGCUUCGGCAUUAUUUUCAAGCUUACAACAUAAUUGUUCCUUCUUCGCAACCUCUGAAGGAUAUUAUGAGAAACCGAGAAGCUACUGGAAGGAUUGGAAAAUGGGCUGCAGAGCUCAAUGAAUUUUGUAUUGAUUAUGUUCAUAGAUCCUCGAUUCAGUCCCAGGCGUUAGCAGACUUCAUUGCUGACUGGACGCUAGGGGCUCAGGAGGAAGAAACAAAUAAAGAUGCCAAAGCAUGGACAGUGUUUUGCGAUGGGUCUUGGGGAACCUUCGGAGCAGGAGCGGCUGCUGUGUUGGUUUCACCUUCCAAAGUUAAAACUUGUUAUGUGGCAAGACUUGAUUUUAGUUGCACAAAUAAUAUCGCUGAAUAUGAAGCUCUGCUCUUGGGUCUUCGGAAAUUAAAGGCAAUGGGAAUCAGAAGGGCCAUUCUUAAAACUGAUUCUCAAGUUAUUUCUGGUCAUGUUGACAAGAGCUAUAAAGCAAGAGACCCGAAGCUUCAAAAGUAUCUAGAUACAGUCCGAAGGAUUGAGGCUUCCUUCGAAGGUUUCUCUGUCAAAAAUAUUCCUCGUGGAGAAAAUGAAUAUGCUGAUCUAUUGGCCAAGUCAGCAGCCCAGGGGCUGCCUAUACCUUCGGAAGUAUUUUUCGAAACAAUAAAAGCACCUUCGGUCGAGCUUCUUGAAAGAGCAAUCCUUAAUAUAUCCCCUGUUUAUAGCGAGGAUUGGAGAACUGAGAUCGUCUCUUUCCUUCAGGGUAAUUUUCUUUCAGACGACGAAGCUUAUAACAGGAUAAUAGAAGCAAGAGCUCGACCAUAUGUCAUAAUAGAAGGGGAGUUAUACAAGCAUGGGGUCUGUUCCCCAUUGCUCAAGUGUUUAUCCAGAUCCGAAGGUAUAGAAUUAAUGAAGGAAAUACAUGCAGGCCUGUGUGGAUCUCACAUUGGAUCUAGGCCCCAGCUCGGGAAAGUUUUUCGCCAAGGAUUUUAUUGGCCAAAGGCAGCUUCAGAUGCAGCGGAUAUAGUCCAAUAGUGUGAAGGUUGUCAGAAAUGUGCAAGAGAUCAAAAACAACCUUCGUCUUUAACUCAAUUAAUACAACCCACUUAGCCGUUGCAAAGGUGGGUCCUUGAUUUGCUAGGCCCAUUACCACCAGCACAGGGGAACUUAAGAUAUGUGGUAGUGGUAGUGGAGUAUUUUUCCAAAUGGAUUGAGGCAAAGCCCUUAGCCACAAUAACUUCAUUUACUAUUCAAAAGUUUUUCUGGCAGAACAUUGUUUGUCGCUUCGGAGUACCGAAGGCCAUUACUGUGGACAAUGGGACACAGUUUGAUUCUGAAGCCUUCAGAGAAUUUUGUGAUCAAAUUGGCACGAAGAUCAAUUUUGCAUCAGUUCGACACCAAGAGUCAAAUGGACUUGUCGAAAGAGCUAAUGGGAUCAUAAUGACAGGAAUAAUGAAGUCAAUCUUCAAUCAGCCCAGGGGAAAAUGGCCUGACGAGCUAAUCAAAGUGGUAUGGAGCCAUAAUACAACCAUGUCAAGGUCAACAGGUUUUACGCCCUUUAAAUUAUUGUUCAGUGACGAAGCAAUAACCCCAGAAGAGGCCAAAGCAGGAUCAAUAAGGAUAGUAGCUUCGGCAGAAGACAAAGACGAAGCUGAUUGCUCUGUAGAAAAAGAUGCUAUUGAAGGGAUCAGACUUCAAGCUGUGGAAAACAUCAAUAAAUAUCAAGCUGAAACAAUAAAAUGGCGUGACAGAAAAGUCAAGCUGAAGAACAUUGAACCAGGACACUUGGUACUUCGAAGAGUAGCCAACCCUGAGACAGCAGGCAAAUUACAGCUGAAGUGGGAAGGCCCCUUUUUGGUAGUAUCUUCGUCAAGACCCGGUUCCUACAGAUUGAAGGAUAUGGACGGCAACGACAUUCCUAGAUCAUGGAAUGCGGAUGAGCUUCGACGAUAUUAUGUUUAGCUUGAUGUAAUUUUUUAUAUUCUUUUUCGUGGCACCCUUUUCCUUUCCAAAGGGGGAGAAAGGUUUUUAAUGGGGCCACAACAUGUAAUUUUCCUUAUUUCAAUUUUAUGAGAGUGAUAUCCCCCAAAAAAUGUAAAUAUAAAUGUAAAAGGAAAAAAGAAAAGGAAACAGGGAGAAGCUCAAAAGUCGUUCCUAAGGGAAUGCAGGGCUUACAGCGAAAAAUAAGCGCUGAUUCCGCUGAAAGUAAAAGGCGAAGAAGCUCCUAAGGGAGGCUUACAGCGAAAAAUAAGCGCUGAUUCCGCUGAAAGUAAAAGGCGAAGAAGCUCCUAAGGGAGGCUUACAGCGAAAAAUAAGCGCUGAUUCCGCUGAAAGUAAAAGGCGAAGAAGCUCCUAAGGGAGGCUUACAGCGAAAAGUCAACGCUGAAGGACUAUGAUUAUGUAUUUUGAUAUUCAUUUGCACAAUGCAUCUCAUCAUAUCAUUUGCAUUCAUAAACAUGCAUUAAGACAUAUAUAGAAUCAUCAUUAUACCGCACAAAAACACAGAUGCUUCGGCAAUGAGGAAAAACUCGAAGGAAAAUUUUUAUGCUUCCUUGUGUACGAAAAGAAGGGAAGGUGUUUUUCGCCUUCGGCUCAAAAGAGAAGUUUCGUCCACAGCAAAGCAGAUUGUACGCAGAUAGCAGAAACAAAAUAUAUUACAAGGUAUGUACAAAUUUACAUAAGUUGUUCCAUAACUAUAUUACAAAAGUUUCUCCAGAAUUUUUGCAGGAAAGUAUAUUGUAAACAACUAUCAAGCUUCAGGCUAGGCUUCGUCAAACUUCAACUUCGUCAUUCUCCAGCUUCGUCAUCCUGCGUAUAUCAAACAGCAGAAUAAGAAAGGUGCAAAUUUCAAGGAGAAGGUAAAAGUAACAAAUAUAAGUUUCUUACCGGCUUAAGAUGACUUCGAGCUUCGUCACCCGCCAUUUUUCGCCCACCACCUACCCAGAUCUGGGUCAUGAACCUAUUUCCAAUGCUUCGGGCUAGGCUUGGGAUAUCUAUCAGAUCUGAUGCUGACAAGCUGAAGUUUGGUAUGUUCACAAUAUUUCCAUGCGUGCAGCCAGCCUUCAGAAAAGCGGUGGCUGUGCCCCGAGAAGCUACCAGGGCGCAGAAGUCGGCAUGCCCACCAAUAACUUCGUCAAGGGCAUCAACCUCGCCUUCAAUAUAUUCUAACGUGCUGGGCAGAUUAUCAGCUGAAGGUGUAAAUUUUGCAGAGCUGGCUCCGACAGAAUGAAACACAUCCUUCAGCCGUUGCACGCAUCGGCUGCCGAAGCUUAGGCAUUUCUCUUGAAGUUCUUUAAAGGAUUUCUGCAAAUUUGAAUUUUUAUCCACCUCAGUUUUCAGGCUUGCUUCGAGAUAUUUCUUUUCUUGCUCAAAUUUUUCUGACUGUUGGAGCAAUUCAUUCUUUAAGCUGUUAUUCUCAGUUUGGACUUCAGCCAAAGAACCCUCCAUAGUCUGAAUAACAAAAUCUUUCUUUUCUAAUGCACCUUCAUGCUCUUUGACCAUCAUUUCAAGAUCUUGGAUGGUGAAAUCCUUCUUUUUCAAAUCAGCUUCGUAAUUUUCAACUUUUUCAGCCAAAUUUUGGAUGACAGCUUUGUUCUUCUCUUCUUUGAGAUCUUGUUGCAUUUUUAGAACCUUACUUAACAGUAUGCUCUGUCGAAACGAUCUUCGUUAGAAAACGAUCUAAAAGAUAAUAAUAAUAAUAAAAUAACAAAAAUAUUUGUUACCUUGAAGUUAGCAUAAAGCAAACUUCCGGCGAUAUGGUGCCGUUGGUAAUGGCAGAGGUCCGCUUCCAGCUUCGGCAAGCCAAUGUUUUUGCAGAGAGUUCUAACAAUUUUAGCUUCGCUGCGGUUUCGAAGGCACCUCAGUUUUCCUUCGUUAACCCCACCAAACAGUGUAGCCCCUGGCUUAUAUCCGCAGGCUAUGGCACAUCUUUUAAGCUCUGUUUUUUCAGCGUCUGUCAGCUCUUGCCCAAGUAAAUCUUGAAAUUCAAAAUCUUCCCCCACCAAAAUGUCUUCAGCUUGUUUUUUCCCCUUUUCAGUGCCUAUGCUCACCGCGGCCACAUCAGAUUCUUCCUCAGUCAUUUUUAAGAGUAUGUUAUCAAUAACUUCAAGUGUCUCGUCUAGGUUCAGAUCUUCUGUGGCCCCAGUUUCAACCCCGGCAGCUUCGGCUGCGCCAGUUUCAGCUUCGAAGGUUUCCGCUCUGGUGGUUUCGGCUGCGGCGCCUUUAGCUUCGGCAGUUUCGGCAGUCUGGUCAAUAGCAAUUCUUGAUGCCGGUGUCGGUAACGGUGUCCCAUGAAUUACAUCUGCUAUUUGAAUAAUCCUUCGUUUUUUCGGCAGUGCAGGACCUUCUUCUGCCGAAGCUGCUUUGUCCUUCUGAAAAAACUUCGUCAGUUCCAACGCCAGCGGACUUAGCUUGACAGGCAAGGGUUCAGUCAUUACCUUCAUAAUCUCUUCUACUUCAACAGUAGAAGGCGUUGCAGGAGUAUCUUCUUCUUGAACCAACGUUCUUGGUUCUGGAGAUGCAGUUUUCCUCUUUCCUGCAGUGGCCACCUUCGGCUCAGGAUUCAACUCUUCAGGGCUAAGUUUUUCAGAAUCUCCCCUUUUCUUUUUGGUUACCUUGGCGACCUCUUCGUCAGCAGCGCUGGAAAUUCUUUUUCGCUUUGGGCCUCCAGCAUCUCCGCCCAGGCGAUCAUAAUCAGCAUAUUCAAAACCUAUGGCAUCAAGCACCCUGUUCAGCCUUCGCUUCGGUCGAAUGCCGAAGGCUGCUGUCAUCAGCUGGUCCUCUUUUUUGGAGUAAUUUCCAAGGAUUUCAUUACUCAUUACUUCAAUUGUAUUGAGCCAUUCUUGACAGGGUGCUUUAAAAUAUUUCUUAAACUUAUAAUAAUAGGGUAGUCGGACAAGCUCCCCUUCUUUCUUUUCUCCUUUAAGCUUCGGCAUAGUCCACUCCUUCAUAGUCGGAAAUACUCUGAAGGCCAGAAAUUCCUGCACUAAAUCUCUAGUGCCAACGUGUUCUGCAAUAAUUUUGAAUUCAGCCAGUGCGGCCCAAGUUGGACCUUCAGUUGUCAUUCUGCAACGGGGUCUUGUUUCUCCGAAGAUCAGUUCAAGAGGGCUCUGUACUAGCUUCUCUCUGUCUUCGUUAACUUUGACAUAAAACCAUUCUGACUUCCAGCCUGCCGACCAUUUGCUUCGGUAGCUAAUCACAGGAAAUUUUGUGGUCUUCCGAUAGGCAAAAUUGUAACAACCAAAAUUUUCGUGCAACCCAUCCUUUCUGGCCUUAGUCUGGUAAUGCAGCUCAUGUACUCGAUAGAAGCUGUCGGCAAGCGGCUCCACCGCCUGGCUUCGGAGAGCCCAGAUAUAAAUGCUAAGCCUGACAAUGGCGUUAGGAGUCAGUUGGUGAAAAUAGAUCCCAAACUUUUGUAGCACAUCAGAAAUCAUUCUAUUCAAAGGAAAUCUCAACCCAGCCUUUAAAAAACUCUUGAAAAUAACUAUUUCAUCCUUUUCUGGCUUUGGGGUAGUCUCCUCUCCCCCGAAGCGAAGUAGCUUCUUCUCAUUUUCUCUGAAAUAGCCCGACUUCACCAUUUUGGAGAAAUCAGCCUUGGAGAUAGUCGACUUCCCGAAGUCCAAAUGGCUAGGCUUGCUCGGUACUGCGAUAUGGUAAUCAUCGUCAGAAUCAGCUUCCUCAAUAUCUCCUCGUUCUGCUUCGGCAGCAGCUUGUUCUGUUUCGGCAGCAGCCUGUUCUGUUUCGGCAGUAGGGAUUCUUUUCGAAGUCACCAAUCCGGAUCGCUGCAUUGCUUCAGAGAUAGGAACAGUCUCUGCACCUUCGACUUCGUCUCCCUCACGCUCAACUCUAGCAGUAGAGCGCAAUCUGGCCAUUCAAUUUUGAAUUUCUUGAAAGAUUUCUCGGGAACUAAAUAACCUCUUAUCCCGAAGCUUUUCUUUUGACGAAGUAGACACCAAAUUGGAGCUUCGUCUGAAUCCGAGAGUCGAGCUUCGGCUAUGGUUAAAAUUUUUGGCAGCAAAACAGUGCAAUAGCAAUGAAUGCUGUGGUAACUUCACACCUACCUGACUGUUUAUAUAGUGCUGCAGGUAAGAAGGUGAAUCGUCAGGAUUUUUACACCAGGCAAACAGUUGCUCGCACCCGCUGCGCGGUGGGCCGCAAAGACCAAAAUAGUGAACCUGCAUGGUGGGACCGCUACGCGCUCGGAAACUGUAUCGUUUCUCGACAACGAGCUCCGGGAAGGUGUUUUUCGGACCUUCGGCUUCCUGAAGCCUAGGAGACUUUUUUCACGGAUCAAGCUCGUUACGAAAAACGAUCUAGCACCGUGAAGGGGCUACUGUUGGGACCAUGCUUCGUCGCCGAAGGUCCUGCAGGAAGAAACAGUUUCGGUUGAAGCUGUCUGUACGCAAUGCCGAAGGGUGCCGUUCAUGAAGCUUCGGAAUUACAAACCGACUUAAAGAUAGAAUGACCUUUUAGUCCAUAAGAGUUUGAGUCGAUGUUCUAAACUUUUAUGAGGGGUAUGAUUGUAAUUGUUCACAGGCUGUGUCCUGUGCCUAUAAAUAGUGAACAGUAUUCCUUUACUGUUCACGGAUUCCGGUAAUUGCAAUCGCAUCACCCAGAAAUUAUCAUUUGUCAAGGCAGAGGUAUAAAUGUAUUUAAAUAUUAUGUUUAAACAUUUAAGAUUUAUAUAGCAUAAUAAAUGAUGUCAUUUAUUUCCAAUUUAACUAUCUUUAAUGCUUUAUGUCCUGCGUUAUUCCGCAUUACCUUCGAGAAUUAAAUUACGAAGGUGAUACUUUCGUAAUUUUGUUAUUAUAACCUUCGUCCGAAGUUCAUCGAAUCCUUGGGGAAAUAAUGCUUCAGCGGACGAAGGACAUCGAUAUUUAACAUUUUAUGUUGCCUUGUUCUUAAUUCAUAUUAUUUGAGAGCAAGUCCCCAAUAGAAACAAGUCGUAACUUUUUCGAAGUAAUAAAAAGUCGUUCCUAAGGGAGCGCAGUGUAAGUUUUCUGCUCGAAAGUCGUUCCAAAGGGAAUGCAGAGCUUACAGCGAAAAAUAAACGCUGAUUCCGCUGAAAGUAAAAGGCGAAGAAGCUCCUAAGGGAGGCUUACAGCGAAAAAUAAACUCUGAUUCCACUGAAAGUAAAAGGCAAAGGGGCUCCUAAGGGAGGCUUACAGCGAAAAGUCAGCGCUGAGAUAAAAAGACUGUGUGCUCUGUUGCAGGGAUAUUUGUAUUUUCAGCAUAAAUGUCAUUUUGCAUAACAUAACAUCAUUACAUCAUUUUGCAUAACAUAAGCAUCAUCCAUCAUUUUGCAUGAAGAACAGGAAGGGGACACAGCAUUGAUCUUCGAAGAAUGUUUUGAAAAAGAAAAUCGUGCUAAGGCACAAGAUAAAUUGAGAAGAAGUGUAGCUUCAUUUGAGAGGCAACAUAAGGCUUUUUUAUGGAUUCAAAGAAUAUUUUUACGAAGUUUGAAGAUUCUUCAUCAGAGAAGUAUGGCAAUUCUUGUGAUACAUAAAAAGAUUUUCUUUACGAAGCAUGAAAAGAAGGGAAGGUGUUUUUUCGCCGAAGGCUCAAAAAGCGGUAGUAUGAAAAAAUUUCAUGCAUCGUAAAGAAUUGAACCAUAAAUAGAUUAUAUAUUACAUUCAAAGUUACAAAGUUGUACACAUGUCAUGUUCCAAGUAUUUUUACAAAAGCAUUUAAUCCUCCCUAAGAACUACUUCUGCAGCUUCGUUUAGUAGCUGAUUGACAACUUCGUCCAUGAUGGCUUCGGCCAUUUGCCUAAUUUCGUCGUCCCCCUUCGGGGGAGGGUCCGCAGAUGCCUCAGCGGGUUCUGAGGGAGGAGAGGACACGGCUAUAUUACUAUUACAAACUACGAAUAAAGUUCAAAAUCAAAAAUUACAACAAAAUAAAAAUCACUAAUUAAUACCUAUUUGCCCUUCGGGCCCUGUACUUUUCUCAGCAGUUUUCGCUACCUCCCUAGCAUCAUGGAUACCUUUUUCGCUUCUCUGAAUGAUCUCUUGAGCCAUUUCUCGGCCGCCAUUGUCCCAAAUGUCAGUGAAGAAUUUUCCACCGACUUGGCUUGCUUCGGCUGAAGGGUCUUUGAUAUCUUCAGAGGUUAGGGCAGUUCCAAACUAUGCUAAAGAUUUCACAUGUUCGCAUCCUUUCUUUUCCAAAAUAGUGACAAUUCCUCUGGCGCCUGAAAAAGCACAAAUGUCCCCGCGACUAUUCAAGAUUUCCUCGAAGGCCUCAGCUUCGCGACUGAUCCAUUCAAUCGGGCCUUCUAGAUUCCCUCUUGUAAAAUUUUCUUCGCUAGAAAAUGUGCCGACGCUGGCGAAGCUAGAUUUUAUCUUUUUAACACACUCUAUGGAUUUAUCAUAACACCUUUUCUUCGAAGUACGAAGCUCUUCGACAUUUACUUCCAAAUGAUUUGCCCAUUGAUCACUUAAUUCUCGCUUUGUUUCUUCAAGAAUGCGUUCUUUAGCUCGGGCUAGUUGUUUCCGAAGAUCUUCGAUUUCACGCUUCUGAGCUUCGGCUUGAAUUUUAGAGUUAGCUUCGUCUUCCUUCAUUUUUUCCACCAACGUAAGCAGAAUUUUGUCCUUCUCCAAGGCUUCGUUUCUUAGCCUGAUAACCUAUGUUCGAAGAUUGUUAAGAGCAAUGGUGCAGCUCUCAUCUUCGGCAUUCUUCUGUGCCCUUAAGGCAUUGCUGAGUAUUAAGCCCUAUUCAAAAGAAUGAAUGAGUUAACAUAAGAACAAAAGACUAAUUCAAAAUUCAUAAACUUCAAAAUUCACAAUUUUUUGUACCUUUAGACUAUUGUAUGCCAGGCUAUCCGCAAGAUCGUCCUUCGUCAUGGCGCAAAGGCCAGCUUCGAGUUUCGGGAACCCCAUGCUUCUAGCCAUCUCCCGGUACACGGAUAAUUCUUUAUUGUCUGGGAGACAGUAUAGAAAAUCAUCUUCAUUUGUCCCAUUAAACACUACAACCCCCCUCGGAUACUUCAGUUCUCGGGCAUAGUGAUUGGCUUCAAAGAUCUCUUCUUCAGAUAGUUUCUUCCCCGAAGCAUGUCGCACAAUAUAAUCACGUAUUUUGGAAGAUGCUUCGGGGGUGGCAGUGUCGAUCUCCUCAAUCAAAAUCGGCUCUGUUGUUUUUGUUUUUUCAGCUUCUAAACUUGCCUCUGACAUUUUUGUCUCUUCGGCUUCCAAAGGUUGCAUCUUGGUGGGCUCUGAAGGCCCAGCUUCAGUUUUAGAUUGUUGCUUUGAAGUUUCAGCAACAAAGGCUUCAGUAGGCACUUCAGAAGUUUCAACAGUUUUCUUUGGAGUUAUGCUCGAAGAUUUAAUUGUCUCCAAAACAUCCAGCACAUUAACCAUCCUUUUUCUUUUCGGGGUCGCUCCUGGCCCCUUUUGGCUUUUAGCUGCCUCAACUUUUGAUGAAGGACUUAAAAUGUCCAAUGUUUUUCCUUCUUCAGUUCUCGGUUCUUCUGUUUUCUCUAUUGUUGGUGCUUCGGCCAUUUCUUCGGAUUUCGGCACUAGAGUUGGUUCUCUGGCUUCGGUGGCCGAAGAAGCCUCACCAAUAAACUCAGGCACUAUGGCCGGCUCAAUACAGUGUGGAGGGUGUGUGAGCAUUUUUACCUUCUUCCUCUUCGGCGCUGGCUCCCUAGGAGCAGCCGAAGCAAUUUCCUUUGCAGGAGAAGUAUUUUUCCUUUUUUGGCCUCGCAUUGGAUAAUAGUAGUCGGGGUAGAUAAACCCAAUUGCAUCAAAUACUCGGUUCAGUCUUUUCUUCUUUCGGCCUCCGAAAGCCGCUGAUAAUGCAGUAUUUUCGGCCUUUGAGUAUGCCCCAAGCAAUUCAUCAAUUACAUUCUCAAUGAUUUUUAGCCAAUCAGCAUCUGGUUCAACGAACUUAUCUCCAUACUUGAAUGUAUAUUUCAACCUGAUUAGCCCACCCUCGUCAGUUUCUUUAACGGUCUCCUUCGGCAUUUCCCAGUUAUCUGCAAGUGGCCACACUCUGAAGGCAAUGUGCUCUUGUAGUAAAUCCCUGGUCCCAAUAAAAGAGCAGACUACGCCGAAGGCUCUCUGACAUUCUUCAGCUGCUUCGUCCAUUUCUACCUUCGGUUUCCGGAGUCCGAAGCGCUGCCAGAUAGGGUGCAUGAUGAUAUCUUUAAUAUCUUCUCGAACCUUCAAAUCGCUCUUUACAUAGAACCAUUCCUUCAUCCAUUCCCCGGGCCAUCUCUUCCGAAAAGUUGGCACGGGACAGCUUGACCCAGAGCGGGCGCCGAAGCUAUAGCAGCCAAAAUUAUUAUGAUAUUGCUCCUUACCCCAGGGCUUCGUCUCAUACACUAACUCGUGUAUAUUGCAAAAGCUUUUUGCACUUGGCUCCAGGCCCUGGCUCUUCACGGCCCAGACGAAGACUCCCAGCCUUAUCACUGCUUCAGGAGUAAGUUGAUGAAGGUAAACUUGAUAUAUUUUCAGAACUUCUACCACAAAUCUGCUUAGAGGGAAUCGUAGCCCAGCUUUUAAAAAGCUUCGGAAGAUCACGACUUCAUUAUCUUUGGGAGUCGGUGUAGUUUUCUCUCCAUCAUCUGCCCUCACGAUGGAUUUAUCUCGGAAAUAUCUCCCCCUCAUAUUUUCAAGGUGACUCUGCUUUAUAGUUUAUUUUCCGAAAUUUGAAUGACUGGGCCGCCACGGGCGAUCUUUGGAAUCCUCCCCACCACUAUCCACAUCAUAACUAUCACUGUCGCCAGUAUCUUUAGAUAGACCCUCCAAAGUCUCCUUGACAAUUUUCUCUGUAUUGGUCUUCGACAUUGAUUCAAGAAAACCCAAGUGCAUUUCCUCAGAAAGGCUUAGCUUCGAAGCACCAACAACUUUCUUAUCCUCAGACAUCUUCGCAAAUGCUGACAAACUACACUCGAAACUGAAGCUUAAAACCUAAAAAACCAAGCAAGUGUUGUUGCGCACAGGCUAAAAGUUGGGUGAGCAAGAGUAGUUGGCAAGAGAGUGUGCCAAAUAAACUCGUGGGGAGCUCUUAUUUAUACACCCGGUACAUUGAAAACUGGGGGGUCCCGCUUGUCAAAGACUGUUGCUAUUCUAGCAACGGGAAGGUGUUUUUUCGGACCUUCGGCUUAAAGCCUUCGUCCAUGUCGCAAUAUGAAUUUAUCAUUCCAGUAAAUUAAUAUUGCGAGGGGCUACUGUUGGGGGCCUUCAGCUUUCGAAGGUCCUCAAAAACAUGAUUUGACAAUGUUUUCCAAGUGAAAUAUGUGAACAGGUGUCUUCGGAAUCAGGUUACGGAUAUACAAGGGUAUGGUCAUGACGAAGGUUAACUGGGGCGGAAAGCAAUCACAACGAAGAAUAAGACGAUCACGAAGCUACGUGCAGAAGAGCUUCGGCAUGACGGCAGGAAAGAGGAACCGACUUAAAGAUGAAAAGUCAAAUUAAACCUCGAAGGAUUGUUAUAAAGUUAUUGUCAAAUGUAAAGGGAAUUAAUGUAAUUUUACACGGGCUGCGUCCCGUGCCUAUAAAUAGGUCCGUACUGUUCACGCUGAUUGGAUAUACACUUUUUCACAUCACGUAUGUGCAUUUACUCUACAUCAAUCUGAAGGUACAUUUGUAAUUCUAUUCUAUGAAUUUAAUAAUAGGAAUACAUUAUUAAUAAUAUUGGUAUUAUUACUCGUGUAUUAUAUAUGUGGUUGCCCAGUUUUAUCAUUUAUCAACCUUACGAAGGUCUUCUCUUUUGCAACCUUCGUCCGAGACUCAAUAUAUCCGAGGGGAUAUAUUGUUUUUAAGGACGAAGGAGUUUGACAUUUAACACUUUUAUGUUGUCUUGUUCUUAAUUCAUAGCACUUAAGAACAAACCCCCAACAGCGCCCACUACUGAUCAGGGGUUCGUAGGCUGGCCCCCGAAGGGUUCGACAGCCGCCUCAGAGCACGCAGAGCGAGGGAUGACUCUGGGUACGUUCGAUACACAACCAAGGCUCGGGCUAUGCUCCCGACGUACCCUAGGACAUUUCUGAGACCAGCGGGAACGAUUUUGUAACGGAAUCCCACCAGAGGGAGGUAUCGAACCCUCGGACCCAGUCAAAAGGGGACCGAGUCCGGCGAAUCACCCGCAGGUACUUUUGGAGCGCGCCUCCGGGCCACUAGCCGACCCCUAACGAAUGGGGCACGGGCGUCCACUCAGAUUACCCGUUAGCAACUCACUGGAGACACCAUGUUCGGCGCCCUCCGAGGGCAACAUGGCGCUUUCCCCCUCCUCCUUGCGGAAAGGCGACGCAGCGGCGUACGAAAAAAGCCGAGUAUGUCCUUGACCGUCCUCUCGCUAUGCGCGGGGGCUCGGGGGCUGCUCUCGCAAACCUGGCUCCGGCCAAACCGUUGACAGCGUCAACAUACCAGCCCGAGAACUUGGGACCUAACUAAGCACCCGGGCAACGACCAGUUCGCAUGAGGGAACAACCAAACCGGCCGAGCCAUCACGAAAGGCACUAAGACCUCAAAGGAGUCAAAACACUCCUCCGAGGCCUCGGGGGCUACACCCGGCGGGUGCGCUCGCGCGCACCCACCAGAACGAAAUGCAACCGACAAAGGCCGGUCCCCUUGCAAAAAAGUGCGACAAAAGCCUCCAAGCGAGUGCCAACACUCCCUUUGAGGCUCGGGGGCUACUGUCGAGGACCAUAAUUAGGGGUACCCCCAAGACUCCUAAUCUCAGCUGGGAAACCCCAUCAGCACAAAGCUGCGAAGGCCUGAUGGGCGCGAUUCAGGCCAAGGCUCCGCUCAAGGGACACGAUCCCGCCUCGCCCGAGCCCGACCUCGGGCAAAGACAGCCAACCUCGGAAGAUUCAUGCCUCGCCCGAGGAUCCCCUCAAGCAACGGACGCACCAACGACUCGCCCGAGGCACAGCUCGGGUAGGCUUCGCGGAGAAGCAACCAUGGCCAAAUUGCCACACCAACCGAUCAUAUCGCAGGAGCAUUUAAUGCAAGGAUCGCCUGACAUCUUAUCCUGACGCGCGCUCUUCAGUUGACAGGGCCGAAGUGACCGCAGUCACUUCGCCGCUCCACUGACCGAUCUAACAGGAAUACAGCGCCGCCUGCCCUGCUCCGACUGCCGUGCCACUCGCCAGAGUGAGGUCGACAGCGGCUAAGUCCAGCCUCGGGCGACAUAGGAAGCUCCGCCUCGCCCGACCCCAGGGUUCGGCCCCCGUCUCGGCCUUGGAAGAUGGACUUCGCCUCGCCCGAUCCUAGGGCUCGGACUCAGCCUCGGCUCCGGAAGACGACGAACUCCGCCUCGCCCGACCCCAGGGCUCGGACUCAGCCUCGGCUCCAGAAGACGACGAACUCCGCCUCGCCCGACCCCAGGGCUUGGACUCAGCCUCGGCUCCGGAAGACGACGAACUCCGCCUCGCCCGACCCCAGGGCUCGAGCUCAACCUCGACCUCAGAGGAAUCGCCACCUCGCCCAAACUUGGGCCUGGACCGGCCACGUCGCCAGGGGGCCAUCAUUACCCUGCCCCUAGCCAGCUCAGGCUACGGGGAACAAGACCGGCGUCCCAUCUGGCUCGCCCCAGUAAACAAGUAAUGAUGACACCCCCACUACAGGAAACACCUAAAUUUUCGUGGGCCAAAAGCCCACGAAAAUAAGCUUAAACUAACGAAAAUAGACUAUUUUCGUCGGCAGCCGCCGAAAAUAAGUUCGACGAAAAUAAUCAACUAUUUCCGUCGGUACCGACAAAAAUGACCUAUUUUCGUCGGCUUUCCCAAAGCCGACGAAAAUAGUUGGUCGGUUGACUAUUUACGUCGACCUCGGUGGCCGACGAAAAUAGCUGGGCAUUAUUUUCGUCGGCCCCGUGGUGGCCGACGAAAAUAUCUGGGCAGUAUUUUCAUCGGCCUGAUUGGAGGCCGACGAAAAUUUAUGAUACCCCCCACAAAACAGAUUUUUCUGCACCUUUUAAUUGACAGCAAAAUACACAAUUCACAAUACCACAUAUACAGAUUCACAAGCAAAAUACACAAUUCACAAAACACAUUUACAUAUACAUAUCACAAAACACAUUGACAUAUACAUAUCACAAAACACAUGCACAUAUACAUAAAUAGUCCAUAGUCCAUAGUCCAUAAGUCCAUAGUCCAUACAUAGUUUCAAUACCAUAAGUCCAUAGUUUCAAACAAACUCACUACUCACUAAUUAAUCACUCCUGUGGGCUGUGGGAGUUUUGGCCACUCCCUCCUCCACCACCAGGAAGGUGGCCACUCCCUCCAGAACCAUGGACGAGGAAGUCGUGGACGUUGACAGCACCCUCCUGAGCAUAUGACGCUGAACCCUGCAAUUCAUCAAUCAUUCAAAUAAGGAUGUGUUUUGCUAUCCCUAUACCUAUACUAGCUAUGUUUGGUCACUAUUUGCAUAAAACUAAACAUGGAACGUCACCUGUGAUCCAUGGUGAUAAGGAGGUUGUGCAUGCAUCCAUGGGUACUGCUGUGCUGGCCACCCCUGAGGUGGUGGCACCCACCCCGUCGGUGGCGGUGCCAUCCACGCUUGAAAUGGCUGCGAUCCUUGGGGUGGUGGAGGCAUCCAAGUGCCUGGAGGUGCCUGCGUCCACCCAACACUGGUCCACUGUGGCUGCGACGCUGGAGCUUGUCCUGGCCACUGUCCCCAUCCUUGUGCCUGCGAGCCAUUUUUGAUAAUAAAAAAAGAGUUGCUAUGGAAUUUAAGUGUUCAGAUAGUGUUACCUGGGGAGGGCAAAAAGCGGGCAAGUUCAUAUCAGGGCUGAGUCGAGUAGUCAUUUCCUGCAAAUGGAUGAAACAUUAGAAUCGCAACACUAUACUUUGAAUUCAAUGACACAUGAUGAGAUAGACGAAUUACCAGAAAAUAAGAAUUCAUAUACUGCGUCAGCUGUCCGACCUGCUCCUGCGCUGCUCGAGCUUGCUCCUAUGCUGCUCGAGCCUGCUCCUAUGCUGCCUGAGUCUCCUCCUCCAGCUGAGCCUCUCGAGCAGACUUGGAGGAGCGAGAACUCCCUGCCGAAGACGAUGCCUUCCCUUGACCUAUGGUCCUGUUGUACUCCACAACGCUGGUGCCAAAGGCAAACCUGCAUGAUACACAUAGUUGAGCCAUUAAGUGGACACAUUCUUGUUAAUGAAAUUGUCGAAUCAAAGACAACCACCUCACCUGCCAUGCUUUCUACCCCCACCACUGUGGUACAACACCGAGACAUUCUUGUUAAUGAUACUCCUAGGGUCGUUUGCAAAUUCGGGAUCAAACUCGUCAAAUGCCUUCCACGCAUCACCGUCCGACGGAUGGACCAUUAUGUCUGGAUCAGUGACGAGACGUACACCAUUCUUUCGCCAUGUCAUAUGCAGAGCUAUUUCCUUGUUGAGGAACAACCUUGAAAGCCGAGGAAUGAUGGGCAACCGACGAAGUUGCUUAGCUGCGACCUUCGUAACUACCAAUUCACCCUCAUCAUUUGUCACCUCGACAUAUCUAGAAGCUUCGCAAUGCUUACAACGGUCCAGCUUGUCAUCCUCCUCAAAGAAUAGCAUGCAACUGUUGGGACACACGUCGAUCUUCUCAUAUGUCAUCCCAAGACCAGCCAACAUCUUCUUUGCGAAGUACAUAUUCUUUGGCAACUUAUGAUUCUCCUGGAGAACCUCGCCCAUCAGUUGGAUGAUGUCGUUGUAAGCACUGUUUGAAAUGUUGUGCUUUGACUUUAUUGCCAUUAGUCUUGUGAGAGUCCCAAGAACUGACAUCUGAGUGUGCUCGUGCAGUCUCUCUUCUCCCGCGGCGAGUAGCCGGAAGAAUUCCUGAGCAUCGCGUGGAAGCUGCCCCGGCUCCUCAGCGUUCAUUUCAACAUCCCUACCAAGAUCAUGCAACAUGUCGUCCAUCCUAUCAUGAUCGUCAUCAAGUUCCACCUCCGCGUCAACGUGUCUAAUAGACUCUCCAUGCUGGUACCAUACAAGGUAGUUCGGCAUAAACCCACUUUUGCAAAGGUGUUUCUCCAUUUCUUCUAUCUUCUGAGGCCACUUGUUCUCGCAGCGAUUGCAAGGACAAUUCACUAGACGACUUGUUCUAUCUUUGAAAGUGUGCUCAAGAAAAGCCUUUGUUACACCCAUCCAUUCAUUCGAAUGUGCCCCAUCCUUUCUCCACCCGUCAUACAUCACCCUCCGAUCACCGUCCAUUUCAAAGGCUAAACAAAAGACAAAGAACAUCAACGAUCGUCCAUGGCUUAGGUGAACUCCCUAUUAGGUAAAGGCCCUAAACCCACCUAAGAGUGUAGGUCGAUGCUUGUGAUUUGUGACGUGUACCCUACGAUUGCCACGAAAUUUCGGCAGCAUAACCCCGCUGCUCUCCAAGCACACGCCUAAACAUGGUGUGUUGGAGAACAACUGGGUUAUACAACCGAAAUUCCGCGUCAAUCGUAAGGCACAUGUCACAAAUCACAAGCAUCGGCUUACACUCUCAGGCUGUCCAAAAUACGUGGACAAUUCCAGAACGGCGAACCUCACAAGCCAAUGUGACGUUCGCCGUUCCCGAACGGGUGACGCAUACGGUUCGCUACGGUUAACGAUCACCGUCCAUAAUAAAUAACUUAAACAAAAGACAAAUAACAUUCAUGGCCGCCACGGCACGCCGCACGCGCACGGCACGCCACGGCACGCGCACGGCACGCGGCACGCGCAUGGCACGCCGCACGCGCACGGCCGCCACGGCACGCGCAGGGCACGCCACGGCCGCCACGGCCGCGCGCACGGCAUGCCACGGCCGCCAUGAGCAUCAAAUAUGUCGGGAAAGAAGGGAGACGGGGAGGCUCACCGCGGGGAACGACGACGACGUGGACGGACGGCGGGCACGGCGUGGACGAACGGCGUGGACGGCGGGCACGGCAUGGACGAGUCUGCUCCUAUGAAGGGCGUGGACGAACGGCGUGGACGAACGACGAGCCGCGCGCGGCGGCGCGGAGCGGCGAGGGCGCGCUUGCGUGUCACGUGCGGUCAGGCGCGUGCCCCGGGGCGGCGCGUGGAGAGCGGGCGGGCGCGAGUGGCGGUGCGGCGAGGGAGGGCGAGCGGGCGGGCGGGCGCGGACGCCGACGCGGCGAUGGUGGACGGCGGCGCAACUAUGAUGGGCGGGCGGGAGGGCGGGCGUGCGGGCGGGCGCGUGAGGCGGCGCGGCGCGUGGAGAGCGGGCAGCGUUGCGGCGAGGGAGGGCGGGCGGGCGGGCGCCGACGGCGGCGCGGCGAUGGAGGGCGGGCGGGCGGCGGCGCAAAGACGAGCGAGAGAUUGACGAGCGAGAGAGAGAAGGUGCGCUGAGGCCGAGGCGGACGAUUAACGGGCCUCUAUUUUCGUCGGCCUCACUGAGGCCGACGAAAAUAGUGGUCAGUUAAUGCCUUAUUUUCGUCGGCCGGGAGAAGGCCGACGAAAAUAAAUGACUUAUGUUCGUCGGCCUGGCUAUGACCAACGAAAAUACACCUUAUUUUCGUCGGCCUCGGGGCCCACGAAAAUAUUGAUCCUAUUUUCGUGGGCAGGCCGACGAAAAUACGUACUGGCCCACGAAAAUAGGCCAAAUUUUCGUCGGUCCCGAGGGCCGACGGAAAUAACUAUGUAUUUUCGUGGGCCGACCGACGAAAAUAGCCAGGCCCACGAAAAUUUAUGCGUUUCCUGUAGUGCCCGCACGCUCUAUGACGACGGCAGCUCCCAGCCCCUUACGUCAGCAAGGAGACGUCAACAAGGAUCCGACAGCCCCGACAGCUGUACUUUCGCAGGGCUCCAGCUCUCCUUCGAUGGCCACGACAUCACGUGAACAGGGCAGCAACACCUCUCCGACAGCCACGACGGCAUGUACAUAGGGCACUAGCUCCUCUCUGCUAGACACGUUAGCACAUUGCUACACCCCCAUUGUACACCUGGGCCCUCUCCUUACGCCUAUAAAAGGAAAGUCCAAGGCUCUCGUACGAGAAGGUUGGCCGCGCGGGAGAACGUGCCGACGCAUAAGGCCCUCGCUCUCUCUCUCUCUCUCCCAUGCGAACGCUUGUAACCCCCUACUGCAAGCGCAUUCAUCCGCCCUGGGCGCAGGACAACACGAAGGCCACGGUUUCCCCUUACUGUUCUCCCCCCUUUGUGUCCCGUCUUGCGCCGACCCAUCUGGGCUGGGACACGCAACGACAAUUUACUCGUCGGUCCAGGGACCCCCCGGGGUCGAUACGCCGACAACAGCCUUGAUGACAGACACCAUAGUGGUCGAGGGAGAAGGAGAGCGGAGGGGUUGGAGGCGAUGCCUAGUUGGUCGGGCAUCGGCGUGUUGGUUACGUUACGUUUGAUAAGGCUACUAGCAGUACCGACAAACGUUGUUCUAGAUUCAUUGUAACCUUGGGUAUGAGAUGAUCCAACUUAUGUAAAGUUUUCUAACAAGUUUGUUCUUUUGAGAAAACACCAACUAAACCUCAAAUAAAGUUUGAGUUUUCUAAUAUGACUAUGAAUUUUAAACUCGUUUGAGAACAAAUUUUUUGGACACCUUAGAAACACCUUUCAAAGAUGUGUGCAAAAUUUCGGCUCAAUCGGAGUCUGUUUGGAUUGAUUUUGUAUUCUAGAAGACUAGAACUUUGAUUCGAGAUGCUAAAAGCAACAUGAGUAAGGGGCACAUUGUCGGGUCGUUCUAGACUUUUCAAUGUCCAUUCUGCGACUCGCUUGUUUUGUUUGACUACUGUAUGUCACAUGAACUUUUCAUAUCUCUUGGGUGUUAUUUGGAUUUUAGGGGUUUGGGGUGUGACAUUGAGAAACAAGACGAUUGUCCGAGCGCAAAAUUUUAUUGGCUCUCACUCACUCAUAUCUAGUGCUUGUUUGGGAGGGCUCUUGAGCCGCUCUGGCACCAGCUCCUUACCAGAGCCCUCCCAAACGGCGUCUGGAAAAUGGCUCCGUCCAAGGAGUGCGAGCCGGUUUUCACCUCAGGAGCCAGAUCCUAGAAUUCUAGCUCUCGUAGUGCUCCACGCCUUCACUCCCACGUGCGUUCUUUGACCAGCGCGUCUCCGGAUCAGCGUUGCCGCCAAUCACUGGCCACGAGCAUCCCGAGUCCCCGAGCAACGAGCAUGCCUCCUCUGAUCUCAAACCCAAGGCUUUCAACAGGCGUGUUUUGCAUCAGAAUAUUGUUUACAUUAACUUUUCAACAUGUAAUAUUUUUUAACAUAACUUUUUUCUCUCCAUACACUAAAUCAAUAAAUACAAGCGAAGCUGUUUUGCUAAACAAUUUUUACAAAAGGCACUAGCUCCUGCAGAGGAGCUACUUCUUGAAAGGAGUCGGAGCUAAAGUCGUUUGCAGAGGAGCUAGAGCCCUACCAAACGGGCUCCUAGUCGCCUUAUUUGAUCAUUAAUGUUUGAAACAGAGGAAAUAUUAUUUAUAUUGAUCAAAUUUAAAAUUAUUUUAUUAUUUUGAGGGACUAAACUAAUCAUCUGUUCCUUUCACACAGGAUGUGAUGUCAAAUUACUGAAGGAUCAAUCAAGCUGGGGGUUGGCAAAUUAUUUUAUUCUUUGGAGUAGAACAAAUCCAACGGUUGUGCGCACUAAACAGUAGACAAUUACAACAUGAACGAUACUAUAGCACACACUAGUAGUUGUGUUUUUUCAUUAUUAUUAUUAUUAUUAUUAUUAUUAUUAUUAUUAUUAUUAUUAUUAUUAUUAUUAUUAUUAUUAUUAUUAUUUUAACUUCAAGCAGUACAACAGAAACUAUGUUAUAUGGACGAAGAAACCAAUGACAAUAAAACUCGGAUAUGUAUAUUAGUAUAAUGCUCGUACGUUUCGACGACAUAUAAAUUAUUAUCUUCUAAUAAAAUGUUAGUGCACAACGUGUCUAGAGCAUACAUGAAGAAAAAUGCAAAGGAAAAAUUCGCAUGAAGAUCGACGAGCGUGACGUGGUCGUCGUAGAGGAGGAGAACGAUCUCGGGCUUGUGGGAGGUUCUCCAGAUCCCCCGCAUCUUGCGCUCCUCGACCGAUGCAUCCUCCUAGCAUGGCAUGGUCGGCAGCCUUGACGACAGACACUGUAGUGGUCGGGGAAGGAGGAGAGCAGAUGGGUUGGAGGCGAUGCCUAGCGUUGGUUGCGUUUGAUAAGGCUACUAGCAGUACCAACAUCGUUAUCUAGAGGGGAAUGUGUAACGCAACGGUGGAGUAAAGAUAGAGAAAUAAAUAUAAAGUCUUUUUAUUAAUAAAAACUUGUGUUUUAUAGUAGAAGAGACAUCCUAAAAGAUCGAUAAAGCUGAAUGUUGGUGUGCUCAUGGCGCUCCGCAUGCAAUUUCGUUCUCCCUUGAUCAACGAUCAAUCACAUGGCAUAGUCGAAAUUGGCGAAAUGGCGCUGCAGCUCGGGCUCCAGAUACUUGGCCACGUCGUCUCGGCACAACGGGCACGUCGACUUGUGGCUGAACCACUCGGAGAUGCAACGACGGUGGAAGGCGUGCGCGCAGGCCGGUAGCUCCACGGCCUCGCUCUCCCGCAGCGCGACCAAGCAGACGCUGCACUCAGCCUCGACGUCACCUCCCACCGCACCGGACUCCUUGCACGUCAUCAUGAGCAUCUGGACGGCGUCGUAGCACAUGUGCAGCUCCACUGCCUGCCAGACCGAGACGACGGCGUAGCGGGCCCGCAGAACUGGGUCCACGAGCCAGGACACAUUUUGCUGGGACAGGAGGGACUCCCACUCGAGGUCCGUGAGGCCCAGGUGCUGCAGCGGCUGGGUCGACCUCAGCAAGCCGUGGAGCACGUCGCGGACGCCGUCCUCGUCGUCCGGGAGCGCAAGGCAGCUCGUGUCGGCGUCCUGGCGGCGGUACAUGAGCACCAGGUUGGGCCGCCCGUUGCCGGUGCUGAUGUGCACAGACACGUAGCACCUAAGGUGCAACGUGAACCGGCGAUCGCCGCUCGUCAUCGACUGCCGCGAUAAGAACUCUAUGCUUGUCCUGUAUGCCUCGAUGCGGCGUUCUGCUGUCAGGGACGAGCUGAUCCCGAUCGUUCCUUGAGGCGAAGCCAGAAAAUGGAUCCACCGGGGUCGGCUCCAUGAAUUAUUAGGGUCAAAUACAUUGCUGAACAGUGUUAAACAGUAUUUUACACUGGAUUUAACAAAUUCCAUCGGGUCCGGUGACCCCUGUGCCUUAAGGCAGCUUCGCCCCUGAUUCGUCUACCACCAGGCAGCAGCAAGCUACUUGCAACAAGGAAGUUCCGAGUUGAUCAUACGUUGAAGGAGAGUUGCGGUAGCUUCCGUCGAUAGCUUCCGUCGAUAGCCUCCCAAACGGCGUAUGGAAAACAGCUCCGUCCAAGGAGCGCGAGCCGGUUUUCACGUCAGGAGCCAGAUCCUAGAAUUCUAGCUCCUGCAGUGCUCCACGCCUUCACUCCCACGUGCGUUCUUUGACCAGCGCGUCUCUGGAUCAGCGUUGCCGCCAAUCACUGGCCACGAGCACCCCGAGUCCCCGAGCAACGAGCAUGCCUCCUCUGAUCCCAAACCCAAGGCUUUCAACCGGUGUGUUUUGCAUCAGAAUAUUUUGUACAUUAACUUUUCAACAUGUAAUAUUUUUUACCAUAACUUUUUCUCUCCAUACAUUAAAUCAAUAAAUACAAGCGGAGCUGUUUUGCCAAACAAUUUUUACAAAAGGCACUAGCUCCUGCAGAGGAGCUACUUCUUGUAAGGAGUCAGAGCUAAAGUUGUUUGCAGAGGAGCCAGAGCCCUACCAAACGGGCUCCUAGUCACCUUAUUUGAUCAUUAAUGUUUGAAACAGAGGAAGUAUUAUUUAUAUUGAUCAAAUUUAAAAUGAUUUUAUUAUUUUUAGGGCCUAAACUAAUCAUCUGUUCCUUUCACACACAGGAUGUGAUGUCAAAUUAUCGAAGGAUCAAUCAAACUAGGGGUUGGCAAAUUAUUUUAUUCUUUGGAGUAGAACAAAUCCAACAGUGGUGCGUACUAAACAGUAGACAAUUACAACAUGAACAAUAAUAUAGCACACACUAGUAGACAAUUACAACAGAAACUCUGUUAUAUGGACGAAGAAACCAACGACAAUAAAACUUGGAUAUAUAUAUUAGUAUAAUGCUCGUACGUUUCGACGACAUAUAAAUUAUUAUCUUCUAAUAAAAUGUUAGUGCACAAUGUGUCCAGAGCAUACAUGAAGAAAAAUAUAAAUAUACAUCCUAAAAGAUCGAUAAAGAUGGAAAUGUGUAACGCAACGGUGGAGUAAAGAUAGAGAAAGAGAAAUAAAUAUAAAUAUAAAGUCUUUAUUUUCAUUAUUACUUGUGUUUUAUAGUAGAAGAGACAUCCUAAAAGAUCGAUAAAGAUAAAUGUUGGUGUGCUCAUGGCGCUCCACAUGCAAUUUCAUUCUCCCUUGAUCAACGAUCAAUCACAUGGCUAGGGAUGGUAAUCCCUACACAUGGCUAGGAAUGGUUAUUUAACCAUACGUGUACCCAUUGCCAUCCAUACCAUCGGCAUAGUCAAAAUUGGCGAAAUGGCGCUGCAGCUCGGGCUCCAGAUACUUGGCCACGUCGUCUCGGCACAGCGGGCACGUCGACUUGUGGCCGAACCACUCGGAGAUGCAGCGGCGAUGGAAGGCGUGCGCGCAGGCCGGCAACUCCACGGCCUCGCUCUCGCGCAGCGCGACCAAGCAGACGCUGCACUCAGCCUCGGUGUCACCUCCCACGGCACCGCUGUCCUUGCACGUCAUCAUGAGCAUCUGGACGGCGUCGUAGCACACGUGUAGCUCCACCGCCUGCCAAACCGAUACGACGGCGUAGCGGGCCCGCAGAACCGGGUCCACGAGCCAAGACACAUUUUGCUGGGACAGGAGGGACUCCCACUCGAGGUCCGUGAGGCCCAGGUGCUGCAGCGGCCGGGUCGACCUCAGCAAGCCGUGGAGCACGUCGCGGACGCCGUUCUCGUCGUCCGGGAGCGCAAGGCAGCUCGUGUCGGCGUCCUGGCGGCGGUACAUGAGCACCAGGUUGGGUCGCCCGUUGCCGGUGCUGACGUGCACAGACACGUAGCACCUGAGGUGCAACGUGAACCGGCGAUCACCGCUCGUUGUCGACUGUCGCGAUAAGAACUCUAUGCUUGUCCUGUAUGCCUCGACACGGCGUUCUGCUGUCAGGGACGAGCUGAUCCCGAUCGUUCCUUGAGGCGAAGCCAGAAAAUGGAUCCACCGGGGUCGGCUCCAUGAAUUAUUAGGGUCAAAUACAUUGCUGAACAGUGUUAAACAGUAUUUUACACUGGAUUUAACAAAUUCCAUCGGGUCCGGUGACCCCUGUGCCUUAAGGCAGCUUCGCCCCUGAUUCGUCUACCACCAGGCAGCAGCGAGCUACUUGCAACAAGGAAGUUCCGAGUUGAUCGUACGUUGAAGGAGAGUUGCGGUAGCUUCCGUCGAUAGCCUCCCAUUUAUAUAGGGUCCUCGUGGCUAGCAAAACCAUGCAUGUCCGAUUCAGUUAGGAAUCUGAGAUUAUCUACUAGUUUGUUAAGAUUUUGCAUGUCCGAGUCCGAUCGAGAAUUAAUAGUCCGAUCCUGCCAGGCAUAUGAACGUUCAGAGCAAAACAAACCUCCCAUAUUUCUUUCUUUUCUCUACAAAAAAAAAAUCACUCACAAGCACACAGCAGGUCACAAUCACAACACCAGGGGCGCAGCACAGGGGAGAAAGGAAAGAAAAAAAAAAAGAACACUAGCAAGCAAGCAGAACGUAGCGCAGCAGGCAGGCAAUCGAUCUCAAAGCCGGCUC
rnacentral:lncRNA from 1 species